AAAAUUCGAUUCGUAUUUUUCAUAGAGAAAUAUUAAAAAAUUUGUCCAAUCAAUACAAUUAAGUACAUUCUUAUUUAUUUAUUUUUUUCUGAAAGGAGGUACAUUUUCAUUUGAGAGACAAUAAAGACAAGUUCAUAAAUACUCCACGUAGAUUAAAAAAUUUUAAAAAUUACUAAAAGAAAAGUCUAAGCCCUAUAACAUAAGAAACGUGAAUUUUAAAAAAUGACACUACACUACAGGCUACUGCUCUUUUUAUUUUAGCCACUGAAACGCAAAACUCAGCUCUGUCUCAUCCGAUACCCAAACACAAAAAACUCAGUCACCUUCAUCUAAGAGCUCUAAUUGCCUUUGUACUUUCAUAUCUAAUCGUCUUACUGCCAAACAAUGGUAAACAAUUCCCCCAAACCCAUUUAAGAAACUUCCUUUCAAAUUCCAAUUCUUCUGUACAUCUCAUAAAAUGGGUUUACCUUUGGUGCUAAUUGCGAAGCUCAAAUUCUUAUCCGUCCCUUCCUCCUCUACACACACGGUCGUUUCACCGUUUCUAAACACCUUGCUUUGCCCUUACUUGGUUAAACUCGCUUACAGUCUCCGUCUCGCUCACCGAGCUUAUUCCGAUUUGAUCUACGCAUCGCGGCUGUUCUUUUUCCAAUUAGGUCGAAUCGCGUUCGACGAAGAUAAUAAUGCCCGAGAUCAGACGGGCGCUCCUGUUAACGAUAGAUGGGAAAGAGCUUUGAGGUUGGUUUGCCAAAGAGCAAGAAGGUCACCGCCGGUUACCCAAUCCGAUGAGGAUAGCUUCCAUGCCCUUUCUAUGUUCUCUCUUUAAAGCUACACCCGACAUCUGUCUCUUAUGAUGUCAUGAUUUGGUAAUAGAUAUUAAUGUACGUGCGAGAGUGUAUCUAUUUUCCAAAUAAUCAAUUAUAAUUCGUAUGAAUUUCUGAUUUUUUUUCUUUUCUUUUUUCGGUUGCUUUGACGAUUAAAUAUUAAAUAUUUAUACUCCCAUCUGGAUAGAUUAUAAAUAGUAAUUCAGUUAUAGUAACGUAGAAAUUAUUAUUUAAAAAAUUUCAGAUGUAUUAUUUAUUUUCAAGUUAUUAGUUUUUUUUUUUUUUUUCAAUUAGUUUAUGAGUUGCUUAAGUGCUUUGUUUUGCGUUUGAGAUGAAGAAUCGCAGUCUGGCAAGUGACUGUGAUAUUAGAUGCCUCACGGGUAAAGCUGAUGCUGAGCUUGCCUUGAAAGGCACCACUACCUUUAAUUAAGGGCAUUUGCUAAUUCGUUAUGAGAUCCAUCCUUUCAUAAAAUCUGUGAAAUUUUUAAAUUCUAUCAACAGUGCAAUCUAUAGAUAAUUAUCGUUUUAAAAUGAAAUAAUUUUAAACUUUACAUUAAUAAAAAAAUAUGAAAUUAAAAAAUUCAUUAAUUUAAAGAUAUACUUGUACACCAAAAAAUGUGUGAUAAAUGUAUAUAUAACAUGUUAACAGUUUUUUUUUUUUCGAUUGUUCUCCUUUUAUAUAUAUUAGGAAUUCAACAUACUUUAGUAUCCUAAAACAUCUUGUCUUAGUAUUUAUAACUAUUAAAAUUAGUAUUUUGAUUUUUUAUUUGUGAAAUAAAUUUAUCUUAUUAUAAUAAUCGGAAUUAAAUAGUAUAACUUAAUUUAUCUAAGCAAUUUUAUUUAAUUUAUUAUAGUAAAUAUUUUGAGAUAUUUUUCUUUUAGAGAAUAGGAAAUCAUUUUCCUUAAAAAAAUCUUAUUAAAAACUAUUUUUUAUUGACUGUUUUUUAACGAAAAUUUUAAAAAUAUUUUCCAAAAAAAUUAUUUCCACAAAUAAACAAAUAAUAAGUUUCAUCAGUUAAAUCUAGUGAAUCCAAAGUGAACUAUAAAUGUACAAAAACUUAUUUAUUUUCGUAUCAACAACUCUUAACUGUUUCUAGUAAUUCCAUUGCAUCAAAUGGAUUGAAAAUUAUCGAUCAAUGACCGGAUCCAUGGCGCUAUUCAUGGACCAAAUCAACGAAAAAAAAAAUUUUUAUUAAAAUAAUAGUAUUUUUAAUUAUACGCUGAAAAAAAAAGAUAAAAUAAAAAAAUUUUAAAUAAUUUUAAUUGUCGUUAGUUUAGUCCAUAAACGUAUUUAUAAAAUCGGUCUAGAUAAGUAAUUUCCUCACAGUAUAGACUUAUUUUUAUUUUUCAGAAUGAAAUAUAUAUAUUUAAAAUGGAUACAUUUGAGAAAGAAAGCCGACGUAAACAGUUCUAACGGGGCAAGCAGCUCAGGAGUUCGAUGGUGACUAUGGAGUGGGUUUUCUCAUCACUCCAGAAUGUUCGGAAUCAGCACGAUACAUCCAUUUGAAAAGAAUUUUUUUUUUUUAAAAUAAUAGAAUUGAUUUUUUUUACCUAACAAUUUUUCAGAAUACUUUGUAAAUUAACAAUAAUUUUUAUUUUUCCUUAAUGUGCUUACAGGAAUCAAACUUGUAAAACAUAUUAAUUCUAAAAGUCUUUUGGAAUUUAACUUUGAUAAAUAUUUAAUAAUAUUCUAACAACUUUACAACGUUAACCAAAUAAUUUAGGCGUUAAGUAAAAAUUUAGGAAACCUUAAUUAUGUAGCUUUUGCUUUUCUUAGCAGUAAAAGAUGGCAGGUGUGAUGGUGGUGGUCCAUGGCAAGAAAUAUCUUGCCAAUUAAGAAAAAAUUAACAGACCAAUGACAUACUUGAUUCCUUGCUAAUCGCAUCUUACAAGCUUUCAUAAUUUUUAUUUAUUUCACCAUCAAUAGAUGUCUAUUAAAAUUAUCACUUCAACUUUACAAAAGUAAAAUAUUUAUAUCAUUCACGACUCUUUUACUUGGUUCAUUGAAUACAUGUAUAUUAUAAAAUUUAAAUAAUUCAAUAUUUCAAUUUAUAAAAUUAUAUUUAUUGAAUAUAAAUUAUUUUUAGUGGUACAACACUGAAUAUUUUCUCAAUUUAAUUUUAAAAAUAAAAGUGCAGAAAUGAAUGAGGGUUUCAUAAAUGGACCACAUGCAUUCAGCGAAUUUAAAUUGAGAAAAAAUAAUAAAAAAAUCCUUUAGAAGGCUAAUUUGCAACAAAACAAAAAUAAAUGGAAAAGAGAAAAAAAUAAAGAAAAUAAAAGAAAAGACAGCUCUAUAUAAUCUAUCCCAACUACCCAACAAUAAUUUUCAAACAAUAUCUAAACCGAACAAACUACUCCAUGCCUACGUGUGCCGACAUUUCCAACUAUGCUAAUCAUUUUCAAUAUGCUCUGUACCAAUUGAAAAUUUCAAAAAAUUGCAAAAAUUAUAAAAAUAUUUUUUAUAAUUCAAGAUUUUUUUUUUUAGAAAAUUAGUUUUAACCCAGAUGUCAAAUGAGCUCUCAAUCUAUGAAUAAAAAAAAGUUGCGUUUUUGGUUAUUGGAAUUCAAUUCUUUUUAUCCUAAUUUUUUUUUAGGAUUUCAGAAUCGUCCAGUAGAAAAGUUAAAUUAUCGUUUUUAGAUGAUAAUGGAAGUUUUUCAGGAGAAUAAAAUAAUUGUGAUAAAUAUUAUUAUAUAAUUUAAAAUUUUUUAUUUUCUAUAUAAAUUUAAUUUUCUCAUCAUUAGAGACAAGAACAUAGUUUUCCACAUACAUAGAAAAAUAAGGAUGGGCUACUAUGUACUUUAGAAAUUUUAUUUUUUUGAAAUAUUGGAAUUCAAAAUUUCCAACUCUUACGGGAUUCCGAUAACAAAAAACCCGUUCAGGAAAAAGCAGAAAAAGAAAAAGAAUGUUUUGGAAGCAAUGCAAAAGGAUCACAUAGUGAUUCAGUUUAGUCCAAGAUCCAUGGCCUGUGAUCAUCGCCUAGCCAGGCUCUUGCUGUAGAAGAAGAACUAGUCAGUCAUACCAAACCCAAUGACCCAAAAAUACCUCAGCUAAACUAGGCUGGAAGAGGCCUUUUUGACAUCUCUGUUCCUGUAGGUUGGAUUAUUAAACUGGGCCUCACGAAAACAGCAAUUGGGUCAAAUUUUGUUCAACAGUUGAAAAGGGGAAGAAAAGCAAAAUCUUUUAAACACAAAAUUUUGAUUUAUAUAAUUUAAAUAAACAAAAUAUUAACAUUUUUUUUAAAGACGGUUAGGUGAACCAUUAAUGUUGCUUUAAUCCACAUUUAAUUAGUUCUGAAGAAUUUUAAUACAAUAAUUUAUAUUGUCAUUAAAGGGUUAACAAAGGAACAAGACUUGACAUUAAUAUGCAAAUAAUUUAGCUGGUUCUUUAAUUUUGGUAUGAAUCCAAAUCCACUACCAAUAAUUAUUCUGAAUAAAGGAGAAAUUUCGGUUAAAAACAGUAACGCAUAGCAUGCAAGCGACUCCAAUUUCUCCUUUAUUCAGGAACCAUGACCCAGUCUUAGCUGUUAAGCCAGUGUUAGUUUACCCUUUUUCAGCUUUAAAUAACCAAUCAUUUGUUGGCCAAGUCUCCAAUUUGGCUAGUGGUCUGGUCUGGUCAGGUCACUCGUUCUUGGGUUGGACUGGUUCGUUUGCUAAGGAGUCAACCGCGAGUAGAACUAUACAAUAAGAAAAAAAAAAAACGCGGUUAAACUUACAGAAAGUCAAUAAAAAUGGCUUCUACGGACUAGUUUGGGAGUCAUAAGUGAUCUUCAACCCUUUACACUCUAUAAUUCAAAGAAAAAUACAUUUUUUUCUGAUUAAAAAAAAAAAAAAUUGUCCUAGGCAGCAACAACUAAUAAGGGAAGGGAAGGUUCCUUUUCCGUGGUAUUUUUUAUUUUUUUGUACAACCAUUUCAAACUUUUGAAGGGAAGGUUCCUUUUCUCUAGCUUCCCCAGUAGCAUCUACACCGUACACGGCCGUUAUUAUAUGCACUAAUCUACUUUACAUAUUGCUCAAACAAAAGAUAAACAAAUAAUUUUUUAUUAAUUGAUUAAUUAAUUAAUCUCCUUCUUUAAUUACAACUCUAUUUGUUUAAUAAUAAAAUAAAAUAUAAAAAAAUAUCUCUUUGCACUUUACUUGAGAAAUAUUUUGCAUAAUCACGUUCACCGGCCGGUUAUUGGAUAAGCUCGUUUUAGCCUGACGUUAUCAGAAGAUAAUUGAAGUUGGCUGCAUGUUUGUCUUUUAAUUCUCGGAUAAUAUCGGUCGGUAAUAAAUUAAAUAUUUAAAGAGUUUUUCAUUUAAUAAUUAAGAGGUAUUGGCCGAUUUCAUUACACCAUCAGGCAAGCUUGGAUUUUUUUUUUUUAAUAUAUAUAUAAUAAAUUAUUAAUAAACAUUAUCUCAGUUUUAUAAUAUUUGAAUCGUGAACACAAAUUCGAUAAUAAAAAUAUUUUUUAAAACUGUUGAUAAAUUUUUUAUGAAUUUAAUAAUUUUUGUGGGUUUUUACUGGAUCAAUCCAUCAAAAGAUAGAAUUUUCUCAGCAAAUAUUUGUUCAAUUUAUAAAGAUGAAACCAUCGACUUUAUUUAAAGAGGAAGAGUGCCGAACCAUUUAUCCCAACACCUGUGAGUCACUUAUUAAUACUUUAUUUAAAUAGUAAAUCACAAAAGUAUAUCCCCAAGAAGAGAAUGGCAUCAUACCUUCACUAUAAUUUAUAAAUAUAAACAUUUAUGAAAGUAUUGGCUGGCAUUUCCUCAUUGGACUAUAAUAGGAAUUCAGAAUCACUAUCCUACUAUAUUUUCUGGGGGGGGGUGGGGUUUCAUAAGAUAACAUGACAGUGAAGUGAGAUUAGUGGGUUUUCAAAUCAUGAAAUUAGAGGCCAUUUUGUGAGGGACACGAGUGGUUUUUGGGUUAGGCAUCUUUCUUAUCUCAUAGGACUCAUAGCAAACAAUAGAGACAAAAAAUGUUACCUCACAAGAGCAAGUAGAUACAAUCAAUACAAUUAAUCAAAAUAUAAAUUAAUUAAUUUUCUAGUUGAGAACUAAGUUUCAAAAGGCUUAUUUAAUUUUAAGAGUUGCUUUGAUAUUAACACCAAUUUUAUUAUAUUCAAAAAAGUAAAAAACACCAAUUUUAUUUUGCAAAUUGACAAUGACUUUGCAAAUCAAGCAAAAAAGAUAGCACACAUCCCUUUCUUGAUGUGGCUAAAAUAAAAAGAAAUUUAAGCAAUUUCUUUGGGAAGUGUCUAACCAUAAAAUGGUUAAUUGUAUUUGUCAUGAACUACGUUAAUUACGUGUUAAGUAUAUUUACGUGUCAUAUUUGUUUAUUUAAUUAAAGAAGUAACAUUCGUGUCAAAAUUAAAAUAUUAAAAAAAUUAUUUAUAAUGUUAAUUAAUAAAGAUAAAAUUCAAAGUAUGCGGAUUGGUCUUUCUACUUGUAUGCAGAGAGUAAAAAAUUUUAAUUUAAUAAGUGAAAAUAAAUAUUAAUUUUAUUAUAUAACCCACGGUGUUCUUUAAACCUUAAACUUGUUAAAAGUACCAAAUAUCAAUAUUAGAAGAGAAUAAGCACAUGAGAACUAGCAGAUUGCCAUAAGGCAUAAAGGAGCCAAUCUAAACCCAAAAGGGCAAGGCGGUCAAAUUCAACUGGCCAUUAAAGCACCGAGUGGACCUUUUUCCAGUGGUUUCUGAUUUUCAGCUGACCACUUCCAACAAGGCCCCACCUAUGUGUCUCCCCUCACAAACCUUUUUUUUUUUUUUUUUUUUUUUUUUGAUAUAACAUGUUACGUUAUCAAAUUAUAUAAUAUAUUAAAAUUUGAUAGAAUUUUUCUUUUCUCAAGAAAAGAAACUAUAAAUUAAUAAUAUAAAUAGUUUAUAAUAUUAUAAUUUAUAAUAAAAAAUUAAUAAAAAAUUAUAUAUAAAAAUUAAAUAAAUUUACUUGCAAUAUAUAAAAUUAAAUGAAUUUACUUUUAAUGUAUAAAAAAUUAAUAUUACAGACAACGUACUAUCGUACAUUUGAAAAAACUAAUAAUUAAAAAAGAUUCAAUUAAUUAAACCCUAAAUAUUAGGGAUAUCAUUUUAUAAAAACUCUUUCAAACCUGUGAAUGGUACCACAGAUACUAUGUCAGCAAACAAUAUAUUCCAUGCUGUAGUUAACAACAUCACGAAAAAUAAAAUUGCAUAGAUUUGUUUUAUUAAAUAAGCUAGACUGAGUCAACGGGUGGAGAGAAGUGAGUCCACAAUGUAGUUCUUAUGAUAAUAAUAAUAAUCUAUAGCAUACAAAAGUCCUUUUAAGCAGUGAUGCUUUUUAAUAUAAAAAUAAAAAAACUCUUUACACAAAAUUAUAUAUAUAAAUGUAUAAUUUAAUUAAACGGAUUAAUUUAUUCAUUAUCAAUCCAAUUAGCGGAUUAACUAGCUUCCUUCGUUUGAAACUGUAUCGGUAACAUGCAAUGCAAGAAUAAAUUAGUGAGAAUUAUUAGAAUAAAUUAGCUGUGAAUUGGCUAAUUAAGGGCCGAUUUCUAUAUUUUAAAAUCUGCACAUGUAAUUUCUGUAUUUCACAUUUCGUUUGUCAUUAUAUUACAGUUUAAAAGAAAAAAUAAAUUUAUCUCCCGACAAGUCUUUGUCCUCGACCAACGGCUGAGAUGUUUAUGUCGUCAAACUCUGUUCAUUUUCACCGAGGCAAAUAAAUUGUCUCUUCUAAUUACAGAAUACUCCUUCCUUAUAAGUGCUUUCUUUUUGCGCUUUCCCUUUCCUUUCCAUUUUCCAAGCUCACCUCCUCUCUCUUUCCUUCUUUGCACAUAUAUAUGUCAACAGAUUGCCAUAUCUAUACAUACAUUGCUACAAACGCUUCAGCAAACACACAUAUUCUUAUUCAUUCAUUUUUGGUAUAUUUAUAAAGAGAUUUUUUUUCUAUCUCAUAUCUUUAAUUGCUGAGAUUUUUUUUAUUAAAUUUAGAUAGCGCCACUGUUUCUUCUUGGUUUUAUGGUUAAAACCCAGACGGGAAAAUCAAUGGCUUUUGGUGAUAGGAAGAUAAACACUUGGCUUUUACGGUUUUUGCUGCUUCUUCUCUUGGUUGUUUGUAAGACUGCGGCGUAUGGAGAGAUCAGACCGCCGCAGCAGCAGCAGCUCAAACAAGAGCAGCGGCAUAGAAACGCGUACGCGACGAUGAUGUACAUGGGAACGCCAAGGGACUAUGAGUUCUACGUGGCUAUACGUGUCAUGAUCAGAUCCCUUGCUAGGCUUCAUGUGGACGCUGAUCUCGUCGUCAUUGCCUCCGUCGACGUCCCGCUCCGUUGGGUUCAUGCGCUGUAAGUUAACUCGCUCUCUCUUUCUCUCAAAAUCUCAACCCUUCUUUUCUUUCAUUUUUCGUUAUUUGAAUUAAUUAAAUUUAAUUUUUUUUUAUUGUGCGCCGUGGACCCUGGCGUAGUUUAGUUGAUUCUGGGGUUUCCCGCCUGGCGUUAAACGAGCAUUGAUUAGAUACAGUAAAUUUAUGCACCGCCCAGUUUUGUCCAAUCAGUAAUUACUAGGCAAGACGUCAAGUAUUUUAUUUUCUAUCAUUUUCAAUUUUUACCAAUUAAACUAAUGCUUUUACUUUGUAUUAGCAAGUUGUUAUGAAAGAGACAAUUUAAAUUAAAUUACAUGAGAGCCAUUACCUGGGUUUAACUUUUGGCAUCAUUUGGUUGUGGCUGUGGUAGUGGUUACUUGUUAUUAUGAAGAGAAAGGAGAGCAUAAUCAGCAAAAUUUUAUAUUCUAAUAUAUGUAUUUUUUUUAACUCUUUAAAUUAACAGAAAUUCUUAUAAUGAAACUACUCGAUUCUCAAUGUUCCAACUUUUAAUAAUACAUAUGAUUUGCAAAUUUCACAUUCAAAAGGAGGGAGGGGUAUGAUGGUCACCAUUCGUGAUGCUCAACGUUCGAGCUUUUCAUAAUACAUAUGAUUUGCGAAUUUCCCAUUCAAAAGGAGGGAGGGGUAUGAUGGUCACCGUUCAUGACACGUUUAUGACCUUUUUAGUGUUAGGAAAUUUAGGCAAUGGCUUUGCUUUCUAAUGAGUCAUAACUCAUAAGUGGUUUCUAGUGCUUCUUGUUGGGCCCUUGGUUAGAAUUUCAAAGGUAUUUAUCACGAAUCGAUAAGACGCAAGUGGAAAUCCAAUUGGGAACCCAACUUCACUUUUUGCAUAUCCUAUUUGAAAAAUUGAGCAUAUACUUAUGGAGUUAUAGUUUUUUAACUUUUACAUGAGAAAGGAAAGAUUAAAUCUCAUUAAAGAAGUAAUUUUUCUUUUUAAAUUAAAAUUUGAUUCAAACUUGAAUUUGCGAUGCCAUAGUCUUAAGAAUGAUGAAUAUAAAUUAAUAAUUUCUUUUGGUGCUGUCUUUUCCAAAAGCAUAAAAGAGGUUAAAAACAUGGGUGGAAUUUUCUGAUAGCCAGUUCAAACCAAACAGAACAGCCUGCAAGGUUUAAUAAUUAAUUUAAGAUAUUUUUUGUAGUUGACCAAUAGCUGAGGGAUGUCAUGUGAUCUAUUACCAAUUUUCUUUUUCUAUAUGCAUCUGCCAAAUGUUAUCCGCAAGUCAAUUCUCUAUUUCUAUUUUUAAGUGCCUGCCAAAACCUCCCCAUGUGCCACACCCAGAUGAGAGAUUCAGUAAAAUAAUGACCUAAAUUAUUAUUUUAUUUUCAAAUUCAACUCUGUUAUAAUAUAAAAGACAUCCAUCAAUAUUUAAUAUGAAAAAUUAUAGGCCAUUGGAUAUUGUUAUUAUUUCUGCAUAUAAAUUUUGUAACCAUCAUGAAAUUUUUCUGUCAGUGUGGAAAUUGUACUUAUUGGUCAACGUAUUUUCUUUUUCUUGGAAGGAACUAAGGAAGUGAUAAGUGAUGGUAACUGAUAAGUUGUGCUUUUAUGUUCCAGUGAACAGGAAGAUGGAGCAAAAGUAGUAAGAGUAGAAAAUGUGAAUAAUCCAUACAAGAACCAAGACAAUUUUGACAGGAGAUUUAAGUUGACAUUGAAUAAACUCUAUGCAUGGAGCCUCGUAGACUAUGACAGAGUUGUAAUGCUUGAUGCUGAUAAUCUUUUUCUUCGAAAACCCGAUGAAUUGUUCCAAUGUGGACAGUUCUGUGCAGUCUUCAUCAACCCAUGUAUCUUCCACACUGGCCUUUUUGUGUUGCAGGUAAUUUUCAUUUUCAAUCUACAGCAUUUAUUUCAUUGAAGGUAUAUCUUUUUUCUUUUCACGUGCCAAAUUUUGACUUGAGGAUAUUGGUGUUGCAGCCAUCGAUGACAGUGUUUAAGGACAUGCUUCAUCAAUUGGAUAUUGGAUUAGAUAAUUCAGAUGGUGCAGACCAGGGUUUUAUUGGGGGCUACUUUCCUGACCUGCUUGACAAGCCUAUGUUCUAUCCUCCUGCUAAUGGAACUAAGCUUGAAGGAUCUUACAGGCUUCCUUUAGGCUACCAAAUGGAUGCAUCUUAUUAUUGUGAGUAGGCCAAGGAAUAUUAAAUCUAUGUUUCAUUGCAAUUCUUGCUAAUUCUCUCACUAGAUUAUGAGUAUGUCUGGCAUUAAGGUUGAAAGUACUUUCCAGAAAAACACUAUUUUAUAUACUGUUGAGAAAAACAGUUCAAAUUGCAGUUUAAUUAUUCUGUAACUGUUAUGAUUGAAAUUUGUGAAAUUCAUUUAAAAACUUAAUAAAGUAUAUCAAAAUGUUUUUCUCAACAGCAACACAAACAACAAUGCCAAACAAACUAUAUAUCUGUACAUUAUAUGACUGUAUUUUUUCUAAACUGUAUUCCAUUUUUGCUAACUCCAGAUCUUCGUCUCCGGUGGAAUGUACCCUGCGGGCCAAAUAGUGUGAUUACUUUCCCAGGUGCACCAUGGUUGAAACCAUGGUACUGGUGGUCAUGGCCUGUUUUGCCAUUAGGUAUACAAUGGCAUGAACAGCGACUUCAAAGUCUUGGGUAAGUACAUGCUCUUAAUUUAUGUGUUGUUGGCUCUUACAAGUAUGAUAAAUAAAACAAAGAAAUUUACAAUGAAUUAUUAGUAACACAACUUUGUUCUGCAGAUAUGGAGCAGAAAUGCCUAUGGCAUUUAUUCAGUGCAUAGUAUAUUUAGGAAUAAUUGCAGUAACACGGCUAGCUCGACCAAGUCUUUCAAAGCUUUGUUACAGGCAAACAGACAAGAGCAACUCCUUAAUACAAGCUGGUCUUAAACUGAUAGCAAUAUGGUCAAUACUUGCAGCCUAUGUUCUCCCAUUCUUUAUUAUUCCUUGUACAAUUCAUCCACUGUUAGGUUGGGCAUUGUACUUAGUCGGCUCAUUUACGCUUUGCUCUAUAGCAAUCAACGCGUUUAUGCUACCGAUGUUGCAUGUUUUGUCUCCUUGGCUAGGAAUAUUUGGUGUGCUUCUAGUCAUGGCAUGUCCUUGGUAUCCUGAUGGUGUUGUAAGAGCCUUAGCUGUUUUUGGAUACGCCUUCUGUUGUGCACCUUUUGCCUGGACAUCUUUAGUUAAACUCAUGGCAUCCCUUCAACUAUCACUUGAAAGGGAAGUCUUUUUGCCUAGAUUAGGCGAAUCUUUGCCGCCUUCUGGAUUCAACAAGUUGUACUAAAGGGAUCAGAGGUUUAAUCGUUGCGAGGACUUGAAAUGAUCAUGUUGAUGAUUCUUUACAGAUUCUUGAAGGUGAUAGAUUUUCUUUAUUGGAAGGAAAGAUCUCAUGGGGAAGCUUGAUUUUGCAUAUAAAACUUCAUUGAAUGUAUAGCAGAGCCAAGGGGUCAUAUUUCUGGUAUUUCUGUUACCUCUUGGAUUUGCACUAUUUAUAUUACUAUUUGUAGCUGACUUGAUGAGAAAUUGAAAAACUUAAAUCUUUUGUACAUAUGCCGCUCUUUCUUCUGCCCUCUUCUUUCUUUUUAUUUUAACACUUCGUUUGAAUUAUACUGAUUGCUUUUGUUCUUGAAUUCAUAAAAUCUUGGAAUUGCUGGAUUUUUUUUUUCAGUUAGGUUUUUCAGGAUUGAAUUCAUAACAUCGCAGUUAUUGAAACAAUCUUAAUUUCUCAUUAAUGCUUGAAGUUUGAGUUCGAUUCUAUAUGAAAACUCAAAGUUUUUUCUUAUAAAACCCUUGUAAGUUAGAAUAGCUUCAACAAAAUAAAUAUUUACAACAAUGGGUUUACGAGAAUGAUUUAUUUAGAGCUGGUCCAUGUGCCGAUUACGUGCAUGUGGAUCGAACUAAUAAAAAAUAUAUUUUUUUUAAAUAAGGAUAUUUUUUAUCAUUUAUUGAAAAAUAAGAAAGUUUAAGUGGGAACAAUUUUUUAAAAAUUAUAUAUUAUGACUUGUUUGAUGUAUAGAUAUGGGCCCAUAGGUUGAGUGUAAGUUUUAUCCUUGGAUUUACAUUGUGAGAAGUAAAAAUGAUAUUGACUUGCUUAUUCCAUAGAUCAAAUUAAUGAAAAUAUAAAUUUUCAGCUAUAUUUGCUUAUAUUGGGAAAUAAAAUAAAAUAGAAAUAAUUAUUUUAAAAUUUAUAUUUUUAUUAGUUUAUUUUGUGGUUAGACCAUGAAUCCGAUUUAUCCAAAUAUAAUCCAUUUUAAAUAAAGAAGUUGGAGAUUCACGCAAGAUGCAAGAGCGUUGAAACAUCACCUCAAGCUGAUGGAAAUAAUUAAGUUGAUUAUGCAUAAACGUAAUUGGAUAAGCAUAAAUUUGAGAAAAAAUGAGAGACAAACGUCUGAAAUGAUUUGGUUAACAUCCUCCGUGAAUUGUUAUAUGCCCAAGUUCGUAAGCACAUUAUAAGAAAAAGAGGUAGAUUUAAAAUUGUCUGAAAAAUUGAUCUUAAUGUGCAUUAAUUUUUUUUUUUUUUGAAAAAUAUAAUUCGUUAGUAAUAAAAUCAAGUAUUAUAAAUAUUCAAUUAGACCAUACAUAGAACUUAUGAUUUAUUAUCAUAAUUAAUAGAAAGUUUGUUGAUCAUUCAACAACAAAAGAAUUAUUUAUAUUCUUUUGAAUAAUAAAAUUAAAAUUAAAAAAAAAUAAUAUUGAAUUUUUCCGCUUGAAGAUAACUUUGAUCGAUAUAAAUCUUCAUAGUAGCAACUUGUCCUUUAAUUGAUUUGAACAACAAAAUAACUUCUCCAGAUCUUCUAUGCUUGGAUUGCUUUUCCAAAAAUUUAUUGUGUAUGACGUACACGGAUGAGUUCAAGCCACUAUGCAUUAAUAGCAUCAAUGGAAGAACAUGUCACACUACCAGGUUCCAUUGAUCGGAAAUACACGUCAGUAAAACAAAACAUAAAUUCUCCAACAAAAUAAAAUCAAAUAUCAUACCCUUUAAGAACAACUCUUCAAAUAUGGAGACAAAGCAAUAAUAACAAAAAAAAAAACAAAGAAAAAACAUAUCUAUUAAAAGAAAAUAUAUCUGAAUUUAUUAAAAACAAAUAAAAGAUUAGGAAGGAAAAGAAAAAAAAUAGAAGGCUAUCGCUGAUUAACAACGACAGUCUCAAAUAAAAGCUAUGAUUACAUAAACUAGAGAGAAAAAGAGCUGUGCAUUUAAUUAUUAAUAGAGUAGAAUGAGAAUAAAAUUUCAUACAAAUGGAGUAAUCCCCGAUUAUAGAGGAUUAAGGCUUAGUUAUUGAAUUGUAAUAAACAAUGAUUAUAUCGAUUUUAUAAUAUGUUAGAUAUGUACAAUGAGCUUUGGGUACUUCGGCCUAGAGAGCAAUGAUUCGUGUGAGAGAAGCCCAAUGUUGUCGCAUCCAUAAACUUGAUCGUACUAUGGAUGUCCUAAUAAUAUUUAACAAACAUACCACUUCCCCAAUCUUUGCAAUCAUGGUCCCAUUCUGAGUUCCCGACCCAAAAUUUACUCCGCUUUUCUUUUUUUUUUUUUUUUGAUUGAUAAAGGAAAAAAGAGGAUAAUAAUAAAGAUAAAUAAAAGGGAAAUGAAAAAUAUCUUUUUGGUCUUUUGUGGGUCCAAAUCUAUAAUCAAUACAAUCAUCAUGACAGACUUUGAUUUUUAGGGGCAUUUUUGUCAGAAAAGGCAAUCCACGUACGAGUUUGGGUAAGUUUGUCCCAUGCCCUACUCGAGAAAAUUAAUUUUUUUAUGAAAAAAAAGUGUGUAAAAAUUUGUCUAGUCCCAACGUUCGAAAAACUGAAUUUUCAAAACAAAUAGGACCCACAUGAUUACGACCACAAGAAAAUUAAUAAUAAAUGUAUCAAAUAUAUACACUACAGGUAAUAAGAGCUAGGCAGAGAAAAAGCUACAAUACAAAAUAAGUAUAUAACCAUGCCUGAACCAUAAUGUUGGUCAUGCACGCCUCAGCCACCCGCCACCCACCCACCCACCACAUCUUGGCCACAGGUGACCGUUUUAGAGAUUUAGAUUAAAAGGAAAUGGAUAAUUAAGAGGGUUUUGUGUUGUCUCUUAUUUCUUUUUCUGGUUUUUAAUGUUUGUUUUCCAAAAUUAAAGUAUGUAUUUCUUAGAAAUUAAGCUGAAAAUAUAUAUAAAUAAAUACCAUUUUAAAGAAAAUGCUUGGAGCCAAUGUUUGAAUACCGUACCCUACAGCACUGAAGUAACCCAAGAAUCUGAAUUAUGGAGAUUUUUGACACAAAUAUCUAACAUUUCUAUUAACAGUUUAAGCUAUGCACUAUUAAAUUAUAAAUAUUUUUUAAAAUAAGUUUAAAGUUACUAUAAUUCUAUGUUCGAUUCAUACAUUCUUCAAGAAUUAUAUUUUGAAUGUUUGUCCCAAAAUUUAAAUAUUGAUAAACAAAAAUGUGAAACAAACUCAUUUUUUCAAUAUUUAAGGUUUAAAAUAUGUAGCAGAUUGUUAUUAAUUAAGCAAAUAAAGCCUUCAAUAGUUCAAGUCACAAUGUUAUGGGUUUGGCAGAAACUGUUACUUUGUUAGAUAUUUCCUGUUUCAUCAUCAUGUUCUUCAUCUUUUUUUUUUUUUUUUUUUUUUUUUGAAAAUCAUCAUCUUCUUCAUCUGAUUAUUACAGUGGGUCUUUAUUUCCGGCUAGCUUCUAAUCCAGGUGAUUAAUAGUAUAAAUAUUAAUAAAAUUCUUCCAAUUAAGGCUUAUCAGAAUCUCAUUAGACCUAAUCCCAACAAAGAAAACAUUCUCUUUGAUUUACUGUAAUAAGAUUAUUAUUUUAUAUUAAUACUCAGGUAAUCAUUUUGUAUUAAUAAUCAGGCUUGUCCGGUGAUUAUUUUGUAUUACAUUCAACAAUUAACCAUAUAAUGAGUAUUUUUUUUUUUUAAAUGACCAAUUAUUCUGCAAUUACAAAAAUAGGUCAAUUUUCAACUCUACUCAGAUUAAUUGUAGACUAGCAACAUAUAUAUUUCAAAUACUAUCAUGUAUAGACGUUUAGAAUAUAAAGAAGUAUCUCAGUCGAGUGCAUGCACUAAUUAAUAAUGGCUAAACGACGUGGAAAAUAACAGUAUAUCUAAAAACGACAAAAGAAUAGAGCUAAGAGACAUACCAUUACCCAGGUGCGCAUCUAACAAAAGUAACGGAAAACCAAAGAAAUACUGCCCCCACUUGCAGAGGGACUCCAUUAAUUAUAUGUACAAAAUCCAGCCAAAUAACACUACCAUAAAGCUAUAGAGCCGUAAUAACCUACAUGUCCCCUAAAACAAAAUAAAAAUGACCGUUACAAGAAGACCUUAGCUCUUAAAAAAUAAAACUAUGAAAAUCAAAAAUAAAAAUAAAAUAAUUAUAAAGUAACUUUACCCUUAGAGCAUUAAUAUUACAAAUGUGCCUAACUUUCUCUUUCAUGUACUUGGCUUGCAUUUCUGUAUAUUAUUUAUAAAAGCUCUUGAAGGACAAUAAAUCAAACAAGAAGAAAUUCAGUCUAUGACAUUCUGCGAAUCUCCUUCCUUCCUUCUCUCUUUUUCUCUAUACCAUUAUAUUCUCUGACCAUUUAUUGCUAUUUUAAUGGCUUCUUUUAAUUGUUUCUGUUUUAUUUUGGCUUUGUUUUUAUUGCAGUAUGCACCAUGUUUAGUUACAAGUCGUUCUAUUUUCAGGUACAGGCUCAACUCUGUUAAUGCUACUGGCUCAAACAACUCCACCAAGCACCACCAAAAAUGGGUUGGACCCGUCGGCCACCGUGUCAUCACCGUCGAUGUUAAUGGGUACGGCGAGUUUCGGUCUGUCCAAGCUGCCGUUGAUUCUGUUCCGGAGAAUAAUACAGAAAAUGUGAUGUUAUUAAUUAGCGCUGGCUAUUACAUGUAAUACUUUUCUCUAAUCUGUUAUAUAUAUGCAUACUCUUACUGGUUAAUACAAGUUAGAACCAGCUUGUCGAAGGAACUUUCUAAAGUAAGCAAAACCGUGGAUUUAGUGUCACGGGACAACAGUAAAUAGUUUUUGUUUAUCAAAAUAUUUUUCAAAAAAUAUUGAUGGUGGUGGUGGGUGCAGAGAGAAGGUGGUGGUGCCGGUGACAAAACCAUACAUAACGUUUCAAGGAGAAGGAAGAGACGUGACCUUCAUCGAAUGGCAUGAUAGAGCAAGCGAUCCUGGUCCCAAUGGACAGCAGCUACGUACUUACAGAACAGCUUCUGUUACUGUUUUUGCCAGUUAUUUCUCUGCUAGAAACAUCAGCUUCAAGGUAUAUAUAUAUAUAUAUAUAUAUAUGCAUGUACAUAUCAAAAUGACAAAAUUAAUGAAGUUAAACACGUUAAUUAAUUUUAUAUUAAGUUAAUUAUUUAUGCAUGUAGAAUACAGCACCGGCACCAAUGCCCGGAAUGCAAGGGUGGCAAGCGGCGGCCUUUAGAAUAUCCGGUGAUAAGGCCUACUUCUCAGGCUGUGGAUUCUACGGUGCACAAGACACUCUCUGUGAUGAUGCUGGCAGACAUUACUUCAAGGAAUGCUAUAUUGAAGGCUCUAUUGACUUCAUUUUUGGAAAUGGCCGCUCCAUGUACAAAGUAAUCAACUUUCAUUCUCUCUUUUAUCCAAUUACAUUCUUUGAAUUAAACCCAUUCAAGAGUUAAAGCUUGAACUUGAAAAAUAUCGAAUUUUUCAAAGGUCUGACUCAUAAUUUUCUGCAUAAAUUAAGGUCUGAGUUCGAUCCAUAAACAUGUUUUUAAAGAAUAAACCAUCAUUAACUAAACUAUUUAUAUAUAUAGAGCAUAAUAUUGAGAUAAAUAUUAAUUAAAAUACAUUAAUACAGAUGGGUCGAUAAGAGUAAAGAAUUCUCGUGACUUUAUGGGGACACAUUUUGAAAUGGAAAGGACAGAAUCUAUGACAUAAAUGAGGGAAAACGAUGUCUAUGUACUGGUCUUUUUUCUUUUUUUUUUUUUUUAAUCUUUCGGGUCUGUCUGCCUGCCUGUUGUCUGUAAAGUGAAAAAAGCAAGGAAACUUUUACUUUUUUUUUUUUAAUCUCUGAUCCAUACCAAUUUUAGGUGUCAGUGAACAGUGAUGGUGGUGCCCAACUUACUAAAAGUCUAAAAGCAAACGGAAAUAUAUAAGGGAAGAACAUCAAAGGCAGUGCCAACCAUCUGCUAGCCAACUGUCAACUGACUUUGCUGCCAUUAAUCACUAAUCCAUAUGAUUAGUUAAUUCUUUAUUAAUAUACCAAGCCUAUCAGACAUUACAUUACAUACAGUAUGAACUUUAACCGUUUUACCAUUUUUCAUAAAGUCAUAGAUACCCUUUAUAGAGCAAUCAUUAAUUGCUGAUGAUUAUGUUCUAUAAAGUGUGAUUUUAUUGUAUUAGGAGGUCAAAGUUGAGAAAGUUUGCAUGUUCACUUCUUAGACAACCGUACAUUGAUUUUUUUUUUUUUUUUCCUCACAUGUUCUUUUUUUUUUUUUUUUUUUUUUUGUUUAAAUUAUAAUUUAUUGGAGUUAAACAAUAACGAUUAUACCAACAGCGACACUUUGUUUUAAAUCCCAUUAGCCUAAGUUUUGAUUAUUGAUUGAUUGACGCAGAACUGCGAGCUACAUUCAAUAGCUACUAGAUUUGGAUCCAUUGCGGCCCAAGAUAGAAACUCUCCAGAUGAGAAAACAGGCUUUGCUUUUCUUGGCUGUAGAGUAACGGGAACUGGCCCAUUGUAUGUGGGCCGGGCUAUGGGCCAGUACUCAAGGAUAGUAUAUUCUUACACUUACUUUGAUGACCUGGUUGCACACGGUGGCUGGGAUGAUUGGGACCACGUCAGCAACAAAAACAAGUAAAUAAUUACUGCUCUAUAUUAUAUAUACGGCUAUCUAAAAUUUCGUUCGGCAACAAUUCUAAAUUAGUUUUAUAGUCAAAAUAUUAAUUUUAUUAUUUGAAGGAGUGAAAGCAACGCUUUAAUAUUUAAUAGUUAGGUAAUUUUUGGUGAUUUAACAUUGACGGUUACUUUUUGUUUUUUGUCUUAAACUUCAGGACCGCGUUUUUUGGAGUGUACAGAUGCUACGGGCCAGGAGCCGCAAAAGUGAGAGGUGUUUCAUGGGCAAGAGAGUUGGAUUUUGAAUCAGCCCACAAGUUCCUAGCAAAGAGCUUUGUAAAUGGGAGGCACUGGAUCGCACCCUCUGAUGCUUAGCCACACGAUUUUAGCAAUUUUCUUUUUGAGCAUUCAUUCAUAUAUAUGUAUAAUAAAUAUAUUCUUUUUACAGAUUUCAUUCAUUGAUUCAAUUGCAAUAAAGCUUCUUGUUUCAAUAAUUUUCUUUCACCCUUGUAAAAUUACCUAGCUUGUUGAAGUUAUAUUUGUAUCCUGUUUCGUAUAAAUAAAUUCAAAAAAUGAAAUUCACCGAUCUCACUUUCUUGCAUUGAAUUUAUAGAAUGGAUGUUUUUUUUUUUUUUUUUUUUGGUUACCCAACAUGAAGACAGAAAUAAAAUUUCUAAUAAAUUCUGAGAAUUUGGUCAAAUUUAUAUAAAUCAAGCAAGGCUCUACCUACCAUUUUGGUAAUCCGGCUUACCCAACAUGAAGACAGAAAUAAAAUUUCUAAUAAAUUCUGAGAAUUUGGUCAAAUUUAUAUAAAUCAAGCAAGGCUCUACCUACCAUUUUGGUAAUCUAUAAAGGCAAUAGAUCCUUUUUCCACCAUAUGGAGUUCAUUGGGGACAAGCAAUUCCCAUAAUUUAGAAUGCACUACUUAAAAUUUGAAACAAAAAUACUUAAACUUGAAUCAUAUACAAGUUUCAAAUAAACAUAAGGACUAAAAUUGAGUUCCUUUCUAUUAUUAGGGUGUGGGAAAAUAAAACCACCAUACUAUAUCUUUGACAAAUACAUUUCAAAUAAAUACCUAUAGGUAUAGGACAAAGGGAAAAAGCAAAUUGGUUGCAAGAAAUGAGGGCACGUCUUGCCUCACAUUAUGCAGCAAUUUGGCUGGGACUCGAGCAUCUCUGGAGAUCUGCAAAAAAAAAGAUAUCAAUCAGCCAUCUGAUGCAAACCAUCUAUAGACAUCGUUCAAUGAUUGUUAUUUCAGUGUAAAUCUUGCAUGGAAAGGUUUCUUAACACUACAGCACCAUACAUUAUUGUAGAGUUAUCAAUGUUUGAAAUGGACGCGAUGAAAAACUCAGCCAAAUCAAUUAAAUGGCUUGACUUCUCCUUGCAGCCACUUGACAAUAAAUGUCCAUUAAAAAUUCCCAUCUGAGAUCAUUUCUAGAGUGAAAUAAAGAACUCUUCCUCUUUCUCUCUCUAUCUUGUAAAAUAGACUAGAACUUGAAAAUUUAAUGGCAUAUGACAAAUCCCCCAAACUGUUGCUUUGUUGACUGUAACCGCAUUCUGACGGCUUGUUUUGAUGAAUAUUUAACGCUAGAGAACUAAAUUUACAUGGUAUAGGACAAAUGAGACUGACGUGUAUUCAUGUGCAAAUACAGACAUUAUGAAUGCUAAAAGUGGCAUAACGCAUAAGUUAAAGCACUUACAUUUGGCCAAGAUUAGCAAAGUCAAUAUCAGGAGCAAGCUCUUGCACAAUAUCAUUUGGAGGUUGGCCACAUUCUUGCAUUUUCUGCAUGAGAUCAACAAUCUUUGUGAAAUUAUUAGGUUCAUUCUCAUAAACUUUGUUAAGUUUGUUGAUGAGUUCAUAUUGGUGAGAAUAACGCUCGUAUUCAUCUUUGGUUAAACUGGUUUUGUGUUCUUCCAACCACUUUGGAUAUCUUGCUCCAAUUUCCUUCAUAGGUUCCUGAAGAAUCUCCUUAGACAAAAGUUGUUGCAUCAUCGUCUCCACGAUAGAUUCCAUGUCCUAUUCAAAAAUAACAUACUGAUAUUAAGAUAUUUCAAUCAUAAUAUGAACAAAUGAAUGCUAACAUUUAACAAGUAAAAAACUAAUAAAAGAUUUGAGAAACUUAACAAUGAAUAAAAAUCAAAAGAAGUGCAACAGCAUGUAAGGGUUUUUAGUCAUCAGUUUGGUCAAUUUGAAGCAAAAGCUCUAACUGAAGGAAUCAAGUUAUACUUGAAACAAUCCAAAUCAAGAACUUCUUUCUAUUGAUGCAACUAAUGAAACAAAGGAGCUCUGAGAGAACUUAAAGGAAUUUAAAUAACUUGAAACUAGCACAUCAUGAUGACUUCAAUAUUCAAACUCCAUGACAACAUAAACCUGUAGAAUAACUCAUCUAUUAUCGCAAAUAAUGUAAUGUCAUAUAAUAUUAAGUUCAAUAAGGUUUUCAUAAAUUUUCAUAUUCUUAAGCCAUAAUCAAAGAGCGCCUUUUAGUUUGGCUAUAUUUAGUAACCAGAAGCAGCCAAGGAAUAAUAAAAUCAUUCUGGGUUUGGAUAGAGUUGAUUCAAUUUGUCUUAAUCAGUUUGAUCAGUGUUUAAUUGCACAUGUCCUAUAUAUUUUCUUACCAAUAAGCAGGAGGACAGGAUGCAAAUUAUUUCUUAAUUCCAUAAUAUCUACUAAUGGAAUUGUAUAUUUCACUAGUCAUUGCUGACAGGAAAAUCUUACAAUCUUAUAUUGAUAGCAGCUUAACAUUACCAUGAAAAUAUCUCUUCUACUUACUUUUGUAUACCUUAAUCAAUUUCAAAUCUUGAAAGAACCAUCACCAAUUGAAGAUUAUCUAAGCCUUGCACAUCAAAGGCACAUUUUUUUCCCUUAAAUAUCUUGAUUUAAUAAGCCAGUCAAAAAUUUGAAGAGAAAAUAUGGUCUUGAUAAAAGUAGAAAAAAGACGAUAAAUUAGAGCAAUCAUUGAACACCUGCUCCCAUGAUCCUAAACCUUAUGAACCAAAAUCCAUAGGAUAAUGUACCAAAAUAAGCACAAACAUUAUUCAACCAUAGCACAAAUUCCAAAACCAGAAAUUCUCGAUCCAAACAUUACUUUUAAAGAAUUUGAUAUUAUCAAAAUGCCUGUGGCCUGCCUCAACUUUAAUUUCUACACCCUCAGAGUUAUAAAUCAAUACAACAGAAACCAAGCACAACCCCAGCAAAAGCAACGUCCUAAAUGUUACUGCUAAUAGAAAACCACUUGAACCUAUUCGAAAUCACUCAAAACCACUAGAUUAAACCAAGAAAGGAAAGAUCAACAAGUUUACCUGAGAGCCAGCAAGCUCCUCAAAUUGCUUAACCCAAUCCUCCAGAAAUGCAUCCUUACCAAAAUCAUCUGGUUUUGGACUUGUGACAGACUCCAAGCCCUUGACAGCUUCCCUAGUCUGCUCCCUAAGUUGAUCAAGCGCCUCUGCGACAUGGGACUCCUUUGAAACCUUUUGCUUUCCCUUUUUCUUAUUUUUCAAGUCAGGUAACCCCAUACCCAACCCCUGAACCCCCAUUGGCAGUGAAGCUGAUGAUUCUUGCUGCUUGUUCUCUUUAUUACCAUCUCCUCCUCCACUCCUAAAAUCAAAUUAACAUCCCCCCAAAAAAAGGGACAGACAAACAACAGCUACAGGAUUUAAAUUUUAGAAAAUGCACAGAAAAUCAAAGCUUAUAAAUGAGUGUGGUUAGAGAAAGUCCAGAACACUAUUUUAACCCCUCGCCACUUUUUAAGUCAAAAAGCGGACAAUUCAAUCUAAUUACAAAAACACAAUAGAAAAAUGGGCUAUAAUUUACAAAAAAUUCAAUAGAUAAAAGAAAAGGAGAGACCUUUGAGAGGAAGGAGCGAGGUUGAGACCCUGGAAAUCGUCAAGAGCACCUGUAAAUAUUGAAAAGCGAAAAAAUUCAUACUCGUAAAGAGGAAACAAAAAGUGGGUUUUAGGGGGAAUUGGGUUUACUGUCAAGGAGUUCGUCUAAAUCAUCGUUGUGACUAUGGUCAGCCAUGACUGGAACAAUCUCUCUAUCACUUUCUCAAAUUGAAGAAAAUGUAUGAAAAAAUUAUGUGCGUCUUUCGCUUGGAUUGAGGGUUUAGAUGAUGAAAUUUUGACGACUCCUGUUGGCGGUGCCACCCACAAAAAAUAUCCAAAGAUUCUGAAUUCUGACUCGGUGAAGAGGGCUUGACUCUUUUGGGACCGAAACCGUCCCUUUGCGGGGAAUAUUUUUCUGAUAUUUUUGCUAUUAUCUUUAAUUGUCCCAAUUUUUUCUUUUUGGUGGUGGCCAUACCGCUCCGGUGUAAAUUAAUUAUUAGGGUCAAAAUUAAAUAUAUUAUUUUCACAUGUGUUUAUUUGAAGUAUAUUUUAUGACUCGCUUCUGAUUUAACAUAACAAUAAAAUUUAAUUAAUAAUUAAAUUGAGCUUUUCUAGGGAAAUAAUCAAUUUUUUUCAGAUAAAUUAAAUCGAACUUUAUUAGCUUAUAUUAAAUUAAAAUUAGUAUUAUUUUAAAGUAUAUUCUUAUUAAAUGCCAUUGAUUUUCUUCCCGCUAUAGCACCAAAAUCUCUUGCCAAAUUUUUGGCCCCUCGUAGAGGAGAGACAAUGGAAAUAAAAUCUCUCGUUAAAUGAAAAAAAUAAUUUUUAAAAAUUAUGGAAAAAAUUAAUAUCCAAAAAUAAUUAUAAUAACAACUCCGUGCUGCUUUACUUAGCCGCUCAUCAUAGAAAUCAUUAAAGGUAAAAUAAAAACUCCAUUAUAACUGAAAAGAAUAACAAUGCAAGUAUGAUGAUCAAUAGACCAAGGAGUAUAUAAGCAUAUGGUUCAGUCGAGUUUUUUUCAAGGAGUUUGUAAGAUAAACUAGAUUUUUCUUUAACCAUGAAGAUCUUUUUCCUCCUCAAUCGUGUUGAAGACUUGGCCAGGCAAGUGGCAACAUAAUAACAAAAAUAUCAAUAGCAGACUUCAUCAUAUGCAUUCCCAAUUUUCUGAUUUACAAAUUUCCAGACAGAAAAUGCAACUUGAAACACAAAUAGAAAAGAGGUAUCAUCUGCUGUUCAGAAAACAGCCUGUCGCCAUCUGAUAGACAUGCUGGUAACCCAAUCCAUGUGAAUUAAAACAGAAUUAGCCAUUCCAGCAGUAACUAGAAAUACUUUUAUUUGUAUAACACCAACAGAAGCCAUAAUACAGAUUAUGGCUACGACGCUAAAGACUACCAAUAGUGAUCAUUUGAACAUUGAUUAGCAGUUGAGAAUAUCAGUAUAUUUAACAAAUGAUUCCCUCCAAAAGCCAAUUCAAUAACUAAACUCACCUUAAGAGUCAGAACUACUGAAAAGUAAAAUUCAUUGUUUAACUAAGCCCAUAUUAAAUUCAUUACUUCACUAGAAGAGACCCCAGAUUCUGCGGACACAGCAGGAAAUCUGAAGUGCGGGCUGUGAUGCUAAUGAGAGGAGGAUCUGAUAACUCACGUUAAGAUUCUUAGACUGCAGUUGCAGGAUUUGUCUCAAAAGUUAAAGCAGCUUCUGAUUGUUGAGACAUGGAACUUUGUGAGAAUUGAUGGUCCAAACCUGCUGCUACUGAUGCUGAUUGGUGAGCUUGAGAAGAAUAGUAAACACCAUGUGGGGGAAAUGAGCCUUGAUGACCAUAGAAAGGUUGACGGACUUGGGGGAAGGAAUAAGUUUGUGCAAUUGGAUUGGGAGGGUAAAGCACCUGAAGCCCUGUUGGCCCAUACAAAGCCUGAUGACCUUCAAAUCGUUUAAGCUUAGCAAUGUGCUUUUUACCAGAAAAAUGGCGAUUAAGAACCUCCCCUGUAUCACACUUGACGUUGCAUAGAUCACAUAUUAGGGGAGCUACAACUUUAGGUUUGGGAGGUUCGACUGGUCGUCUAUGAGUUUCAGAAAUCUUCAUAUGCUUGACUCCCCGACCACCCUUCAUUUUGCGUUUCAUUCCACGUGUCCUACUAUCAAACAAUUUCUUCUUCUGCUUCCUUCCUUGCUGAUCAGACAACUGCUCUGCUGGAACUUCAAGUUUUUCCUCUGUAUUAUUCUGCAGAUCGUUCUCCAUUCCAUUUUCAUCACUGGCAGCUUCAGCAGGUAAGUUUUCUGCUGACUUCUGCUCUUCACCAUCCUGUGCAAUCUGAGGCUGCUGAGCUUCUUCUGGCUUGAAAUCAUUUACAGGUUCCUGAUCAUUUCUUCUCUCUUCCCCUAGUUUAGUAGUAGUUUUCAACUCAUCGAUCCUGAGCAAGUUCUUUUUAUGCCGCUUUCCAUUUUUGUGCUGCUCAAGAAUUUCCAAACUAGUGCAGUCUACCCUACAAAGUUCACACCAAGCAAUCUGAACAGUUCGACAGUUAGAACCUACAUUUUCUGGUGCUGAAGCAGAUUGAUUUGCCUUUUGAACUGCAUCAGAAUGUUCUGGAUAGGAAGAUGUUGCACCUUGCUGUUGGAAGUGCCUAGAACGAGCCUUACCCCGCCCAUGUCCUCUUCCACGAAAAGAAGAAGCAGAACCAUGGUGGUGUCCUACAUUACCAUGGCCACCUCCUCGGGAUGGUCCACCAUCCCUACGUGGAUAUCGACCAUCCUGCAAAAUAUACUUAAAAGGUUCUCAAUAAUGUAAAAAAAAAGCAUAGCAAUAUGUGCUUCUACAAGCCAAGCAAAAGAGGCAAAUCAAAAUAUCUUAAUAUUAAACUCUACUCUGUGACAAAUCUCCAGUCCACCAGCAUUUUAAAUUGCAAGUUAGUGAAUAAACUUAGGCCAAAGAAAAAUUCCUUACCAUAAUCAAAAUUUUUAUCUUAAACGCAAAAACAAGUAUUUAGAAUUUGGAAAUAUUUUGCUAAAACACUAGAAUUGAUCUCAAGCAUGUUAUUAAACGAAGAUACUCCUUUUUCAAAUGUCAAUAAACAGAAACAAAUAAAAUCAAGGAUCCAUUUGGAUAGAUAGUCAUUUGAAAUUAUUCUGGAUUUGGAUUUGAGUUUCAACUAUAAAAUCAUAAAAAUUAUCAUGGUUCCAUAUUCAAAAGCUCAAUCAUUCAAAUGACUAACUAUCCAAAUGUAACCUUAGAUUAAACUUCUAUAUAUCCAGCAGCGGCACCCUAACUGAAUCCGUCAGAACCUCUGUUGCUCUGACUUUUUACUAUUACCCUAGGGACCCUGUUUACACUAGAAUCGGCAUGGGUACUUGGGUAUGAUUCUCCAUAUAUAAGGAAGAACAUACCAGAAAAUUAAAUAUACAUGUGUCGAUCAUGGUUAUGCAUUCGACACUUGUACAAAGUCUGAGCAACAUAGGUUAAGAUAGUAAGCUUCUGACAUGUUCCGAGUUUUUUUUUAAACCAGAUUUAAUACAGAACCUGCCAAAAGUAAAUUUCUGACAUCAUCCAAGCUAUCCUUGUUUUCAGCCACCAGGAUACUUACCAUGAGCAAGGCAAGUGAAUUAAAAGAUCCAUACCUAUUCUUUCUGGCAAGCAAUCCAAGACCAAUGAAAAUGCCUCCUCAUUCAACAUCUCCUAGUUGGCAAAUGACAAAUUUCAGCAACUCCCUUGGCCUAAUGGAAGUCAUAGUGUACCAACAUCAAUAGAGUUUAAAGGUAAGAAUAAGUCAAGGAUAUUAGAAUACAAUUGUGACUAGGCUAAGGUAGCCAUGGCCCACCAAAUUUAGCCUAGGAUUGUGAUUGCUGCACUAGGAUGGAAUCAUUUGAUCAAGUUAAUCCUAAGGUUAAUUGUUUGCAAAUUCAAUGAGUUGAAGCUCGCUAGACUCAAUCCUCUUUCUAUUCUAAACCUCACAGCCAUAAGUUAUGCAAAUUCUAUACGAGGCCCAUUCCAUAUUAACUAGAAACCAUAAAACUUUCAAAUGCAAAAAGACAAGGUGAUCCUUGUCAAUCUCAGCAAGCACUAACUAGAUUUGCAGAUUCAGCGGACCAAACCUACAAUUUGGUGCCAUUUCAAAACCAGUCAUUCUCACUCUUUUCAGAUAUGUAGAACAAGUUAUGGUUGAAGAAUACAGCACUGAAAAUAAUCAUGUUUCAUAAGCUAGUUGAUUCAGACUACAUGAAAUCUGAUUACCAGGCCAAUUUAAAUCAGGAGAUUUUGAGAAACCCAAACAUGUCAAUCAGUUUCUCAGAAGAGCAAACUAUCUUCAAUUGGGUCCAAUGUGAGGAACGUCCUAGAUUUUCUAAACCAAGAACUUGUUCUAACAAUCCUUGUAAAAGGAGUCUGAUAAAGAGAAGAAAACAAGAUUAGCAAAGUGAUCAAGCUGCUAGCCCACAAUAUAUGAACUGUGCAUUCAGGGAGGGUAUGAAACUUAAAGCUAGCAAGAACUACCUGAUAUCCAUUUUCACUCUUAUAGUGAUUCAAGAAUUGAACUAUUAUUUUCAUGUUUUUCAUAUUCUAUCCAUCAUAAUUAAAAGUCAGCAAAAUGUCCAUAUAUGUUCAUGCCCUCUUAUCUGAUAUCCUGCAGUAGAAACCUCAUAUGAUAAACAGACAUUUAGUUUCAAAAAAAUUUUAUUCAAUGGCAUAAGAGCUGGUUGAGUGUGCUCAAAGGGCAUUUCGAUCAAUGGGGAGAUAAACUGAGCAGUGAGAAAAUUAAUUUUGAAUUUUCAGGUCCAAAAAUAUAAAUUUCUAAGGUUAAGUCCUUCAUCCAGAAACCAGGAAAAAAUACCUGAAUUUAAAAAAAAAAAAACUGAAUCUCUAAGUCCUAGUCGGAUGUGUGUUGCAUGGUCGAUCAAAACAACUUCCGCCAACCUCAGAUAGAAGGGAUAGAGCAAAUACAAAAAAAAAAAAAAAAAAAAAAAAACAAGGAUCCAUUUGGAUAGAUAGUCAUUUGAAAUUAUUCUGGAUUUGGAUUUGAGUUUCAACUAUAAAAUCAUAAAAAUUAUCAUGGUUCCAUAUUCAAAAGCUCAAUCAUUCAAAUGACUAACUAUCCAAAUGUAACCUUAGAUUAAACUUCUAUAUAUCCAGCAGCGGCACCCUAACUGAAUCCGUCAGAACCUCUGUUGCUCUGACUUUUUACUAUUACCCUAGGGACCCUGUUUACACUAGAAUCGGCAUGGGUACUUGGGUAUGAUUCUCCAUAUAUAAGGAAGAACAUACCAGAAAAUUAAAUAUACAUGUGUCGAUCAUGGUUAUGCAUUCGACACUUGUACAAAGUCUGAGCAACAUAGGUUAAGAUAGUAAGCUUCUGACAUGUUCCGAGUUUUUUUUUAAACCAGAUUUAAUACAGAACCUGCCAAAAGUAAAUUUCUGACAUCAUCCAAGCUAUCCUUGUUUUCAGCCACCAGGAUACUUACCAUGAGCAAGGCAAGUGAAUUAAAAGAUCCAUACCUAUUCUUUCUGGCAAGCAAUCCAAGACCAAUGAAAAUGCCUCCUCAUUCAACAUCUCCUAGUUGGCAAAUGACAAAUUUCAGCAACUCCCUUGGCCUAAUGGAAGUCAUAGUGUACCAACAUCAAUAGAGUUUAAAGGUAAGAAUAAGUCAAGGAUAUUAGAAUACAAUUGUGACUAGGCUAAGGUAGCCAUGGCCCACCAAAUUUAGCCUAGGAUUGUGAUUGCUGCACUAGGAUGGAAUCAUUUGAUCAAGUUAAUCCUAAGGUUAAUUGUUUGCAAAUUCAAUGAGUUGAAGCUCGCUAGACUCAAUCCUCUUUCUAUUCUAAACCUCACAGCCAUAAGUUAUGCAAAUUCUAUACGAGGCCCAUUCCAUAUUAACUAGAAACCAUAAAACUUUCAAAUGCAAAAAGACAAGGUGAUCCUUGUCAAUCUCAGCAAGCACUAACUAGAUUUGCAGAUUCAGCGGACCAAACCUACAAUUUGGUGCCAUUUCAAAACCAGUCAUUCUCACUCUUUUCAGAUAUGUAGAACAAGUUAUGGUUGAAGAAUACAGCACUGAAAAUAAUCAUGUUUCAUAAGCUAGUUGAUUCAGACUACAUGAAAUCUGAUUACCAGGCCAAUUUAAAUCAGGAGAUUUUGAGAAACCCAAACAUGUCAAUCAGUUUCUCAGAAGAGCAAACUAUCUUCAAUUGGGUCCAAUGUGAGGAACGUCCUAGAUUUUCUAAACCAAGAACUUGUUCUAACAAUCCUUGUAAAAGGAGUCUGAUAAAGAGAAGAAAACAAGAUUAGCAAAGUGAUCAAGCUGCUAGCCCACAAUAUAUGAACUGUGCAUUCAGGGAGGGUAUGAAACUUAAAGCUAGCAAGAACUACCUGAUAUCCAUUUUCACUCUUAUAGUGAUUCAAGAAUUGAACUAUUAUUUUCAUGUUUUUCAUAUUCUAUCCAUCAUAAUUAAAAGUCAGCAAAAUGUCCAUAUAUGUUCAUGCCCUCUUAUCUGAUAUCCUGCAGUAGAAACCUCAUAUGAUAAACAGACAUUUAGUUUCAAAAAAAUUUUAUUCAAUGGCAUAAGAGCUGGUUGAGUGUGCUCAAAGGGCAUUUCGAUCAAUGGGGAGAUAAACUGAGCAGUGAGAAAAUUAAUUUUGAAUUUUCAGGUCCAAAAAUAUAAAUUUCUAAGGUUAAGUCCUUCAUCCAGAAACCAGGAAAAAAUACCUGAAUUUAAAAAAAAAAAAACUGAAUCUCUAAGUCCUAGUCGGAUGUGUGUUGCAUGGUCGAUCAAAACAACUUCCGCCAACCUCAGAUAGAAGGGAUAGAGCAAAUACAAAAAAAAAAAAAAAAAAAAAAAAAAGGGCCUACCAAUGAGAAUUUUCAAUUUUGGAAGCAACUUGUUAUCUACUGGGUAAGUGAUCAUUGUACUUUCAUAUGCUAAUUUGGUACAGUUAUAGGCAGGCCAGCAUAGGCAACUCAGUUUUCCUACAAAUAUUUAAAGGAAGAAAGAGAGGAAAUUGUCCAUUCCCAUUUACAUGGACACAGAUUUUACAGGUCCCAGUUGUAUCCAAUAGCAAUGAGCACCAAAUGAGAAGAAGUUGGCAAAUAGCAGGAUAUAAAAAAAUGGGUUUGAGAAGCAAUGCUUUUUGAAGCUACUCAUAACUCCACCAGGAUAUAAUAACUGUAUUCAAUGUUGUAAUGAUGCUUUUAACAUAUUUCUAUUUUACUUGAACCUGGUACAUUUUUUCCCCUAUGCACAGUGGAGUAGCUUGAUCCUGCAAACAACCAUGGCAUCCCAAACAGAAGCAUCUCAAUGCACUGGCUGUUCUUUUAUACAUUUUGUAAAGUGUGAAGCUAAAUGUCCAAAUUUGACUUAGAUAGGAGCUCUGAGGGCAGAAUUAUGUCUGACAGAAAAUAGCUGACUGGCUUAGUUAAAGCAUGACUUUGUUCACUUGAUGGUCCAAAAUGACCAAAAUUUGGUUUUUCAUAUGUCAGUAAUGGUAUGAUGUAAACCAUCAUUGAAGUCUAAAGACUAGCAUUCUUUAGAGUAAGUAAAAAUGUUUCAAAAAUGGACUACACCAUAUAAUGAUUGUCAUCCAUAAAAUGUUCAGCAGCAACAGACCAAAAUAUACCUGCGAUGUUCAAAUGCACAUAGAAUAUGCUAUGGAACGUUUUAUUCUCAGCAAUCUAGAGCAGCUACAGAAUAACAAAAACUAUAGCUAACUUCAACAAUGAACAUGAUAUAUUGCAAAGUAAAAGCACAAACUGGGAUGCCAAAAGAUCUAAAAUUCAGUUCUGGCCAGUUUUAGGCUACAAGAUCAGUUAUUAAACUUUCCUCAACCUCAACCUACCAAUAUGUGAAGCAAGCACAUUAAAAAGUAACCUUUCAAAUGAAGGGUCACCAGAAUGAUAUAUUUUGUAUGCAUGUAUACAUAUGCCGAUAUGUGUGUCUGCACGCAUGUUCCACACCCGCCUGAACACGCGCAACCGUAGAGAAGAUGAGGUGCAUAGCAACAUCAACAUAUUACAAGUGAUUCAGUAGUCAACCACUAUCAUAUCUCAUUAAUUUCACAAGCGAAUUAUUAAGAAUCAAUGACUGUCAUAUCUGAUUAAUUUCAAAAGCAAAUUAUUGAGAAUUGCAUCAAUACUCAAGAAGGAUUGAGUGAGUUCCCCUCUCAAAUUGUCUUAUAUCACAUUUCCAACUAAUUUAACGAAACUUUUGGCCCCAUGAGAAUAUUCCUUUGUACACUGAAGAGCAGAAAAUGAAAAAAGUCACAAUUUUAAAAUACGAAGUACACAAGUCCAAAUUUUAGAAACCAUCAAAUGCAACAGUAAAUCAAAUAGGAGAAAAUGGUCAAUUGCCCUAAGAACAUAAGACAUCAGUGAGAACGCCCCCUAAACUUACAAUUUAAAUUUAACAAAAUCACAAACACCUUACCGGAUGACGCAUUGGAACACGCAUAAAUCCCGGACUCUUCGCCGGUAACCCAGCCAUUGCCCUCUCCGCAGCGUCCAUAGUCCCCGCAAAUUGCGUCAGCUGCUCUAGAGCCGCGAUAGCCGCAGCGGCAGCUGGAUUCAUCCCCGGAGGAGGCGGCGGCACAACUACAUUUACCGAAGUCUGAGGCGGAGGAUAGGCGCUCUGCGGGUGUUGCUGCUGUGCCGCCUGCAACGAUGCCCCAGUUCCACCAGAAUCGGCAAUUUGUGGCACUUCUUGUGGAGCAGAAACCCCUGGAGCAGACUCAUGAUGAUAAUACGGGGGUUGCUGAUAAGCAACUGAGUAAUCGGGCUGGUAAUAAGCGUAGUGUUGUAUUUGUUGGCCGUAUUGCCAUUGAUUUUGAUCUGGGUAUUGCUGAUAAUACGAAUAAUAAGACUGGUCAUAAGAUUGAAACUGGGUUUGAUAGUAAUAAUCUUGAACUUGGUAUUGUGGGUAUUGGAGGGCUUGCGUUUGCUCUUGUAACUGCGGGUUUAGCUGGUCGAUGGUGGUCGUCGUGCUGAGGUGUUGUUGCUGGUCAGGUUCAGGAAUAGAUGAUACGUCCAUUUUUGGUGUAUGAUCUUUUGGCGAUUGGCGAUUGGGUUGGUUAUGGGGAAAAAGAGAAGGGAAGGGGAAGGGGAAGGAGAAGGAAACUGAACGUUUUCUUGUUUUGGGUCGAACUUGAAUAGAUGGAACGACGGGAUAUUUGGCACUGACGCUGGUGGUUAGUGCUGGUAAAGGGGUUGCUACCAAGUGGUGGAGUAGCAAAAUCUUUUUACUCGAAAGGCUCGCAAUCAAAUUAAGCAAUGUCCAAGCAUGCCCAAGCCGAACCCAAUUACGGUUUUUGGAAUUUUUUUUUGUUCUUCAGAUGGGCUUUCUGUGGGCUUAUUAUCUUCUUCUCUACUAUUGUUAGCCCUUCUCUUUUUCACAAGAAAAAAGGAAAAAUCGAACAUGUACGAAGGGGUAAAAUUGAAUAUUUGCUCAAAUCCAUUAACUGGACCGCGAUUGUACACAACGAUGGGGCAAUAUUUACAAUUUACAUAAAAAUAAGGGGCAUUCACGAAAAAAAUGGAAAAAGAAGUGGUCAGUGUAAGAAUUCGAAGUAUACAGCGCAUCAAACACAGAAUCAAGCUUUCAACUUCCAUUCUCUUCCUGUAACCAAAGCCACACUCAGUGGAUAUAAAAGUAUAAAACCACCAAUAAUCCGAACCCAACAAACACGAGUAAGCAAAUGGCUGUUGCUGCUUUAGCACCAGCUACUUCCCUCCGUUUCAGUCCCUACUCAACCAUCCGGUUCCUCUCCUCCUACUCCAAAUCAAAUCCUAGAAACCUCCCUACAACAAUCCCCAAAACCCUGCUAAAACCCCAUGCUCUCCCGCCAAAAUUCUUCCGGCUGCUCCCACCACAAGGCGAGCCCCGCCGCAGGUCUUUCUGCACCGUCAUUUCCGGUGCUAUGCAGUCCGGUGAGAGGACCAAACAGGAAUCCAUGGAAGACCGAAGGGGCGAAACGGGAGAUAGAGUCGGGGCCUUUAGGAAAAAGCUGAAGAUAGCUGACAUAAAGGGUGGGCCCGAUGAAGGAUUGGAUCGGGUCGGACACACUCUAGUUGUGAUGGGGUGGGUCCGGACACUCCGGGUUCAGAGUAGCGUUACGUUCAUUGAGGUAAUGUUUAUCUAAUUAAGAUGGAAGAAUCUACGAUUUUGAACUGAGUUUGAUUUACGUUUUGUUGGUGUUUCUUCUAAGUAUUUUUGGGUUGGCAAUAUAUAUUUUCUUGAGCUGUGUGUUAAUUCUAUGAUAUAUGCAUUCAGGUUAAUGAUGGUUCAUGCCUGUCAAACAUGCAAUGUGUAAUGGAUAUGGAAGCUGAAGGUUAUGACCAGGUAUCACAAUGACCAAUAGAUUGGUGUUCAUUUUGAAUUUGCAUUUAUAGAACUAGAUAUAGUUGUUGUUGCUCAGAUUCUAAGUUCUAAUUCUUUCUUUAAGAAUUUUCUCAAUACUGGUAUCUUGAGGAGUCUAGUUCCUUAUAAAUUGGUUAAUGAACAUGUGCAUGUGUUUCCUUCACUGCAUAAUUAUUUAGGAUUAAACCUAGUACUGGUGGUGGGUGUACUUCUGUUAUUCUCCUUCUAUAAUCUGGUUUGCUAUCAUGAACUAAUGUUUUUCUUUCCUUUUCUAAAAUAUGCAGUUGUCUCCAUUUGUCGCUACCUUGAUAUUUUCAUGUCUAUAUUAUUGUCACUUUCUUUUUAUUUAGCAUGGAGCUUGUUAAUAGGUAGACUCUGGUUUGGUGACAACUGGUGCAUCAAUAUGGGUACAAGGGACAGUAGCAAAGAGCCAAGGGUCAAAGCAAAAGGUGGAACUGAAGGUUACAAAAAUUGUAGCGGUAUGGCUUCCUGUUAAAUUUGUUUUUUUUUAGUUUGAUGUGAUUGGAGAGUUUGCUCUUCCAUAUUAACUUUGCAUCAUAUGUUUUCCAUUUCAAUUAAGUUUUCAGUUCAUAGGCAGGGGCAGAUCUACCUUAUGUACUGGAUACCUACCGCCCCCAAGUUUUUCAAAAUUUAAUUUUUCUCCACUGAAUUAUAUAAAUAUUUUCAAAAAUAUCCAUGUUUUCCCUCCCAAAGUUUUUCAAAAAUUCAAUUCCCCCCUAAAUUUUAUAUAUCUUUUCAAAAAUAUCCAUAUUGGUCUUGAAUUUUGCUUUGAAUUUUUCUUUUUCUUUUUUCUCUUUUCUUUUUAACACUUUUGUCUCCCCCAAUACAAGUCUAGUUCUGCCCUUGUUCAUAGGUAUGCUUAUAUGUAUGAUUUCUAUUUGUGUGGUUGUAUAUUUAGUCAACCAGCAUUGCAUGAAUGCAUUACAUUAACUCUGUUGAAAGUGAGGACAGCUAACACAGCUACUUAUCAAACACAUUGUCUCACUCAGUGAUGUGCCUUGGCACGUAAUACCUUACUUGAGAAUGAUAUCUUUUGUUGAGUUAUGAGUUCUUAAUGUUGCUCAGCCAGAGGUACACAAAAUAUUCUGCAUUUCUUAGUCUAAAGGCUUCAAUUGAUGCACUGAAAGUACUGUCUUUUGGAUAUUAAAUGCAAUCAGACUAUUUUGCUUUGCUGAAUGCUAGAUGUAGAUUCCCUGUUGUUUGACCACUUAGAUUGGAGUUUCCCUGUUGACUGGAAGCUGUUAUUUUGAAUUUUAACUGAAAAGUUGAGAACAUUAUCACCAUUUCUUUUUGUUGAAGUUCAAAACAAUAGCUUCCAAUCAACAGAGCAACUCCUAACUAAAUGGCUAAAUAACAUGAAAUUUACAUCUACCACUAUUCUGUGCAUUAGCAAAUGUAAUGUUUGUUGGAUGAUGCAAAUUGCUAAAAUAAUGAAUGAUCUGCGAUAAAGAAUGAUAAAAUUCAGAUGCAUUUGGUUUGAAAGUGAAACCAUAUAUUGCAACACUUGGUGAAUUAAUGAUUUGUUUUAUGAUGAAAGGCAUCCCUAGUGGAUUAAGCUCCCUAUUUAAGAUUGAUUUUGCUUAGUGUGUAAUUUUAAAUAGAUUUUAUGCUUUUCAUAUUCAAUCUUUGAAGAAUAUUUUGGAAUACUCCGGUCUCCUUGAUGACCUUCUGUUAUGUUUGCAGAAAUUUAAGGCUAUUUUUUGAGCUCUUUUAAAUAUUUUUUGAAAACUUGAAAAAGGAAUGACAACAAAAGCUCCAGUCAUUUUUGGGCCUAUAGCCAAAUUGUGCACCAAGGCUGCUCACUGCACUAGCACCUAGGCCAAGGAACACGAUCCAUAAUGAGGUUUUGUUUACAUCAACAUAUGCACAGAACCAAGGAAGAGAGAAUCCACUUGAAUGAUGUCAAGAAAAGCUGCACGACUUUUGGGCGCCAACCUGCAUAUCAUCUAAAUGUGUUAUUGUUGCUUGUUUUUACAUUAAAAUAACUUUUCUUGUUGUAGGUUGGCAAGAGUGAUCCAUCCUAUCCCAUUCAAAAGAAAAGAGUCAGCAGAGAAUUUUUGAGAACUAAAGCUCAUCUUCGUCCUAGAACAAACACAUUUGGUGCGGUAUGGCUUUGCUGCUCAUUUCUGAUCUAACUUUUGGUUUUUUCUUUUUUAGUAAUGCAAAUUGGUUCUAGGUUGCAAGGGUAAGGAAUGCUUUGGCUUUUGCUACACACAAGUUUUUUCAAGAAAAUGGGUUUGUCUGGGUCUCAAGUCCUAUUAUCACAGCUUCAGAUUGUGAAGGGGCGGGCGAACAGUUCUGUGUUACUACUUUGGUAUGUAGCAUUACAUUAUUAAUGGCCAAUUUCUGUCCUUUUGCCUGAUUUUGUACAAUGCUUUAUGGGGCCAAUUGGUUCCCAGAGAUCAACAUUUUCAUGGGAAAUGACAUUCUUAGGAAAUUAUUACCAAUUUUAGUGUUCAAAGUUUCAUUUUCUAAUUAGUAUUCAAAUUUUGCAGGCAGAAAUGAUUUUAUAAAGAUAAUGUAAUUCAGGGUGACUCCAUUUUGUGCAAGAUUUUUAUUAGUGACUAUCCUGCAGUGAUUUUAUGACAUUGCUGUUUAACUUGAUACUUUAUGGAUUUCAUUGAGUUUAGUAACAGUUUUGUUAAUUCACAGAUUCCAAGCUCUCGGGAAGCAGUUGAUUCUCAUGUGGAUGGCAUUCCAAAAACAAAGGACGGACUAAUUGAUUGGUCUCAAGUGAGUUCAUCGUAAUUUUUUUUUCUUUCCAUGCUUUAGCAUUUGUUGUUUAAAAUGGUUACCUUGUGGCAAUUUUCAUUAAUUUAAUAUAGCUGGUGCAAUCAGGGUUAAUGCGAUCCUUUUUAGUUGGUUUGCACUUUGCAGUCAUACAUAGUGUUGUGAUUAGAUUCAAAAAUAAGAUUUCCUUGUGGUUCUUGGUCACGAGAAAAGUUAUUUUAUCGUGUGUGACAACACAAUGUAUAUGAAACUAGGGUGAGUUUGAAGUCAUUUCACUAGGUAUCAUUUUCACUUUCUUUAUUCAUUUCUCAGGAUUUUUUUGGCAAACCAGCAUUUUUGACAGUUUCUGGCCAGCUCAAUGGUGAAACAUAUGCUACUGCUCUAUCAGAUGUAUAAAUUUUCUACUCAUCCUUGUCUUCAUAAAAGCCACUUUGAAAAUGUGAGCUAUCUGAACCCUUUUGAUCGUACAAUUCUACAAUUUCUCUCAGGUGUAUACAUUUGGUCCCACAUUUCGAGCUGAAAAUUCUAAUACUUCUAGACACUUAGCUGAAUUUUGGGUAAGCAUUCCUUGUUAAUUUUUAUUAUUAUUAUUAAUAUUAAUGCGUCUCAUGUGCUAGUGUAGUAUCUUACUACUCUCUUUCUAUCCCUUUAUAUAAGAUGAUUGAACCAGAACUUGCAUUUGCUGAUCUGAAUGAUGACAUGGCCUGUGCAACUGCCUAUCUCCAGUAUGUAGUAUGUUACCUUUCACACCAUCUUUGCCAUUAAUUCAACACUUAUGGAGUGGAAGCAGCUUGCAGCCACUCAGAAGCACAUUUACUAAUUGGAUGAUUUACAUAUUUAUGUUUUCAAGGUGAGGCAUAUACUUGACAAUUGCAAGGAAGAUAUGAACUUCUUCAAUACUUGGAUUGAGAAAGGCAUCAUCGAUCGAUUGAGUGUAUGAGUUCUCAAGUGUAACUUAUCCUUCUUCAACCUUUCUGUCAUACAUUUAAUCUCUUGCUGUUACUUUGUUUUAUUAAUUUGGUUCACAAUGUGAUGGUUUGGGCUUCACAAUAAUGCCCAAAUUUGACAGAUUUUAUCAUGCAUGCCUUGACAUUUUGGAAUUUUAUUUUUUUUAUCAACAGGAUGUUGCUGAGAAAAACUUUGUGCAGUUGACAUACACUGAUGCAGUUGAACUUCUUCUUAGAGCAAAUAAGAAGUUUGAAUUUCCGGUACUGUAUGUUUUACUUCUAUCCUUUCUUUGGUAAUAGGUGGCAUAUUUGAUUGGAUAUUUAUUCUGUAGAGUAACUGUUUCUACUACCUUCUAAAUGUCUUUUCUUUGUUCAGGAUAAGUGACUACUCUGAAUUUCUAUUUCUUAUCUCUUUCAUUUUUUUCCUGCUAUUUCUUGAUAUGAGGUGAAAUACUCUUUUCUCUUGCACAUUUCUAGGUGAAAUGGGGAUGUGAUUUGCAAAGUGAGCAUGAGCGAUAUAUUACUGAAGAAGCAUUUGGUGGAUGCCCUGUCAUAAUAAGAGAUUAUCCAAAGGCAUGCCCCUUACAAGCUCUCUUUUUCUUUUGAUUUUGAAGAAGGCCAGACACAUAUGGAAUCUAUUACUGUUCUUGUUCUGAAUCUCUCAAUGUAAAACUCUCAGGAGAUCAAGGCUUUUUAUAUGAGGCAAAAUGAUGAUGGGAAGACUGUUGCAGCCAUGGAUUUAUUGGUUCCUCGGGUAACAAUUAUUUUAUGUUAAUUAUUACGAGUAUAAUUUAGUCAAUAGCUGUCAUCUUGAGCCUUUAGUAGCCUCUGGCAACCUCCAGAGAUACUUGAAAAGCAAGAAGCCUGUGAUUCAUGAACAUUAUUUAUGUUGGGGACUAUAGUAUCUUUGAGAUGAUUUUAAUAUAAUACUUCUUUACAAGUUUAUUUUUUGGAAAAAUUAAUUUUGAUUUCUUUACAGGCCUGAAAUGAGAUUAUGAGAAUGUCAUUCAUUAUGCCAAUUGCUUAUUUAUUUUCAUUUUUAGCAGGGGACAAUGAAAUAUCUGGGCUUAAUUCUCGAAAUGAUGUAAAACUUGUUUUAACAAAUGGGGUCUGAAUGGAACAGUCUCAUAUAAAAAUAUUUCUAUUGCUCUUUUUGUUUUUCAGGUUGGGGAGCUUAUUGGUGGAAGUCAAAGAGAAGACCGACUUGAGUAUCUGGAAGAUCGUCUGGAUGAAUUAAAACUAAACAAGGACAGUUUCUGGUGGUAUCUGGAUCUGCGCCGUUAUGGUUCAGGUGAGGAAUUUUACUCACUGAAACUGAGGCUAAUUAUUCUCUUGAUUGGGUGACCGUGACAUCUGUUGAAAUCAAUCGUAUAAAUUCUGUUUAUGAUUUAGGAAUUCUGCUUUCGUAAGUGCUUUAAAAAUGUCUACAAAACUUCUCAAUGUUUAAUUCGUAACAAUUAAAACCCAGAGUUUCUUCCCAAUACGUCAUUUUCUUCAGUGGGGCCAUGGUUCCUUCACCAGAUGACAGCCAUACCCAUGCCCUUGCCAGCAUUUUUUUUUUUCUUUCUUGAGGGUUCAUUUCUGUGGAGGUCUUGUGCAUGAAUUAACUCAAAGGCAGAAAAAAAAAAAGAGGAAAAAUCAAUGUUUCCGAGCCAUAGGUGGGUAGGCCCUAGAACCAUAUAUAAUGUCGAACCAUAUAUAAUGUCUUCUAGCAUAUCCUUGUGGUUUACUUGAAUCAUUGACUUUUGCUUUAUUCCUAGUCAAGAUGCUGGCUCAUAUUGGCAUACUCGUUAUAUAGUUUAUAUAGCUUUUCAAUCGAUGGAGAAAAUUUUGAAGCAAAGAUACUAGGUUGUUUGAAUUAUGUAGUACUACAGCUGUCAUGAAAUUUGUAUGAUAUCCUCUGAAUAGCUGAAAUGUUUUAGUUCAAAAUUUGGUGUUCUGAUCUCUUGUUUUCACAUCUUACCAGUUCCUCACGCGGGUUUUGGACUGGGCUUUGAAAGGCUGGUUCAAUUUGCAACCGGAAUAGAUAAUAUAAGAGAUGCUAUACCUUUCCCUAGGACACCGGGUUCAGCUGAAUUUUGAAUGGCAAAAUUAGUAAACGUAUGAUUUGUUUCUUUUUUGUGUUUUCUCCCCCGGACAUUUUCCUCUCUUUGAUUCCAUCUUUAGAUUAUUUCAUUUUGUUUGGAAUAAAUUAUAAUUUAAGAACUUUUUAGGCAAAAAUCUCUUUGGACUUGAAGUGAUAUAAUGGCUGCCUUUUAUCGGGCAUUACUGCUAAUAUUUUGUGUAAACAAACCAAAUGUAAAUUUACGUAUUUAUAAGUGGACAUUUUGAAUAGUAUUAUCAUUACGCAGUUGUAUCGAGUUUUUACAAUUUAGCUCUCUUAUUUGUUGAUUUGUUGCUGUGAGAGUAUAUUGAUUUUCGGAUUGAUGAUUAUAAUUAACUAAUACUACUAUUUAACUUGGUUAAAUUACAAUUUUUUAUGAUAUAUAGAACACAACAAAUAUCGAUUUCCAUAACAACAAAAAAGCGUGACAGAGAAGCAGUGUGAAUUGAUUUUCAAUUUUUUCCCAUUCCCUUGUCAAGUAACUGAUUCUUUUAAUUAAUUUAAUUGUAAUUCGAAUUUGACUGCAUAAACCCUGAGAAAGCUCAUGUAAAAACCCGCCAACGCAUCGAUAACGACAAACAUUUUUGACUGCAUAACCCAUUCUAGCAAAAACCGGUUUCCAUCCUCGUUUCUAAUAAUUUAACUUUCAUAAAGCAUUUAUAGGAAUACAGUGGAGCAAAACAAAUGUUUUAUUUUUUCCAAAUGAGUACAAUAUUUUGUCACUCAACAAGAUUUUAAGGGGCUUGCUUCUAUCUUGCUCGAGAGAAUUUCCCUGUCCUCAACAAAUGAACAAAUGACCAACUGUACAACAGGUGCCCUUGCAGGCUUUCUUUGUUUUAUAGUUUUAAGGGGGGGGAAAGAAAACAAAAAUCAGCUCCUCAAGCAUUAGAUGGUGGCAACUCCUAUGACAUUCAGGUAAAAGCCUAGGCAUGUAAUUGAUUACAGUAAGUAUAUAAUGUGCCAACCACAUUUCAACUUACAUUUAUGAGGAGAAGGAAAUGGCGGGGAAAUUCUGUGAAAACAUUUUUGCUUUCCUCUUUUUGAACCCCGUCGCUGGUGAAAACAUUCUGUUGCUUUUGAGAUGCAGCAUGCUAUCGCUCAUCCCAAGUAUCGUAUAGAUCACAAGGAACAAAACUCAUAUUUACAUCAUUACUCCGCUAAAGUUCCACCUCAUGAAGGUCUUCUCCAAUGCUGCUACCACUCCGUUGCAUAUGUGCCAUAGAAGGAUUACCAGGCAUGAAAGGUGAAGGCAUGCCCAGUGCCUCUCCCAGAGGUUUGGUUUCCAUAGUUCUAGGAGGGCUAAAAGAAUCACUGAAGCCACUCCAUGAAGCGGUUCGUCGAGAAUUAGAUGACAGUGGGGCAUUGCCAUUUAUACUUGUCUCCUUCCUCGUAAUAUUAUCCAUGCUUGGGAACCUAUGCAUAUUCAUUUUUGAAAAAGUUGCUGGAGAUUGGAAAGUCUCUUCAGUUGGUGGAGAAGGAUUUUCAACAAAUGUGGUUUCUUGCACAUUUUCUGCUAUAGUUUCUGUUGAAACUUCACUUGAUGGCACAGGUGUGGGAACAAAAAACUUUGCAUUUGCAGUAACAGCUGGUUUGACAGAUGGAACAGAAGGUGACUGGAAUAACUUGGCUGAGCUUCCACCACCUUGGUUGAAGGUGUCCACGUACCUGCCAAAUACCAAAUACCAGAUACCAAUGAAUAUCAUUCUUUAAGAAGAGCUGUGGCCGUUCAACUGAUCACUAAACAAUAAAUAUGGAAAAAUGGAACGCAAAUGAGUCAUCAACCCCAAGAACCAUCCUCCCCAUCGGCUAACCCACCAAAACAUGCUUGUUCAAGAGGAACCAUUUUUGCUAAUUUCUAUCAAGUACUUCUCACAUGAUUUAACUCCAGCCUAAGUAAAACAAAUGAUAAUAAAUACCUUGCUCGUACACCCAUCCGCCCACGAGCUGAGAAUUGAUUAGAACUGGUCGGAAUAGGUGGAAUCCCAGAAGAGUGUUGUUCCACAGAGGUUGGAGUGUUAAAUGUUGGGCUCCCAUUAUUCGGAGAUCCAUCACUCAGUGCAGAUUUCAAGUUGUAGUCGGGCAUUCCAUUUUGGAAGGCUGAAGUUGUAGGGGGUGGUGCCAAGGCUGCUUCUUCUGCAGGGGGUUCAACACCUUCCUCUACCCAUCUCUUAAGCUUUUCAUCAUAAUAGAAUUUGUUCUUUUCACCCAAUUUAGCCUUCAAAUGCAAACAAUAGUCAUUAACAGGCUCACCAUUGUCUAAUUCAAUUUAAAAUAAAAAAUAAAAAAUAAAAAAUAAAUAAAAAAUAAAAAAAAUCAAAUAUUGAACAACAAUUACCUGUCGAUCUGAGCGGGGCCUUAAGACUAGCCCCACUGUCUUUUGCAAAAGCUGUGAACCAAAACCAAAACGACCAAAGCGAGAUGCACCACCUGAACCUGAUGGUUUGCUUUGUGCACUAGAGGAGGUUCCUUCCUUCGAUGAAUCAACCUGAUUCCCACCACAAGUCAGCAAGACCUCAUAAAUUUUAUGCAAUAUAAUAAGCACAAACAGGAAGCGCCUAGUUUAUAUGUGUUUUUCAACUAGGAGAUAAUUACCCACCUGUCUUGGAGUUCUACCAAAAUCUGGUUCAGAAACACUUCUGUUAUGCAUUGACAUUCUACUCCCAUCAGCAGCCCAUUCACUCAUGGGCUCCAUUGAAGCAGAUGGCAUUAAUGAUGACAUGGCCAUAGUUGAUUGACUAGCUGAUACCCUAGGUGCCAUUGGCGGUUGAUAAUGGUCAUUAUUUUGUACGCUUCCUUGUGAUGUUGAUGGUACAGGUGGUGGUAGACCCCCAACAACACGAUGUGCUGUACUGUCAAAAAAAUUAAGCAAUUUACCAACCAACUUUGCCGGAGCCAAAUUUGCCGUAUAUCCACCCUGAAAACAGAAUAUUCGGUAACUAAGUUUUGUACAACAAUUAUGAAUAAGCUAUGAAGUAGGAGAUAGAGAAACACCUGUUGAUGGGUUUUAAUCCUAUCCUCAAGGGAUAACACCAAUUGUCUCCAUGUUUCAACCUCUGGAGCUCGACCAGUUUUUAGAGAUUUUAAUAUUGCCUGGCAAUACCUGAAUCAACUCAUAGAGCUCAGAAAACCAAAUGAAGGAAGAAUUACAAAAAGCAUCAAAUUUGAAAUUUUCCACCUACUUCAAUGAAUCAGAAACUUUGCCCACUUCAGCCAGCAUGUAUGCAUAUAUCAGCUUAUACGGCUGAAAAGGUAGCAGAAUAAACUGGGAGUUGCCAAGCACCUUUGAGUAUUCGUACAAUUCCGUUCUCUGUCCAUACACCCAUCAAACCAACUUGAUAAGAUGAAAUACCACUUGUGAAUAGAAUCAUAUUUUAGAGAGAGAAAUGAGUCUAAGAUUGUCAUUCCAAUUCUCUUAAUAUGGUUUGAACAUUAACCAAGACUUCAAAAACUAAAAGAAUAUGCUCCAAUAAACUCUAUAUUAACUGGAACUAUCUCACAAUCCUGAAUAUAAAUUCGCUCUCAUACGAGCAUACAAGAAGCCAUUAAAACAUUGACAAAUAAAUAAAAUAUGAACAAAAGAGCCAAAAAUAAAUGAAGAAAGAUGACCUGAAUAGCUUCUGGACUAGUAUAUGUUCGAGGAUGUUUCCAGUGAUCUGCCCCAAUAAGACACAAUCUUGCAGUAUCUGAAUAUGACUCAAAGUUUGCUUCUGCCACUAAAUAGCAUAUGUGUGCACCAGUAAUCUGAAAUUAAUUUUCAGUAAGACUUGGGAACAAAACUUUGGUAAGUACUCAAAAAUUAAUGACAUAAAAAGAUGAGAUACCUCACUUCUAUCCUUCCAUAGGCAAUCUCCAAGAUGAACAAUCACAAGCUCAUCAUCUUUGGUCCUGUUUGCAGUUAUUACAGCCAAAUUCUCUUCCCAAUCAUCAAGCAUGCCAUUUGCUCCAAACUGCAGUUAAUUGCCAAACUUUGACAAUUAAUUUCAAAAAUGGAUAAAUAAAGCCAUACAUCCUUUUCCAAGGCUGAGACAUAACGGAAAUAUAGUAAAGUCAAAAGAUGGCAGCAGUAUCAAGGCCUACGUGUUACUCAUCCUAGAAGAUAUGAAAUAUAACUAAACAUAUGGUCAUUGCCUGUCACACGGAAACUAGAAAAGAACCAGCACAAGUCAGCAGCAAUAUCAAUAUCACAUACAUUUCAAGACAUCAUUCCCAUAUUGAUUUGAGUUUGCUUGAAACAAGCAUGUUCCUUUCCUGCGACAUAUCCCCCACUUAUUUCUUUGAUGCUAAGAUAACUGGUUUCUCAUUAAAAGAAUCCAAAGUAUUGCACAGAUUCUAAAUGCCUAACCUAGCCAUUUACUGUGGCAAAAAGACAGGCAUAAUGCAUCACCUGGACAGGCUGCUGAGAAAUUCCACCAGGAAGACCACUGCCAGCCGUGGCAUCAGCAGAAAAUACAUCAGCUGGUUGCCCUGCAAUUAGCAGGCAUAAUGUCCGCAAAGGUGAUCCUGCUACAAGCUGGCGAAGUGCCAUUUGCUUUACAGUAUCAACAUAGAACUGUUCCAGCAACAAAAGUAUGCAAACACACACAAAGCAGUGAACAUCUAAAUAGUCUGCCUUAAAGAUGAAUUUACCUAAACAGAAUAAUGUAAAAAAAAGUGAACUGGACAAUAAACCUGAUCCCCAAGCUGCGAUGCAAGCACGAGCGCAGGUCCCCAUAACUGGCCCUCUUGGGCACACUGUAAAGCCUCUUUCUUUCUACCAGAAACCAGAAGAUCCUGUACCUCGGAAGCAGUUGCCUGAAACAUACAUAAAAAUCUUUCACAAAAUGAUGAAGUGCCAUAGUAUAGUGCAACAUUGCAUAGUGAUUUAUUGGAUACCCGAAUCUGUUCUUCAGAUGGCAACCUCUGCAAACAGUGGCUAACAGCACCAUAAUCACUGAAUUGUAUGCCAUUCCUCUUGGCAGAUGCAAAAAGUUUUGCCACUGCUGAUUCUGGGGAAUCACUCUCCUACAAAAGUAAUCACAGUUUAGUUAUUUACAUAUUUGGCUUUCCAAUAAUAUUAUAGCCAUGCAGAAAUUAAGAACACGCAUUAGGAUUGCAAGUGGGGCUAUUUAACUCAAAAUAACUUAACAUAAAUUAACAAUAAAAAAAAAUAAAAAGCAACAAGUUAACCCAAAAUUCUCGCAAGUAAAAUCCAGAGAAACUGACAAAACUUUUGCCAUCAAUAAAAUGAAGCAGAUGUACUGAAACCUCUGCCUUCACCAUAAAAACUUUGGAUCGUGCAUAUUUUUCUGUCAUUACACUAGACCUACUACUCUUUCUACUUUAGGGCUUGGAACCCUUGCAAUAUUUCUCUUUUGCUCUUCUCCAAGCCCAAACAUUUCCAGCGAGUCAUGAUCAUGUUUUGUUCAUUCAAAGGUACCCUCAACGAACUUGAAAGAGUGCUAUAGAAUAUGACUUUCCAAAUUUGUUUUACAGAAAUAUCUCAUAACAAGGAUAUUGAAAGUGGAAUAUUAGAGGAGAGAGAGAGAGAGAGAGAGAGAGAGAGAGAGAGAGACAUAAGUAUGAUUGGUGGUGCUUUGGUUGGGAGGAAGGGAAGAUGGCAUAGGGUUUCUGCCAAAUGCUUCUCAAUGGAUACUUAUCAACUAAAUAAUUUAUAUCCUAAAACAGAUCCAGCAGAGUAAACCACAUAAGUACUUGUGCCAAGCAACAGAAAAAAUAAUGAACUCUUAUGAACCAAGAAAAGGUCACUUGCGAUAAAAAAUUCACAACGGUCACAUGAAAAACUCUUUUUUAGAAAAAAAGGGGGUGCUAUAUAGCAGUCUUUUUCAUUUUCCAUAUUGCCUCACAUAAGUUGGAAAAAUAUAUAGACAAUUACAUGAAUAUUCAGGGAGUCUUAGAUGCAAUAAUAUUCAAGUUACAAGAAGAAAAAGCUGAAAAAGAAAAAAAGUGAUCUACCUUCAAAGAAGCAUCAGUGCCAAAAGGAGAUCGAAGUUUUCCAUAAUGUUGGCAAGAUAUUUUAAGCAAGGAGAGAAGCAACUUCAAUAUUUCAACCUUUUUAUAGUCCAUGUCAAGGGAUUCAGAAUUAGCAAUUCUCUCGUCAAUCCACUUAUUUAACUCUUUGCUUCCAACAUUGCCUCCCACCAGCGGACCUGGAAAGGAUUGUUGGCAGAGAGCAUGAAAAUAAUUACAAGUGUUCCCUCCAACACUUUGAGCAUUAUUUGUAUUUCCAGUGACAACCUCCAUCAAAUUCAGGACAGUUAUUGAGCCUCCUACAGGUUCCUUUAUAUAAGAAGCAACCACAAUUAGUUCAAGAAAAUAAGAAAUUUUGGUUUUUUUUCUUUUUUCCUUUUUAUUUUUUCAGAUAAUCAAUGCAUUUCAACUUCUUGAAUUAUAAUUUAUUCACUUUCCUAGUCUUUUGGAACCAAAGGCAUCUGUAAAAUAGAACAGCGAAGAGAAUGUUUCAGGGGGCUCACCUGACUUCCAAAUGAUGAAUUUCCAAGAGAAUUUAAACUAUCAUCUUUCAUUACUAUGAGCUUUCCACCAAAUCCGAAGGUCACCAAGGCGUGUGGGGGACGCCCAGCAGAUGAUCUCCCGGUGUUGGAAGCAUAAGAGAACUGCUGGUUGCUCUGAAAUGAUUGCUGGGCAACAUGUACUGCUUUCUGAUUGCUAUAGUAAUCAUUUGAAAUGUUCAUUUGUUCAUUCAACUUCAGAUUUCCCUGAUUCAAUUGCUGAGUGAAGUUCCCACUAGGCAUAAAACUUUGUGACCCAAUAAACCCAUUGGCCUCAACAUGACUCUGACUCAUAUUGUCAUACGACAAGGCUGUCCCCAAAGAAUUAACAGAUUUGUGUGGCUCCACGUGAUUGUUCAUAGAUGCAUUUGAAUUAUAAGAAUUAUGUAAUUGCUGGUUUCCAUCAAAAUUUGAAACAGUAUCAGUCUUAGCAACAGUGUCAGGUUGCCACAUAUUAAAACCUUGCUGAUUGUAACCACCAUAAGACUCACCCCAGCUACCAUGCGGACCUUGGUUAUUGUAGCCUUGUGAACCAUACUUGUCACCUUGCUGAUAUCCACCAUAAGUACUGCUAUUAUUUUGUGAAUAUGAAUCAACCAAAGCAAAUUCAUCUUGUUUCUGCAUAUCAUGAUUUUGAACACUUGUUGAUUGAACAGAUGAUGUGUAGCUUUCCAGGGUGCGCCAUUCUUGCACAAUAGUGUCAUAAUACCAACCAGGAUAUUGUGGGUCAAAAAGCAUAUGUUCUGGGUAACCAUUAUUAGUCUCCUGUGAAACCUGAUUCCAAGUGGAGACAGUCUCAGACGUGCUCGUCUCAGCUACAGUUCCCACCACAGAUUUUGAUGUCUGCUGCAAAUAAUUCAGCUCUGUUUUCCCAUCAGAAACUGAGGCCCAUUCAUUCUCUGCAUUAGCGUUAGAACUUACUUGCACAUUUGAAUUUGCAUCGUAACCAUCACUAGCUUGGUACCACUGUCCAGUGCUGGCAUCAUAUUUCCAACCAGGGUACAUGCUUUCCCAGUACUGACUGCUAUUCAAAUCCUGCCCAUUGACAUUCUCUUGAAAGGAUCCUUCAUAACUUUGUGUAAGGUCUUGAUGUGGCUCAUAGAUGACUGAAUUAUGCAAUCCAUCACUAGCUUUAUUUUCUAAAUUAGCACUUUCAUCAACUUUUCCCGGAAAAUCCUCUGAACUACCUCCCAAUUCAUUAAAAAAAUCUGAAUACGAACCAAAUCCAUGAUUGCCAUUAGGAACGGAAUCAGCAUAAAAUGAACUCCACCCCACCUCCUUAAUUCCUGAUUUCGUAGAUCCACUAGAUUGACUUGCUAUUGAAUCAGGUACAACCUCUGAUGCAGUCGCAUCAUUAUUUGACUCAAUUAUGCUAUUGGACCCCAAUGAAUUCGAUGAACUCAACGUGUUGCUUUCUUCUGCAUGUACACCAGAUAACACAGGGUUGGCAUGCACUGAAUCAUUAUCACCUUUCCCCUCAACUCCACCUUCGCCUUCACCAGUGGUAUCAUCAAUACUCAGAUUAGCAAAGGCUCUGGCCUCAUCUGAAUCGCUGCCCUCAGUUAACUUGGGGACCGAAACGGGAUCAGUAGGCCCAAAAUCAUCGUCCACUAAUUUAUCAAAGAAAUCCUCAUCCGUCUGAUCCUCCAUCACAUGAAAUGGAGGAUUCGAAGCCAUCUAAUAUAACAGCCUUCUUCCUAACCCUUUCGAUCUACUGGGUAAAAGAAUACCUAAAUACCCUCAAAUUUUCCUCAAUUUACAGCUCUCCUCCUCCAACACCUCAAAAUUGGAGCUGCAAUUAAACCAAAACCUCGAGAUCCAAAAAUCAAAACCCUAAAUCAAAGAAAUACAAGCGCGAGGAGAGCAAGAUCUAGGGUUUAUGAGAUCUCUUAGAAGUUGCAGCAGCAUAACUUAACAUGAGAACGGUCAAAAGAUAGAUAGCAAAAUUGCACUUAGAAUCUAAUGCAUUUGAUUUCGUAUGAGAAGAUAAUCGAUAAGUGUGAUAAUAACAGAAGCAAAAUAACUUACAGAUCCAGGUAAGGAUUUGCAGGAAGAAAAUCCACAACGAUGCAGCGAGCAGGGAGACAAAAUGAAAAAGCGCUCGUUUUCGCACCACCCACCAAACCAGGGGAAAGUUUUGUUUAUUUUUUUUGGUUUUAUUGUUUUUGAUGAGAAAAUGAAAAUUACUAUGUCACCCUAUGGUUUGACUUAGUGACAAAUACUGUCCUCCUUUUGAAAUUACCCUAGGAGAUCGCAUAAUCUUCCUGCCAAUUUAUGUCUAAUUACACUAAUUAAUUCGAAUUUCAAAGUUUAAAAUAAUAUAUUUAUCUCAUUAAAAAUAAAUUCAAUAUAAUAUAAUGGUUUCAAUUAGUGAAAUUUAAAUUUUAUAUAAAUUUUUUAUAUUUGUUUAUUUGAUUGAAAAAAAUAAGUCAAUAUCCAUGAAUAAUAAAUUCUAUUAAAAUUUCACCAUCUUUUAAUAUGUAAAAAUUUCUUAUCACAUGUGAGAUUUUUGCUUUUUUUUUUUUUUAACUUGAUCGCAUCGUUAUUGAUAACAAUAGCUUCAUCACUUUAUUGAUAAUAAAAUAUAAAUCAUGUGAUUUUAUUUUUAUAAUAUUCUUCAAAUCGAUUGAUUUUAUUUUUUGAUCAAAUGAAGAAUGUAAAAUUUUAUGAAUAUGAAAUUUAUGGAUUUUUUUUUUUAAAGAAAAUCUAUUGAUUUCACAUUCUAUCAAUUCAAAUAAGGACUAAAUUAAAGCUUAAUAACGUUUAAAAAAUAAUAAUAAUAAUAAUAAUAAUAAUUUAGUCUUAUUAUAUUGUAUUGUGCGAAAAUGCUCUUAUUCAUCUAAUAUAAAAUAACCCGGUAAAAUAUAAUGGAAAAACUCCAAAUUAUGUUACUAACUGCAAAACACUUAUGAACUUGGUUGGAAUUGGUUCGAACCCUCAUGUCGGCAGAAACAAAGUAAGGAAACAAAACAAAAUACUGAUUGUGUUUAAGCAUCUACUUUGGUGGGUAAUUGCUUAGAAUUUAAUACAUCAAACCACAAUAAAUAAGUUCUAAUCUCAAACUAAUUGUUUGAUUAUUUAGUAAUUCACUAAUUAUUGCAUUAUUUUAUGGCGAUUGCUUUUUAAACUUACCCCCACUACAUUCAAUUGAUAUUUAAUUCACUAAAUUUGACUAAUGCAUUAAACAAAUCUAUAAGCCAAAAUUUCUCAAACUAUUUGUUAAAUGUAGAUUGUGUUUCAAUUGUCAUUUCUAACACUUGGAUAUCAAUAAUAAAAACAAUAAAAAUACUAAAUAAUUAUGAAUUAUACUUGUUUAAACCAUGUCUAUAGAUUAAACCGAUGAAAAUAUGAAUUUUUUAAAAAUUAUUUUCACUUUAUCUUUUUUUUUCAUAUUGAUAGAAAUAUUAUUGUUUCGAUAAAAAUUCAUAUUUUUAUUGGUAUGGUUCAUUAAUGAAGCCAUGAACCCGAUCUAAGCAAGUUAAUCCCGAACAUGUACAUGCACGAACUCUCAAUUAAUAGUUAUAAGACAUUAAGAUAUCAAUAAUAAAAAUAAUAUAUAUACUUAUUUUUCAAAUUCAUCUUCUCUUAUUUGAGUGUUUUUUUUUUUUUUUUUUUUUCAAAACCAAGUGGCAUUAUCAGUAAGCUUUCACAUAACUAGUUGAAUUUUUUUAAUCUUAAAAUAGUAAAUAAAAAUAAAAAUUAAUACCCCUAUUGUAAAAAUGCAUAAAGUGUGAGCUCAAAGCUUAAUUGGACAUGAUUUGCCUGAGAAUAGCAUAGUUACCAAAGGAAACACCACAUCAUGAAACAAUUAUUACACAUGCAAAGCUUGCGAUACACACCGGGGAAGAUUAUUUUUGGGAAUAAUAUUUCACUUGUCCUCUUAAAUUUAACCAUAAUAUACAAUUUGUCUAAAAAUCAUAAUUAAUAUUUCAAAUUUACAACCAAAUGAUUAAAACCCCCAAUUCUUACCAAAAAAUAAAAUAAAACAACAAUUUUUAUUAACUGAAAAUAUAAAAUAGUUCUUAGAUGUUUUGUUUUUAAGUUAAAUAGUUAUUGCUAAUUACAAAUAUUAGAAAAUAUAAUUUUAUUUUAUUUUUGUUAAAAUGGUGUAAUUUAAGAUGGUAAUUGUAUAAAAAAAAAUUAAAUUUUGAAUAAAUUAUAUAUUACCUUUAAAUUUAAAAGGGAAAAUAAACAUUAUUCCACUGCUUUUACCUAAUAUUCAGUGGUCAAAUUAAUUGAGUAGGAAAUUGGCAUAACACCUACUAUGUACUUGUUAUUAAUUAUUGAUUUUCUAUCAGACAACUGAAAACCACUUUUCAAAAACGACAAAGACGUUUUUACAAUCUUUCUCUCUAUAUAUAAAUAUAUUAAUUGUGUUAUUAUCAUAUGUACUACAAGCUUCUUUUUUAGUUGGAGGGAGCCAUAAUGUACUAACAAAUAGAGUUGCAAAUGAGCUAAAUCAUUUUUGAGCUAUUGGGUAUAAAAAAAAUUUAUAUGAGCUCGUUUUAUUGGAUUAAAUGAAUUGAGCUCGACGAGUAUUUAAGUUUCUUUUUUUUUUUUAAUUAGAAAUCAUAAAGAAAUUAAACUCGAGUUUGAUUUUCAAACAAAAAUCAUGCUCGACUCGAUUCAUUUACAGUCGAAAGAUAAAUUAAAGAUAAAUUAACGAUUCUUGAAUUGCUAAUACAACUACUCAUGAGACUCUUUAUUUAGGCUGAAUUCUAAAUGUUGCACUUGAAUUUAUUAUUUUAUUGGAUUAAAUAAUUAAGAGGUGGUAUGUUUAUUGUUAAAUUAUUAUAUAGUAUCAUUUUAUAACUGUAUGGGCAAUUUUAACUUUUCAUCCAAUGGAUUACAGAACUUAUUGAAUUGGCUCUAAAAAUAAGUUUUUUCACUCAGACAAAAUUUCACUUGCAAAUAUAAAUAAAUAACUUAUUUAUAUAGUUCAGACAAAUAAAUUUAUUUUUAUUUUGGCCUCCCCUAGGAAAAAUUAUGCUGAUGAACCGGUCUUGCUGCUUCUUUAUUUGCCAUUAAUACAAGCACUGCUGGAUUGAGAACGAAAUUUAAAUUUUUUUGCCCGUUAGUAAUAACUUGGGCAUUCCUGUUGGAUUUAAUUUUCUAUUGUGGGCUUAAUAUGUAAAAUUAAAUAUGUACAGCAGUCCAAUUGUAAAGUCAAUUUCAAAUGUGGUCUUGAUUGUGAAUAAUUGACUAUUAAGGUAUCAACUAAUUAUAGAUAUUAAGUGUAGAGACCAUUAUAUAAUUCCUAUUUCGUUAAAGGACCGAAAUAGGAAUUGUACUAACCCUACAGGUAUAUAAAGGUCGUGGUCCCCAGAGGAGUUGAAUACGAUUCAGUUUUACGUUCCUUUCGUAUUGCUUCCGCUAAAUCGAUUCUUCAAUGCUCUUGAAGGCUUCAAACCUAAUUCAAUCCAUCAAUUUUAGGGUUAGGGAUGAAAAAUUACGGUUUGAUCCCUGGAAAAUUUCGUAUUAGGUCCCUAAAUUUCUGUAACUUCAGAUUAGGUCCAUAAUUUUCUGUAACUUCAGAUUAGGCCCCUAAAUUUUCUGUAACUUCAGAUUAGGCCCCUAAUCUUCUGUUUUUUCGUAUUAGGCCCUUAAAUUUCUGUUUUCUUUCGUUUAGACCCCAAACUUUAUUUAUUCAAAUUUAUUUAGUCCAAUUUUAUAACUUAGUCUCUAAUUUAGUGACUUAAGGACUAGAUUAUAAUUUUUUUUUUGGGCUAAAUAAUUUUAGAUUAUUAAAUAUUUAGACAAUCAAUUCAUUUAAUUGCAAUUGUUUUGUUUUAAUUACAAUUAAAUGAUUUAAUUUGUCGACUUGAGAUUAAAUUUUGGAGUGAUUAAGUCCCUAUUGUGUUUGAUAUUUGUUAAAAUAAAUUGAUUUGAUCAAUAAGUCACCAAAGUGACCUCUAUUGCUUGAAUUGAUUUAUUUUAGAAUAUUAGACAGGUGUAUUAGAAUUCGUUGCGGAUAGUUAAUCGGCCCAAAGGAAGGUUGCUAUCUGGCUGAGUUUUGAAUACAUGUUUGGCAAUAAAUAUGUGAUAAUUGUUUGAUUAUUUUCCAUGACAAUGAUAUAUCGGCCCAAAGGAAGAUUUAUUAUUUGUCAGGACUAUGUUAUCAAUAUUUGAUUGCUGCGUUGAGAUACUAAUUACAAGUUAAUGUUUUACAUCCAAAGAUGAGAAUAUUAAUGUUGUGUCUGUAUCUUAUUUCCAUUUUUUGAUCUCUACUUAUGUGAAUUGUUUCAUUUGUGGAUUGUGAGCUUAUACUUAUCUAUUUGUUUAUUUUCUCUGAUGUCAGCUAACAUGUCAUUUAAUCCUGAUUGUGUCCCUAAACUUGAGGGAUCAAAUUUUGAGUCUUGGAAAUCAGACAUUAUGAUCUUUCUGGGCUGUAUGGAUUUGGAUCUUGCAUUCAGGAUGGACGAACCUGCUCCUCUUACUGAUACGAGCACUGAUGUUCAAAGGGUUCAGUAUGAGAAGUGGGAGCGUUCUAAUCGCUUAGGUCUGAUGAUCAUGCAGAAAGGAGUCCCAGAACAUGUUCGAGACUCUGUCUCAGCUGAAAAGAACAAUGCUCAAAACUAUCUUGCCGAGCUGGAGAGGGCUUAUGUCAAGAAUGACAAAGCCGAAGUGGGAACACUUUUAGGAAAAUUAACCUCCAUGAAGUUUGCUGGCAAUGGUGGUGUUCGGGAGCAUAUUCUUAGCAUGUCUCAGAUUGCAAAGAGACUGAAGGCGCUGGGUAUGGCUUUACCAGAUGACCUUUUAGUCCAUUUGGUUAUGAAUUCUCUUCCUUCUCAGUAUGGACAAAUUAGGACUUCCUAUAAUUGUCAGCCGAAUAAAUGGACUCUUAACGAGCUCAUUUCUCAUUGUGUUGAUGAGGAGGAAAAGAUGAAUUCUAACAAAAGAGAGAGUGCUCAUUUUGUUUCUUCAGCUGGGAAGGGCAAGAACAAGAAAAGAAAGAGGCCUUUUGCAAAGACUGUUGAAAAGGCUAUUGAGAAACCUGCUGCUGCUACUGCUGUAGAUCCAGUACAAAAGAAGCCUUAUGUGCCAAAAUGCUUCUUUUGUGGAAAGACGGAUCACUUGAGAAAGGACUGUCCUAAAUUUGCUAUUUGGCUUGCAAAGAGGGGUAAGUACCUUGUUUUAGUCUGUUGUGAAGUUAAUUUAACUUCAGCUCCUAAAAACACUUAUUGGAUGGAUUCUGGUGCUACCGCUCAUAUAAGUGUUUCAUUGCAGGGCUGCCUCAACUACAGAAAGCCAACUGACGGUGAAAGAUACGUCUAUGUGGGAAAUGGCGAUCUGGUUGAAGUAGAGGCAAUUGGACAUUUUAGAUUAUGUUUAAGUACUGGCUAUUUUUUGGAUCUUAUAGAUACUUUUGUUAUUCCCUCUUUUAGAAGGAAUUUGAUUUCUGUUUCCUUUUUGGACAAAUCUGGUUUUCAUUGUUCUUUUGGAGACAGUGUAUUCACUUUAUCUAUGAAUUCAAAAGUUUUGGGUACUGGUUGCUUGAAUGAAUGUGAUAAUCUAUAUAUGUUAGACAUUGAUACUAGUUAUCAUGAAUCCCUGCAUGUUACUACAAGAGGUACCAAAAGAAAGUUGAAUAUUGAUAACUCAGCUGUACUUUGGCAUAGACGUUUGGGUCAUGUAUCCAAAUCAAGAAUUGAGCGUCUUGUUUCUGAUGGUAUCUUAGAUACACUUGAUUACACAGGUUUGGAUUCUUGUAUUGAGUGUAUUAAAGGAAAACAGACUAAACAAAAGAGACUAGGUGCCAUUCGGUCAUCCAAUGUUUUAGAACUGAUUCAUACAGAUAUUUGCGGUCCAUUCCAUAUUGCAGCUAGAAAUGGCCAAAGAUAUUUUAUAUCAUUCAUUGAUGACUAUUCUCGUUAUGGUUACUUAUAUCUCAUUCAUGAAAAAUCUGAGUCUUUGGACGUGUUUAAAUCUUAUAAAGCCGAAGUUGAAAAUCAACUAGGAAAGAAGAUUAAAUCUGUUCGAUCUGACCGUGGUGGUGAAUAUUAUGGUAAAUAUGACGGUUCAGGCGAACAACGUCCAGGACCUUUUGCGCUUUUCCUACAGGAAUGUGGAAUUGUCCCUCAAUAUACAAUGCCUGGUACUCCCAGCAUGAAUGGUGUAUCUGAGAGACGUAAUAGGACUCUUAUGGAUAUGGUAAGGAGUAUGAUUAGUCAUUCUACUUUACCAGAGUCUCUGUGGGGUGAAGCGUUAAAGACAGCAGCUUAUCUUCUCAAUAGGAUUCCAUCUAAAGCAGUUGCUAAAACACCUUAUGAACUUUGGACUGGACGUAAGCCUAGUCUAAAGCAUCUUCAUGUUUGGGGAUGUCCAGCUGAAGCAAGGCCUUACAAGCCGAAUGAAACAAAACUGGACUCCAAAACUAUCAGCAGCUACUUUGUUGGAUAUUCUGAGCGGUCUAGGGGUUACAAGUUUUAUAAUCCUACUUCCAGAACUUUUUUUGAAACGAGAAUUGCAACAUUUUUUGAGGAUGUUGAUUUUGGAGGGAGAAAUAAAGAAAGAAACAUUGUCUUUGAAGAGGAACCAAGUAAGGAUGAUUCGGUUCUCAUUCCUUUUGUUGUUUCUGAUAGCGUACAGACUCCAGUUGCUCCUGUCACUAUUCAAGAUCCAAUUCAAGACAAUGCUAUUCUUCCUCAAGAACAAAUUCAACAACCUCAAGAAUUAGAGCCUGUUCAAAUGCCUUUGAGGAGAUCUACUAGGGAGAGAAGAAGUGCUAUUCCAGAUGAUUAUAUAGUGUUUCUUCAGGAACAUGAGGAUACUGUAGACAUGAUAGAUGAUGAUCCAGUUAGUUUCUAUCAUGCCAUGCAGAGUUCUGACUCUCAUAAGUGGAUUGAGGCAAUGAACGAAGAGUAUAAGUCUAUGCAAGACAAUCAAGUUUGGGAUCUUGUUCAAUUACCUGAAGGAAAGAAACCCAUUGGUUGCAAAUGGAUAUUUAAAACCAAAAGGGAUUCUCAAGGUAAUGUGGAAAGAUAUAAAGCACGUCUUGUAGCAAAAGGCUUUACUCAAAAGGAAGGGAUUGACUAUAAAGAAACCUUCUCUCCAGUUUCUUCGAAGGAUUCUUUUAGGACAAUCAUGGCCUUAGUUGCAAAUCUUGAUCUUGAGCUUCAUCAAAUGGAUGUUAAGACUGCGUUUCUCAAUGGCGACAUUGAUGAAACAAUAUAUAUGGUGCAACCAGAAAAUUUUGUAAUUGGAGAUCCAAAACAUCUGGUAUGCAAAUUAAAGAAAUCCAUUUAUGGACUCAAGCAAGCUUCUCGUCAAUGGUACUUUAAGUUCAACCAAGUAAUUGUCUCGUUUGGCUUUGAGGCAAAUGCUGUUGAAAAUUGUGUGUACCAUAAGUUCAGUGGGAGUAGGUUUAUCUUUUUGGUCUUAUAUGUGGAUGACAUACUUCUUGCUACUAAUUGUAAAGUCUUGCUGCAUGAAACCAAAGUUUUUCUUUCAAAGCAUUUUGAGAUGAAAGAUUUAGGUGAAGCUUCUUUUGUUUUAGGGAUUCAGAUACAUCGAGACCGUUCUCGAGGUAUUCUUGGAUUAUCACAAAAGAGCUAUAUUGAUAAAGUGCUCAAGAGAUUUAGUAUGCAGAAUUCUAGACCAUUGGAUACCCCUAUUGCAAAAGGUGAUAAAUUUAGUAAUCAACAAUGUCCAAAGAGUGAACUUGAAAUUCAGGAAAUGCAAAAGGUUCCUUAUGCGUCAGCUGUAGGAAGUCUUAUGUAUGUUCAAGUUUGUACUCGUCCAGACAUUUCUUUUAUAGUUGGCAUGUUAGGUAGAUAUCUCAGCAAUCCAGGAAUGGAUCAUUGGAAAGCAGCCAAAAGAGUCAUGAGAUAUCUUCAGAGGACUAAGGGACAUAUGCUCACAUAUAGGAGAUCAGAUCAGCUUGAGAUCAUUGGGUAUACUGAUUCUGAUUUCGCUGGAUGCCAAGAUAGUAGAAAAUCCACAUCUGGCUACGUUUUUCUAUUGGCUGGCGGUGCUAUUUCUUGGAAGAGUGUGAAACAAACUCUAGUAGCAACCUCCACCAUGGAAGCUGAAUUUGUAGCAUCUUAUGAGGCAUCCAAUCAAGCUAUUUGGCUGAGAAACCUUGUCACUGGGCUGCGUGUAGUAGGUGGAAUAGAAAGACCACUGAAGUUGUAUUGUGACAGCAGGUCAGCCGUUUUAUUCUCCAACAACAACAGGAGCUCUUCUCGAUCAAAACACAUUGAGAUUAAGUUCUUGGCUGUGAAGGAGAGGGUACAGAGUGGACAGAUAUCCUUAGAGCAUAUUGGAACAAACUCUAUGAUUGCGGAUCCGCUUACAAAGGCAGUGAUACCGAAAGUUUUCCAUGAGCACACCGCUCAUAUGGGUAUCGUUUUGUUUGAGACUGUCUAGUUUUAGUGGGAGUUUGCUCUUUAUGCAUACAUUAUGUUUUUGAAUGCUCUAUUUUAUUUUGGAUAUGUUUUAUUAUGAAAUUUUGUUGAGUACUCAUUUUGGUUGAUGGUUACACUCUGUAUUAUUAUUAUUGUUUUGCUUGAUCUCACUUUUGUUGGUGACCAGUUGGAAACAGACAUGAUGAUCACAUUACAUGUAGUUUUCAUGCUACACUUCUAUAAUGAAUCUAUGUCAUUUAGGGGUAUUGGUAAUGUAGUUGAUGAUGAACUUAGUCAUGAGAUCUAUGGCGAAUGUUUCUUCAGCUCUUUAUCAAUAUAACUAAUGGACGAGAUUGUUUUUGGAUACCUUGUAUGACUGCGUUUGUUGAGCUCAUUUUGGUGUAUGUAUUUUAUUUAACAUAUGUUCGCCCAAGUGGGAGAUUGUUGGGUUUAAUUUUCUAUUGUGGGCUUAAUAUGUAAAAUUAAAUAUGUACAGCAGUCCAAUUGUAAAGUCAAUUUCAAAUGUGGUCUUGAUUGUGAAUAAUUGACUAUUGAGGUAUCAACUAAUUAUAGAUAUUAAGUGUAGAGACCAUUAUAUAAUUCCUAUUUCGUUAAAGGACCGAAAUAGGAAUUGUACUAACCCUACAGGUAUAUAAAGGUCGUGGUCCCCAGAGGAGUUGAAUACGAUUCAGUUUUACGUUCCUUUCGUAUUGCUUCCGCUAAAUCGAUUCUUCAAUUCUCUGGAAGGCUGCAAACCUAAUUUUAUACAUCAAGAUCGACGAACAACGAUGUCAGAUACGCAACCUUUUCUUAUUCAAUCUAUUUUGUUGAAUCUAGUGGUUUGCACGAUCUAGGUUAUUAUUGAAUUAUUUGAGAUUAAUUCUUACAAUUCCUUCACAGAAUAUCCUUGAAAUAAAUUAUUUAGGGUAAGAGGAACGAAAUAGUGAUUAGAAAACAUGAAAUCCUAUUUGCUACAAAUUAAAAUAAUAAUGCAUUUCUAAUAAUUAUAUGUCCAAAUAACGAACUUUUUUAUGUAAUUUAUUAUAAACAAAAUACAUAAUUUUAAUUUUGUAACACUCUCAACUUUUAUUUUGAUACGUAAAAUAUUUCAAAUUAUAAAAUUAUAUUUAUUAAACACUUAAACUUGCAAAAUUAUUUUAUUCAGCAUUUCAAUAUAUAAAAUUAGAUCAAUUGAAUAUCUAUUAGUUGUUAAAAAUAUGAAAAUUAUGAUCCAAAAAAUUAUGUUAACCACAAAUUAAGUCAAUAUUUUACGUAUAAAAGUAAAAAAAUUAUAAUUAUUAAUAUAUAAAUGUAUGCAAUAUUAUCAAAAUUUAAAAAUCAAAAUACAAAAUAAAUUAUAUAAAAAAUUUAAAGCGAUACAAAAUUCAAAGAUGAAAUUAAAUUCCCAUUUACCUAUAUAAUAACAUAUUUAUGGCAUGUAGAUGUAACAUAUGAGUUGGACUUGGGCCAGUAAUUAAGGGCGGAGAUGGCUACAAAUUGAGUACACGUUGUCUACUUAUUGGGUUUGUUUGAAGGUCUAAUCCCAACCGAACAAGUUGACAAACUGGGCCUAAAAUAUUAUCAGCCAUGCGAGAAAAAUCAAUAUUGUAUUUGUAUAUUCAUUGAAAAGUUAAAACGCCGCCGUCUACUAGAUGACGCCCACUGACUAUAAUCUCACAUUUGUUUAAUUUUUGUUUAUAUAAGCACAAAGGGAAAUACAAAAGUGGGUCCUCUAUCACAAUCAGAUGAGGCCAUGCACAGCUCAAUGAGUAGUCUGUUGAUUGCUUGGCUAAUAGUCAAAUUAUGCAGCCCUAGGAAUAAAUAUUGUGUUUUAAACACAAAAUGGGACAAUAAUAAUUACUGUUUCCCAUGCUUUUCCACCAUUUUUCUUCCAUGCACACCUGUUUAUAAUUGAGUGAUGCUUCUGUUCAAUUUAAAAAAAUUUCUAUAAAUUGGGUUGUAAACAAAUAAGAAGAAAAGAAAUUAAAUCUAAUGGCUGUUUGCCACACCAGCUACAACAUGAACGAUUAAAAGAAGACAAUACAUUGUUUUUGAGGAAGAUACAACAUCAUCAAAAAAAAUAAAAAACAAAAUUCAUAAAGGAAAUAAAAAAAAUAAAAAUUCUAUUAAAUAUAUGUCUAAAAAAAAGACAAAUUAACAGAUUAAAAAAGAUUAUAUUUAUUAAAUUUUAAAAAAAAAACGAAAAAUUAAAGAUCGGCUUGAAGAAUAAAAUUUUGGAAACACCAAAGAAAAAGAGAGAGAGGGCUAAGAAUAUGAUUAUAUGCAGAAGUUGAUACUUGAUAUCGAAUCAAAUCAAUAUAUUUCUUUUAUAAGUUCUAACUGGUGGUCUUCCUCUUCCCCUUCAACAACCUUCUGAAAAUGUACAUAGCACCUGCUACAUAUAUAUAUAUUUAAAAAAAAAAAAAAAAAAGUAAAUAACGAUAUGUAGGCUAAAACUCAAUUCUAAUUAUUGCUUGUGCUUCCACAUAUAAAUAUAUUUUUAAUUCCAGUAUAAUACAGAAUUUAAGCACAACCAGAUAAAAGGAAAGAAUAGUAAAAAGAAAACUAAUGAUCUGCUUUUCUUGUAUCUAUGGUGUUUCUCAACCUUUUUGGCUUUUGCUUUUGAGAAUCCGAUCGGUGUGAAUUUUAUGCAGAGAAUUCUAGAACUUUAGAUUUGUAAAUGAUCUCUUUGUUUUUUUUUUUCCCUCUAAAUUAUUUUUAAAUACUUGAAUUAGAAUUUAAUUAGAAAUCAAAAUUUCAUUUAUAAUUUGAUUUUUUUUGGUAAAUAAGGAAAAAAAAGUGUAAGUUCAUAAAAUUUAAUGAACUUUAAUUACAAGUUAGUAAAAUAUAAUUAUAAAUUUAAAUUAAAUUAUUUAGUACAUUAAAUAUGAAGAUUUGUGUGUAAAUGAUUUUUUUUUUUUUAUUGGGAAUCAACAAUAUGCAAAUUAUACACAAUAGGAAAUUUUGCAAUUGGAAAAUGAUUUGGUGUGUUGAUGACUUGGUGCACUUUAGGUUUAGGGCAGCCAGCGGUGAUUGGAUUUGGAUGGAAAAUGGAAAUAGUUAAAGUGGGGCCAGUCGCAUUUAUCCUAUAAAGGAUGCAGAGACGUUGACCAAAAAGUUCCACCACGUCAUCAGUCUUUCAGGUCUUUGCUCCCAGUUUUCAUAAAGCAUGCCACAACUCGCGCUGACCAAAUCCACAAUCUUAAUUUACCAUUAUGCCCUUCUAUAAUUCUAUGUACUGUACUGUCCCGUGCCUCGCGGCUUAUUUAUCCCCACCACCUAACCGGCUAUAACUAUAAUCUUCCAUCAUUCAUUUCUAUGUACUUAGGACUUGUUUGGUUGAAAUAUUUGGUUGCAACUUAAAUUAAAAAGAAAUUUUUAAUUUUUACAGUGUUUUGUAAAAUAAAUUUUUAAAAGAAAUUAUAAACGUCAUCUCAAUUCUCCUUUCUCUAUUCCUUCAUUGAAAGUUAGCGAUUAAUGGUUGAUUAGGGAGUCAAACACUUAAUGUUAAAAAUUUUAUUUUAUCAAUAUUUCAAUGAUAAUUUCUGAAUUUUGAAACUUUAAUACCCUCAAGUAACUAUUGAGUGUUCAAAUGUCAAACAUGGGUUUCCAAUAUAUGUAAUUCAACCACAUUUGACUAAUCCAGUAAACUACAAUGGUUAAAAGCUCAACUCAUUUUGAAAAUUUAAAACAGCGAAAUUCCAUUUAUGUCAUUUCAAGUUUGAAUGGUUGAAAUUGUUUUUAGCUCAUUAAUUGUGUUAAGUGUAUUUAUUCAUUAAUCACAUAUUAAUAUUCCAAUAAACUUGAAUUCAAACUCCAACUAAUAAAAUUUAUUUUUAAUAAUUAUAUAAUAUGAAAAUAUAUAAUUUUAAAUUGAUUGAAAUUUUUUAUAUUCAUAAAACAUUAGAACUUGAUUUGGAUAAUAAAAAGGAUUUUUCUAAUGAAACAAAAAUAAUGGAUUAGAUGUCCCAGAUAGUAAACUUUAGCUCUCUCUCUAGCUCUCUCUUUUCUUGCGUCCUUCUAGAUUUUAUUUUUAAACCACCGCCGACCGUCUUCUUUAGUCGGCGGUGUUUCUUUUCAUCUCUCACUGUCGUUUUUUUUAUUAUUAUUUUAUAUAGUUUUCUUUCUACUAAUUUUUGAACCUAUGAUCAUUUGGAAAAAAAAAAUGGAUUUAAUGUUUUUGGUACCUCUUAUUUAGGUUAUUUAUUUCUCUCCUUUCAUGGAGUUAUUUUUCAUUAUUGAGAAGUUUUUAUUUGGAUUUAUUUUUUUGGCAAUUCAAAAUACAAGAUGGAUUAUUGGUUGCUUGUGGUUGGAGACUUUAGAUCUUCAAGUUCGGGUAAGUUUCUUUUACUAAUGGAGGCUGGUAAUGUAGCAUGUUCCUCCAUUAAAGUUUGUUAUAUUAAACUCUUCUAUGGGUGACAGUUGUAACAAGUUUCUGAAAAAAUAAUGUUCGGGAAAAUAUUAUAGAAAGUUUCUUUUAUUGUCCUAUUUGAAAAUGGACCAGUUCUCCUUACCCGGAAGAUUAAUCUCUUCUACCAAGAUUAGGAAUAUCUCCAAACAGAAGAUUUCAAUUUUCUAUAUUUAUAUUUCCUAUUUCUAUAAGAAUAUUAUUAUGAUGUAUUCGACUUAUAUUUAUUAUUAAUGAAUUAUUAAAUUAAAAAAAAAAAGAUUUGGUUUAACCAAAAAAAAGAUAUAUAAUUGUACAUUACUUCAUCCAUGAGCCACAUACACAUAUAACUUGGUUAAAAAAAAAAAAAAUAGCAAUGCUUGUAAUUGUACAAAAUUUUUUGAAUUUUAAGUUGCUUCUCUUGUAGCAAUGACAUAAUUUUCAAUGAUCCAAUUACCUAUGGUUGUUUUGUAAUACACGAAAGGACUAGCUUUAUCCUGAAUUUACUAAAUUAGUUAAAAUAUUUGUGGUUGAGAAAAUUUAAAUUUAAGACCUCUCACUGAUCACAUGAGUGAAAAGACCAAAUAGACUACACGUGAUUGAGUUUAUUAUUUUUAUUUUGCACACUUAUCAUUAAAUAAUUAAAAGUAAAAAUUGCCCAUUAUAUGAUUCCAAAAGCGACGAUCCUUUUGGCUGCUCAUUUUCCUUUUUUUCUUUCUAUCUUCACCCAUACUGCAAGCUAAGAUCAUUCAUGAUUUUGUCAUUUACCAACCAAAAUAUUUCAUCCACAGUGGUGCAUAUUUUAAGAGGAAAAGGGGCAAAUUGCCCAUUUGGAAUCCAAAAGGUGUCCAUUUGUAAUAUCCAUUUGAUCAUUUGCCCACUUAAUAAUAAUAAUAUUCAUAAAAAAUAAUAAAAUAUUUUCAUUAAAAAAAAAAAAAAACGAACACAAUUUGAUUGUGCGCUUAAUACUAAACAAGACGGUCAAUAUUGUGUUUGGCAUUAUUUUUUUAACUUAUUAUUAAAUUAAGAAAACAUUCCAUUGAAAAUAUUACUUAAAUGUUAUAAAAUUUAUUUCUAGAACAAAAUUUUUCUUUUAUAAUAAAAAAUCCGGUACUUGGAAAAUAAUUUUCCUGAACCAGUCUUCACGAAUAUGGGAACUCGCUUCAUGUCUUUACUUUGCAAGGGGACCUAUUUUACGCGUCUUUACUCAGAUAUAUUCCAAAACAGCUUAAUAUUAUAAAUAACAAGAACAAGGAAUUUCCAUAUAGAAUUUUCGUAGGCUUUAGUCCAUAUAGAAUUUUCGUCAACCUGGUCAUGCAAGAACAAGGAAUUUCCUUCUAAUAAAAAUAAACCAAAUUUUAUUUUUACAUUAAUUAAGAAAAUAUUUUCUUUAUAUUAAAAAAAACCCCACAAUUUUCUUUAUUUUUUUUUCAUACACCCUUAAUCUUUUCUUAGACUACGAAUAUAAACUUUUUGUAUUUUGCUUAGUUGUUUACUGCAAGAUUUGAUCAAUAGUAAUAGUAACAUCCUUCCUGAUAAAGAUGCAUGCUAAAUAGAGGUAUAAUAGAAAACUGAAAAAACUUUUUUUUUUUUUUUUUUUUUUAGAAAAGAAAAUAAGGUUCUAAUUUGAAAUAAAUAAAAAAAGGAAAGCAGCCUUAUUUUAGAGGGAGGAACAUAAAAAGUCAAGUCCACGAACUGCACUUGCCAUUCAACCAAUUCUCAAUUUAAUUAAUAUGAAUGAAUUUUGAAAACAACUUUUAACCCUUCCUUCACCAUAAGCAUGAUAAAAGAUGAUGCAAUUACACAAGAACGCAACUAACACCAAAAACUACCCAAAUGAAAUAAAUGUUAGGGUGAUCAAGAAACUCAAAAGUAAAAGCUUCUAAGAAUGGAAGAAUGGGCAAGAACCAAGAUUGAUAAAGAUGACAACCAAGUUAUAAUAAGAGGAUGAAGAAAAUGAAACAUUGGCUUUGCCCAUUGUUUUUUUGCUAGAAGUAAUGUUGUAGUAAGUAGGAACAUUUAACCAAUAAGAAACAAUUUAUAUUCCAAUAAGAGUGAGAGUAUAAAUUCGAUCCUGAAAAACGCAUUUUAUUAAAAGAAUAAAAAAAAUUUUUAUGCUCUACAGUUCGAGAAGGAUUACACCUUUAGUUAUAUAUAUAAAAAACUAGAAACAUUAAAAAUGUGAAUGAAUAGGGAGAAGUUACCUCAAGAAAAUGUGCGAUGAUUCUUGGCUUUUACAACAGAAAAAGCAUUAGACAUAUUAGGAAAUGUGUAAUGAUCAUCAUUUACUCUAAUUAAGGAAGUAAAUAUUAGUACUAAAAACCUAUAUAAUAACAGAAAAGGAAAAGCUAAAGGAGACAAGAGCUUCCCUUCUUCUUUUGUCCUUAAUAUUUUGGUCAAAACAAGUAGACGAAUCAAGAUAAAUAAAUAAAUAAAUAAAAUUCACAAGCAAGCAAAUAAUGUUGCUGUUGCUCUUUAACUAUGAAUUCUAUUUUUCAUAUUCUAGAAAAACACUAUUGAAAGGAAAUAAAAAAAAAAAUUUAAAAAGGUAUUAGUUGUAUGAGUGAUCACUCGGGCAGAUAAAGCUUUUGAAUCUGCAAAUUUAAUCAGAAUUCUUCUGAAACAAGAAAUCACAUGCAUCAAAGGAAUUAGAAAUCCAAAGUGUAAUAUUUAAAUAUCCGGAGUGAAAUUGACUUAAAUCAAUUAAAUAAGAGGUCGAAUGUUCUACUUUUUAUAUCGAGAAAAUCUCUACUAAAAAUAUUUAUCCCUCGUGGGCAUAAUGCUAUGCGAGCAGAAUUAGACAUCGGUUAAUGGGUUGGGAACACCUAUGUUAUAAAUAAAUAAAUAAAUAACCAAUUAUUUUUUUCUUUAACUCUAAAGACAUUUUUUUUUUAUUUUUCUUUAAAAAAAUAAUGUUUUAUUAAUUUAAAGAAAAAUUGUAAGUCCAGACUAUAUUCUAACUGCUCCACAUACAAAAAUCCUUACAUGAAUAAAAAGAAUUUAAUAUGCCUAUAUAAAUAAAUUGUAUACAAAUAAUAAAAUCUGACUGAUUCUUCGAUAAGAAUAUAGCAUGGCACCUCCUUUUGCCCGGAUUUUCGUUUAUUUCAAGGCGGAUAUAAAAUUUUUACCCAUCUUUUUUUAAAAAAAAAUUAUUUAUUUUUCUAUUAAGAAACGAAAGGAUUUUUGUAUCUUUCUCAGUAGUCAUCUUCAAAGAUAGCCCUCUUCAGGUCAUGUCCCCAACCACCGGCCCAAGAAAAGUAAAAGUAAAACCAUAUAUUAUAUUUUAUACACUGAAAAAUAUCCUUGGACAAGCUUUUGUCCAUAAUUAAUUACAUUUUAUUAAUACGUAACAUAGGGUUAUCACUAAACUAUUAAUACCAGAGAAUUGCAAAAAACUAGGAAAUGCAAACAGAGAACAAGAGAAAUAAAAGAAAAAUGUAAAGAGAAUCUUUACCCUCCAACUAGACAAACAAAGCCUGAAACUGAGAAAAUACAAUUGCAAUGUAAAGAAACAGUAGACAGUUUAUAACAACAGCUGGAAAAACUACAACAGGACAUAUAAUAACAGAAUUGCAACGCUUUUAGUACUUCACAGAGAGAAAGAAAGAAAGAGCCCUGAGCUGAGCCUGAGCCUUAACCUGAGGAGGAAGACGAAGAGAGGACCCAAGUUUUUUGGCUUUUAUGUUUUAUCACUGAAAAGGGAGUAAAAUGUAAAACCCAUGAACUGAAAUUAAGCAAGUCAUAGUCUUUAUACAGUAGUUUUAAAUAGAAUGAGCAUUGAGCAACAACAACUACACUUAAUUUUGCUGUUACACAACACGUGAACUGGUGAAGAAAGAAGCACAUACACCAAACAAAAUGGAAUACUUGAAGAAACUAAAUUUUAAAAUUAAUUUAAAGAAAAAAAUUCUAACCAAUGAAUUCUUUUCUACAUUAAAUGAGUUGGUAAGUAAGUUCAUAAUAGAAAUGAACUAAUUUUCAGUGCAUAAUUAACAGUUGCAGAGAACUCAAGAAACCCAAAAAACUAGAAAAGCAAUGGAUAUAAAGAGUAAACCAUAUAAUCUGUAACUAAAAAAAGUAACCCAUUUGAUCCAAUUAAGCAUCAAAACAAAAAAAUUAAUAUGAAUGACUUAGAUCUUACAAUGAACUUAAGCAUCUGAGACAACACUAAAGUCAUCCUCUUCAACUGGAGCAGGCAAGUUAAGAUCUAUAAGACUGUUGCUCUUUUCAAGUUUAGCAGAAUUUUCAGCAAGAGCAGUAAUUGUUGUUGAAGUACCCAUUAGAUGCGAUCUUUUAUGCCCACCAAGUGCUUGUCCAGAACCAAAUACUUUAAAACAAUAUGGGCAUUCAAAAAUUCUUUCAUUUCCAUCAUGGUUCUUUUUUAGCUCUGUUGCAUUUAAAGAGCAAAUCCUUUUAUGAGCAACCAAUGCUUGUGAAGAUCGGAACACUUUACUACAUUUUUCACAUCUUAACUUCCCGCGAAUCUUGUUUGCUUUGAUCUCUUCUUGUUCUUGUUCUUCUUGUUCUUGUUCCAGUUCUUCAUUGUUUGGCAACCAAACAUCUCUUGAAAGCAUCAUAAGACACAUAGCAACAUCCUCCUCAGGGGAAGUAUCAGAAACAGAGCUUACCGGUUCUGGCUCUGCUGGGGAUGGGGAUGGAGACUGAGAUGGCGAAGGCGACGGAGAAGUUGACUCCAAUAAACUUGGAUUCUUCAACUUUAGUUUUUUAAAAUCGAAAUUCAGUUUUUGAUUCUCUGCAAAACCGGAUUUUCGAGUUCUUUUAGAUCGUCUCCGAGUUGGAUUUCUUGACUCAGUCUCACUUUCUCUAUCUUGAACAACAGAACCAGCAUCAAUGGCGAAAGAGAACUCAGGAUCUGCAAACCUGAAACUUUUCUUUGGAUUUUCUCUUAAUCCAUAAACCAAAGCCUUUUCUUCAACUUCUGUGUUCUUGAUUUCUUGUUCUUCACCAGAGGAAGAGUAUGAAGAUGAAGCUGACUCAGUACGGUUACCGGGUUGCUGCUGAAUCGACAUCGUUUUUGGAGGGAGAGGAAGGGUGGCUAAGUGGGCCUUCAUGUGACCACCCAAAGCUCUGCCAUUAGCGAAAGUUCUAGUACAGAGCUUGCAUUUGUGCCUCUCCAUUGAGGAAGAAACAGAGCAAGCAGAGAUGAAAGCUCUGCCUUUCUCUCACUGUAUCUAAUCUAACAACAAUAAAAAAAAAAAAAAAGUAGAAGAAGCAUAUAGAGAGAUUGGAGAACUUAAAAGGAGUAGGUGACAAGCAUUCCUCCACCAAAAGACACACAACCCAAAAAUUAUGAUUCGUAGAUAUAAAAUAAAUAAAUGAAAAACAGUUGUAAAAUUGUAAAAUAAAAUAAAAUAAAGUAAAAAAUAUAUAUUUUUUUAUUCCACGGUCUUACCAUCCGCUUAUCCGCAUCCGAUUAAUCCAUUAUUGUUAAUGGUAAUUAAGUAAAACCCUUUUAAUACUGAGCAAGUAAAAUCUUCCUAACAGCGGGGAAUAGAAGUCAUAAAAUGUGUGUUCUUUAAACGGCAAAUGAGAGACGAAAGAGGGACAAGUAACAUGCAAACCUUGCUCAUUAGUGAUUAGUGUAACUAAGCUUUUCUUUUUACCACUUUUUUGGAAGUUGAUAAAAUGCCAGAUAGACAAAAUUAUAUAUAUAUAUAAAAUUACACUUUUGCUGUGUUUAAUUAGUUUAAUUUUCAAAAGAUAUGAUGAUGAUCAAUGGAGGUGAACAAUUCUCGAUUUUUAAUAUAGUAUCAAAUCAAAUUAACUCAGUCGGUCAAAUUUUGAUAAUUGUUUUACAAAUUCAGUUAUCGAUUAGUUUGGAUAUAUAAGACGAUUUGGUUUUUUAAUUUUGAUUUUUGAUUUGAUUAUCAUAUAUAAUUAAUUAAAUUUAUUUUAAGUUCAAAUAAUUAAUUUGAUUUGAAAUAAUCGAAUUCAAAUCGAACCAAACCAAUUUAAUUUUGAUUUGAAUUGAUUUUUAUACAAUUUAAUUUCGGAUUUGAAUAUUAUAAAAACAUAUUUGAAUAACUUAAAAUUGAGCUAAUUCGAUUUGAUUAAUCGAAUGUUUAUCUCCAAUAAUUACCAUCAUCUUUUUUUUUUUAAAUUUAUUUCCCCAAAAUUUAAAAUUGGAUUUCAAUUUGAAUACACAUAAGCGGAUGUUGUUCGGCCCCAUAGCUUAACUUUUCAGGCCGAUUUCCGUGACUUGAUUUAUGAAACCAUGAGUUUUAUAUUGAAAUAAAUCGUGCAUUUCGAAAUACCAAUGAUGUGCCUCACUAUUUUUUAUCAAGAAGUUUAUUUAUUUAUUUUUCCUACUAGUAUUUAUCCUACAAGAUUAAUAUCAUUUUGAAAUUCGCAAUCUUUCUCCAUCAAAUUUUAACUUAUAAUACAAGAAUACAAGAGCUACAUUAGUUUUUUAACCUUAAUUUGUAAAAUGUAGUUAGGAAAAAUGUUAAUUUGAUUUUACGGAUUUAAAUUCAAUAUUAUAAAUGUGCAUCCACAAAUUUACUUUUUUUUUUUUUUUUACAAUACAAAUUUAAUCUUUUAAAGAAAUAAAAUAUGCACUGAUCACAAGAUGCAAUUGGAUUCCACACUAAUAUAUAGUGUAACAGCAUAUAUAUAUAUAUACACACACACGAUCUCGCAAUUAAAUUCAGAUUUAAAUUCCUUUUUCAAUAUAAAAGAUGCAAUUGGAUUAAAAAUAAUUAAAUUUAAUGUGACCAUUUAUAAAAAAAAGAUGCUAAUAGUUAAUGAAAUAUAAUAUGGCUACUCUUCUCGGUCCAAUGGUAGUACAUGGUGUCAGGUUUAAGUCACUUCAAUUACCAAAUAUUACUACUAUCAUAUUACAGAUUCAUUAAUGCAAUUUACUUCUAUUUAGCACAUUCACCGGUAAAAAAAAAAACCUGCAAAAGAUAUUUUUUUUACACGAUUUUGGAUAAUUGCAUUUCAUUACUAUUUAUAAAACGAGCUAAGUAACACAUAGAAUUUUAUCAUCAGAAUUGAAUAUGUAAAUAUAUUAAAUGAAGUAUAUAAUAAAAGGUAGGUUGUUUGUUCUUAUAAAUUAUAAUCCGUCUGAUACGCAAAAUUUAAGCAUGAGAUUUUCUUAAUCAAAGUUAAAUCACAGGUGUUUCUAGCGGCUCAUGUGGUAGCAUUCCUGUAAAAAGUGACGUCAGCGAAAAAUUUUUCCGCUCACAGCAAUCCAACACGUAACUCACGAUUAAUUAAGUGAUAUGAGUGGUUUUCACUUGGACAGUUGGCUAUAUUUCGAGUUCAAUCAUCUAGCAUUAUUUUGGCUGUUUGCCUAUUGCGAGAUUGAAGUUCACGAAUCAGUGGCUCGCUUACAGUGGAAAAGAUUGGUUGGUUAGUUGUUAUAGCGUGCUAGUUGGCAAUCCGCGUGUGAUACCACGUGUCAUGUACAUUGUCAAAACUGUACUCUCUAAUAAUAUGGAAAAAAUAAAAUAUGAUAUUUAUUUUUUUAUAUUGUUGGAGUCCAUAUUUAAUGUGUUAAUUUUAUUUUUAUUUUUUAUAAAUCGAUUUUUUUAUCAGAUAAAUUAAUAUUUUUAACAUAAUUUUUACUCAAAAACUAAAAUAAAUAUACUCUCAGAAAAAUAAAAUAUGGACUCUUCUUUCGAUUGAAGCGAAGAAGUUUAUAGCAAGUUAAGCCGCUACGAAAAAUUAAAUCUAUGCUUAGUUUCUUUUUCGAAAAUAAAUUUUUUAGUAAACAUUUUUUUAAAUUUUCACAUAUUUAUAGUACUUAGAAAAAUUAGUUAAUAUAUAAUAUUUUAAAUCAGUUUUUUAAAGUAUAAAUUUUGAACAGUAAUAAAUUUAUUAUAAUUUUAUAAAUAUAUACAUUUUAUUAAUUUAUUGAUCGUUGUAGUCACUAAUUAAUAAGUAAUUACUAAUAAUCACCACCGCAACAAUAUACUACUUUUAAUAAUCAAGAACACUAUUAUUUUCUAGUUUCAUGCAUUCUUUUCUUAUUUAAUAAUAAAGUUUUAAAAUACUAAUUUUAAUAUAAUUUUAAAUUUUUUUGAGAAAUAAUUUUAAAAUUUUUUAUUAUCUUAUAAAUUAAAAUUAUAAUAUUAUAGUCAAUUUCUAGUGGAUAAGGUGGAGUUCUUUUUAUUUUUUAGGUCUUAGUGGCUAUGCUAUUAAUUUCUAAUUUAAUUUUAUAAGCACUCAGUAGUAUUCUAUUAAAUAUUAAUGUCUGCGGCCAGCCUCAACUGCAAUGGGGAAGAGGCCUUAGCACGCCGGUUGGAGGAAUAGUCAGUAUCGCAUUAUUCAUGAUUUCAUGUAUGAUAUUGCUCGAUGGAUACUUCGUCCACGCUCCUCUGACUCUCGUGAUUAUAUUGCCGUUAAAUCUAAUUUCGGUUUAUUUGUUUAUAAAAGCUAUUCAAAAAAUUAUUCCUAACAUAUUAAUUAUAAUAAAUUUAUUUCAAAUUAAAGGAUGGAAACAGAACUAACUAGAGAUCAAUUGCCACGUAGUAUUUUAAAAAAUUAGAACAUUUAGAAUUUUUUAUAUCGGAAUGAAUUAGUUUAGAUAUCAAUUAAUUGACAUUCUAACUUAAAACGCAGAAAACAUGUAAUCAAGCAUCCUAAAAGGUGAAUGUUAUAAAAUUAGUGAAUGGAAUGUUAUAUCUUAAAUAAAAUAUUUUCCCCUAAAUCCCAUACUACUUCUACAUUCACUGUGUUUGUCUUUGGUGUUUGUAGAUGGUGACCAGUAACUGCCGUUUAUUACCCAGACCGAGUCAUCGGAGCCGGUGAACCCAACAAAAUCAAGAGUAAUAAUAAAACGAAGCUACACGCCACAAAGUACAUCUUCUUGAUUUGGUACAGUACACGCAUCUCGAGGCGAGUGGGCUUCUUUUUUUCAUAUAGACUACACAGAAGAAAAGAUACCUCCUCAAUCCUCAUUGCUUCAGUUUUUCUCUGAACCAUUCAGGUACUAUACUAUGCUUAUACUGUGUCUCUGUCAUAUGUGCAUACCACCAAGCAACAAAAUCUACACACGUUGCCUAUAUGCAUAGUUUUUGCGCCUGCCGCCUUAAUUUUUAAUUUCCCACGCGCUUCUUCUUCGACGACCGGUUUCCGUUUCUUGUUCUUGUCGUUUGAUUCUAUAUGCAAAGAAAAGGUUAUGGCUUCUGUUUCGUGUCCCUAUCAGGUUUCGAUAGAGAAAUAUAAGGUUUUUGAAUAUUUAAAGUUUUUAAAAUUAGGAGGAGAAAAGCAGUCAAAAAAUAAUUUUAAAUUAGUGAACCAAUUUCAGUUUGUUGCAACAAGAGUAACCAAAUACAAAACUACAUGUGGAUCGGGUUAGGUAGAUUCUUCGGACUAAAUAGGACCAUUCGGUCGAAUCGUGGCUUGAUGGAUGAGACAAUCCAAAAUAACUGAUUGGGUCGGAUCAAUACAUAUUUUAUUCAAAAAAAUUGUAAAAAUAUUGAAUUAUCAAAUAAAAUAUUAUGCAAAUACUGAAAAUUAUAAAUAAAUUUAUAGCUAAUUAUCAAAUUAAAUAUCAUGUGAAUACUGAAAAUUCUCUCAAUUAUUAUGCGAAUCAAUAAAAGAAAUAAAUACAUUUUUUGAUGAAUCACAAAAUCAGAGACAAAAAUAUCAAAAACACGGUUUGAAAAUACAUUCAAAACUUAUAAUGGUAAAAUAAAAUAAUGCAAUGACUUGUUUUUUUUUUUUCUUGAUUGAAAUUUAGAUCUCGAAUUCAUAUUUGGGUUUAAUAUUUGAAAGCCAUAUCAAUACAUAUCCAUCUCCAUGUUCCAUUAAUUACUAUACUCCCCAAACUUGAAAGGGUCCCAUGACAAGUUCUCUUCAACAUCCAAUUAGGAAGAAACUAAUUAUCUAAUGCAAGUACUCAUGUUUAUAAUAUUCAAUUUCACCAUUAAUAGCCAAUCACAAAAUAACAAAUGAGUAUAUUCAACAAAUAUCUAUAAAUUAAAGUCCAAUUACAUAAAAAAUAGUAAAAUAAAAUUUAACUUAUUACAAUUUACCAUAAUAAAAAUUAAACAGAUCUUUAACAUAAAUAAUAAGAAUAAUAAUAAUAAAAGGAAAUGCAAAUUCCAACUAUAUAUGUGAUAAUGUUGUUGGUAAAAGGUUAUGUUUAAAGCCUUUGAUUCUUAGCUUUUUAUAUUGAUUUUGACCUAAAUGGUCCUUUUAUUUUUUUUUUUUCUAGUGCAAAGUCCACUAGUAAGUAAGUGCAAUACUUUUGCCAAAUUACAUAAAAUAACAAAAAAAAAAAAAAGUAAAUUUAUACAGGUCUUAGUUAGCGGAUGACUGAACAUAGCAAUUCCCUUCGGUCUUUUAUUUCCAAAUUGUGAAAGCUACAUCAAUAUGGUCUUUGAGGCUGCAAGUUUGGUUUGACCUAGUCUUGUUCAAGUUAGAGAUGCCCAUGGACCCUACCUUAGGUGGAAAUUUAUGGGAAAAUCACAUUACUAUCUUUGUAGUUUACGAAAUAUAACGACUCCAUCUCCAUCUUUUAUAAAAUAUAUUAAUUUAUUCUUAUGAAAUAAUGAAAUUAAAAGUCUGUAGAAAAUAUAUUGUAUGAAUGAGAAAUUAAAUGGUAAGAAAAAUUGAAGUAGAGAAAAGUCUUUGAAAUUUCUUUUUAAUUUGAAAUAGAAAUAGGAUGAAUUAGUAUUUAUUGUCAAUAGUAUUGUCAUGAGGGAAUGAAACUUGCUGGUCAAAAACCUAACUUUGACCAAUCAUGGCUGUACAUUUUAACUGAAAAAACCAAUGUUUCUUUCCAUUGUUCAAAGUUGAGGACAGGCUAGAAUACACAUACAUACAAAAAAGACAACAUUAAAAAACACCAUACCACAAUAGCUAAUGUAGCCCAGUUGGCAAAAUCUCUUAUGCCUUCAAUUUUUUUUUUUUAAUCUAUCUAGUGCGAAAUUUUUCCUAAAUUUGGUAAUGUUGAGUUGUAAUGUUGUUGUAAGCCGUGAAAUUCAAUCAUUUUGAACUUUUUUUCGGUUUCCAGCUUUUCUUAAUGUAUACUAUUUAAUCCCAUGGCUAAAACUGAAAAUCUAAAUUUAAGAGUUUCAAAUUUGAGUUCUAUUUAUAUAUCGAGUUUGAAUUAUAUUUAUAAUAUUUGUCUUGAUAGAUUUUAAAAUAAAAUUUAUAAUCUACUGAAGAAAUAUUUAAAAGUCGGUGACAAUUAUGAAAAAAAAAAAUAAUAAUAAUGAGAAAUGGUGAUAUCGGGUGUAGUGUAUAAUUUCUCUUGCUUUGUCCUUUUGGCUUCCUUUGUAUCUUGCAAUUGCACAAAAUAUACCCAGUUGUAUUUUAUCCUUGUAAAGACUCUUGCAUGUCUGCAGAUCUGUACAUUUGAUCAGUAUUCAGACAAAGCUAGAGAAUUAAAGUGGACUGGUUUAAUUAUAUCUCUGACAUUCGAAAACCCCAACUUGUUUAAUAAACUUAAUUUUCAAUCUGCAAUUCAAUGUUUUUGUUCUCUACACUGUCAAAUGAGACAUUCAAUUAAUUAUUUACUCUCUUAUCUUUCUUCAAUUUCUCGAAAAAAUUUAUAUUUUAAUUUACUUCUAAGAUUUGGAUAAUUAAUUUUUUGAAAUAAAUAAAUAUUAAACGAAAUACCAACACUUAGAAGGAUAAGAUGGACCCACAAACCGAUCACAUUUCAAAAGUUAUUUGAUUCCAAAGUGAUGUUUGAUUGGGGGUGAGUAGACUAGGAAGUACAAUUUUCCUGUUUUUAUUUGGUUUACAUUAUAAACGCCGCUCGAAAAUAGAUCAUUCAAUUUUCAUUAUAUAAGGGAAUCAAGUUCUUUAGAUAUGGGAGGUUCCCUAAUUAAGUACAAUGAAUUUGCCAAUUUAUCUUAUUAUCUAAAUUUAUUCAAAUUUAUAUUAUAGAUAUUAUUGUAAUUUAUAGAUUGAAGGCAAUUUACUUUUCAGAAAGUUGAUUUGCAUACCAAAUACAUACAAAUUAUACUUUUUGAAAGUUUAUUUCUCGGAAAGUAUACUUUUCGGAACUAAGCCAUUUUGAAGCAGAUGAAGCGUAAGAUUUAGAUAAUUAAUUAUUUGAAAUAAAUAUAUAUUUAGCAAAAUAAUUAACAAGUAGAUACUUAAGGCUACGAUUAGCUUUGUCCAACUCUAGUACUAGUGCAAGGUUAGCUAACAUUAGCAACACUUACAUUUUUAUGCAUGUGAAGUUGGAAGAGGAAUUUGAGGACAUGGAAAUGGGACCCACAACAGCAAUGCAUGGAGGAUCCAUUCAAUUACAUAAUCGCCCCUAGACAUAAUGGUAAUGAUGAUGAUGUUGGUUAAAUUCAGAGAUUAAUUAAAAUAAUGGAAAUUAAGAAAGAAACAAAUUCUAAUUAAUGUUUGGUAAUUUAGGAAGGAAAGAUUGUAGCUUUAGGUUGAGUGAUUUUGUAUCUACGAAUUGCUGAAAGCUGUGGGCUUUUCAGUUGUUAGUGGAAAUGAUAUGCUUAUAGAGAAAGCUACAUAGCAAGGAAUGGGAAUUGAAACCAAAAGUCUCAACUGAAUUUUAUGGAGCAGACAAAAGCAAGCAACUAACAAGCAAAGAAUCUUUGGUAUAAUUUUAUCUUGCCUCCCUUUUUUUUUUAAUAAUCACGUGCCUCUCUCUUCUUUGUACGUACAGAUUAAGCCUACAUUGCAUCUUAGGUUAAGAUUAUGUUCGGCAAGAGCUUUUUUAAAUAGCUUUUUAAAAUGUUGAAUGCUACUUUUCAUAGUGUUUGAACUAAUUUUUAAAAGUUAAAGUAACGAUUUGUAAAACAUUAACUCAUUUAAUGUUUAGUUUUUAGCAUUUCAUAAAAAACUAUUCAAAACAACUAAAUGCUCUUAAAACAACUAACAGCUAAUAAAAUAAUUAAUUUUGCCAAACAGACUCUAAUUAGAUUCUCUUUAUCUUCCGAAUUAACCUUUUCUAUUAUAUCAAUUAAAAUAGACUGCAUCCUUAGACGAACUUGACCUAAAAGUUAAGGUGUUCGAAAUUUAGAGUCCGCUAUUAUCAGGAGGGUCUUUACUUAAACAUCACUUUUAUCCUGUGGAUAGCAACAUGUAUGCUAACUAGAAAAAAAGGGAAAAAAAAGAAAAAAAGGAGGAGAAAAAUUAUCUUCUGAUUAAUAUGAUGAUAAUGAAUAUUAGUGGGAUAUAAUGACGGCUAACCGAAGCUUGAUUAACAAAUAGUUUUGUUGUUUUUGGUAGAUUAAAAAAAGACCCAGAAACUAAUUAUUAGAUACAUCAUUGUCCAUAGGUUGUUACUUGAUAAUCUUAAGUUCUGUUUAUUGCUAUUUUUUUUUUGGGUCCAUAUUAAAAUUACUUGUUUUUAAAUUCUAUGAUAUAGGAAAAGUAAGCUUGCAUAAUAGACAUUUAGGUGGGGGCAUAUAGCUUUUUUUUUUCCUCUAUAUGUUUUUGGUUCUUGCAUGAUAAAUUAAGCAAAGGAGUGGAGAUGAAGUGAAAAAUGUAAAGAGACAAAGCAAGGUCUCAAUGGGCCACGAAGGAGCCCAACACAUCAAGAAGAACAGAAGUUGACUUGGACCCAAAAUGCUUAAAAUAUAAGCCUUUAGGGACUCAGAACUCAGAUACAUAUGGUUAAAGAAAAAAAAAUCUCUACCGUCCAUCUCAAUUAUCAAAAGUUAUAAUUCUACAUUUAAAUAUUAACACAAAACAAUACUAAAAAGAGAUAUUUUUUUUUUUUUUUUACUAUCGGUCUAGUGGGAUGAGGUGUUGAAUCCUUUAAGUAACAUCUAUGGUCCAUUCUGGUAUUGUAAAUGGGAAAAUUGAGUUAGGGGGAUUACCUCUUGCAAUUAUAAUGGCCUCUAUAGAAUCCGGAUUAAUAGACUGCACCGAAAGGUUUUUUUUUUUAAAAAAAAAGAGUGAGUAGUUUUUUCAAAAGGCAAUUGCUCUUAUUUUAUUGUAUGAAGGACUCCAUAUACCUUACGAGAGAAGUGAAUCCAUAUACCAAAAAUCGGUGCUAAUUCUGAGAAUAAGUUUAAUAGACUCGGUGUAACACAAACCUCAUCACAUCUUCGCUAAAACGACAACGACAUGAGAUUAAAUUAAAAUCAUAAUCCUUGGUUCAUUUUGUCAUUCACAUAAGAAAAUUUUAUCCAUCACUGGGAUCAAAAUGAGCAAAAUGCGUCUGGUAAACUCGAUAAUUCAAAGUUAUUUUUCGUGUAUCCACCACCAGAAUUAUUUUCUGCUCUUCUAGCUAGAAAGCCCUAAUGACGAAACCAAAGUACAAUCUAUCAGAAUAUUUUUACAUUGUUAACUUAAAAGAGGCUUCUUCGGGUCGUACUCACUUUCCAUGCCCAUUUCAUCCAGGUAACCUUCUUUUCCCUUUGCCCAUAACACAAAGUAUAGACCAGUAAACAUCAGGAGCAUACCAGCAAGGCUGCAAAUUAAUGUUGAAUAAUCUCAAAUCAAACUUUAUUUUUGAAAAAAUAAAACCCAAAUGAAUGAUUGAUCGAUCAUAAAUACCCACCUUCCUAAUCUAAUGGUUUCACCUAAGGUAAUUAAAGAGAGAACAACAGAAAUGACCGUUCCAAUAGGGCUAAACAUGGAGACUAGAACAGGACCUCUCUUCUUCAUUGCCCAUCCAUUGAAGCUUACAGAAGCUCCUGUCACUGCACCUGACUGUAUAAAAUUAAACAAAAUUACUAUUCCAAAGGAUAAAAUUAAGAGUUUUCAUUAUUUUAUAAGGUAAAUUUUCUAAAAAUUUUGUAUUAGAUGCCACCCUGACAUCCCCCCCUCUGUCAAUGAUCAUUAUAAAAAGAAUGGAUUUGUAUAUCAGGAAAAUGGCGACACAUGCAUAAUUAUAAUAAUUAAUUACCAGAAAAGAAAAGCCAAUGAGGUUCGUGAGGGGCAUAAGAGGUAAAGCGAUUCCAAAAUUGGGAUCUUGAAACCACUGAAUAACUGCUGUUAUAAUUACACCAAUUAUGGAUGUUAUAGCACAAAGGGACAUUGGUGCAGGAAAAUUCCCCAGAGUAUAAGCCUGAAAAAGAAAGGUCAUAGCAAUUUCAUUAACAAUUAAAAACAAUUAAAUCCCUUAACAAUUAUGUAAUAAGAAGAUUUACCUGCAAAACGACAUUGCUGGAUAGAACAAAAACAGCUGCCAUGAGGUACAAGCAACCGAUAAUCUUUUCCUUGUCAAAUAUUACGUUAGGUGGGGGAAUUAACAAUUGGGUAUCUUUUGUUUGUUUAGAACUGUGCAUUACACUCAUUAAAAGGGCACCUACGACACAAACCAAUGUGCCUGAGAUCUUCACUUUGCUGUAUAUACAGUUUAGCUUAACUUUCUCUAACCUGCAUGACCAUUUUGAACCAUAGACGUACAAAUUAAAACCAUGUAGGUCUGCCUCUAACAGGACCUGAGAGGUUCAAAACUGAAUCCUGACAGUCUCAUUUUCUUUAAAAAAUGGAUUUAUAUAUUAUACCUAGCCACCCAUGCAAUGAGGAAGAUAAGUCCUGGAGCAAGGUUUGGCAUGGCGGUUGCCAGUGCUGGUGAUGUUAGUUUAAUCCCCUUCAUAAAUAACGUUUGAAAUAAUGUAACCCUGAAAAAUAAAAAUAGUGCAUCAAAUUUAUAAUUAAUGAAUAAUGAAUAAUGAAUAAUUAAUGAUAUCACAGAAUAAAUAAAUUGACAAAUAGAUUUAUGUUUCAUAGUCAUUCCCAGAAUUUAAAAUUAACAAAGAAAAAUCAUAUUAAAACAAAAGAAUUCUUCUGAAAGAAAUGGAGUUCUAAACGUAAUCGUUAAAUCCCUUUAUUACCCUUGAAAAAAGAACGUAAAUGCAUAAUCUUGGGAAUGAAAGAAUUUUUGUUUUUUUUUCCUUUUCAAACACAAAAUACGAAACUAAAACAUGAAAAGAAAAAAUACCCAGCAAAAGAAAUCAAAACGAGCUGGAUCAUCAACUUGUAACUGAGUUCUUUAGGCCAUUUCUUCCUGCAAAUAAAAAAUAUAUAUAUACGUCAAUUAUCAACUUCCCACAUAAUAUAAUGCUCCCAAAUAACAAAAUUAAUUAAUUAAGAAGGAAAAAGACCUUUCGAAAUAAACAGCAAAAGGAGAGGUAAAAAGGAAGGUGGCAAAAGUAGUGAAAAUAACAAUAGUACUAGGUGUAAAUCCAAGAGACAUUAAAUAACUCAAGAAAAUAGAAUUUCCUGCAUAAACAAAUUGAACUCCUAUCAAUCCUCCUACAAUUGCUAAAUCCUCAAGGAGCUCCUUUUUCAUGUACCAAACCAUUUUGAAUCUCCAAUUUACAGAAGAAAAAUCUCAAACAAUGGAAAUUCUUGCCAAAUGCAAAUCUUUUAACUCUCCAAGAAAAUGACAGUAUUAAAUUUCUCUUUCAAAAGAUAUAAACAAAACAAUAACACCAUGAGUUCCUUCCCCUCCAAUGAAAUACAAAAAGAAACAACUUAUUCAUUGAUGAACCCACAUCAGAUUAAUUCCUCUCACUAGAAACGAAAAGUAAAAGGAAGAAAAAGAAAAGGUUGUAGUCUUUUGUGUUUCAGGUUUUAGGUUAAUUUUCUGAGAGAAGGAAAAUGUGUGUUUGUUUGUUCGUUUGUGUUUAUUUUGUUUUGACACAGAGCUACCCUUCAAGUUCAUGAGGCUUCUCUACCAGUCUUUCUCUCCUGUUUCUUCGCUCUUAAAAGAACAUUUGUUGUGCUUUUUUAAGCUAAUUUUUUUAUUGUUGUACUUGAAACGACGGUUCCUUCUCACCUACCACCUAUCACUAGAUUUUCUCUUAAUUAAUAUUUAAUUUAAUUACUUAUUUUCAAUUUUUUUUUUAAUUUUGCUAAUUGUUUGAAGUAUUUCCAGCCCAUUUUUUAUUUAUUUUCUAUGUUAUAUAUACAUGUCACAUCAAUUUAGUUUUUAACAUAUUAACACUAUUUUUCUGAGAUAAAAAAAUAUAAUUAUUAGUAAAAAAAAAAGCCAAAAAAAUUUUUUAUUUUUUUUUAAAUGAAAAAAAAAAAUUUAAUUUAAGAACUCUUAUUGUAAUAUUACUAUUCGUGCUGCCAUGCGUUGUGUUGUGUGAAUCGCAAAGUUUUUUGUUAUUUAUAAUAAAAAUACAAAAUAAUAUUUUAUAAAUGCCACGCAUGCAGUUAUAUUUGGAGAGUGGCAUUAGUUUACGUGGUAGAAGUGACACGUAUACACACAGAUCCUGCCUCGUGGAGAGGUCAAUGCGGACAUGUAAUGCUUUCUAACGUGUCUUUGUAAGAAAACAAAGCUUCCAUCGUAUGCUCCUUUUCAACCUCCGUUCCAACUUGCCGUUUCGGCUGAUUUAAAUGCUUUAGAAUUUAGUAGUUGUUGUAUUAUUGUCUUUAUUUAAAUAAAGAAAUUUAAUUACUUUAUCACCUAGGGGAAAAAAACAGACAAACAUUGUAUAAUUACUUUUGAUAUUUUAAUUUAUAUUAUUAAAUUUUGAUCGGAUCGAAUGGAUAAGUUUUUACAUAAUAAACUUAUUAUUGAUAAUAAAAAAAUACUUGUGAUUUAUAUGUUUAAAAAUUAUAUUUAUUGAAAACUAAGUUAUUUUUAUUAUUUAGUACACCAUAUUUUUAUAAUAUAAUCACCGGUAUCCAAAAGUCCACGACACUUAGCAUGAAUUCAACUUUUAAAAAUAUUGUACAAAUAUAGUAUUUAAAAAUAUUAUACAAAUGUAGUAUUUAUUUGUAUUUAAUGUAUAGUUAUGUACGUUGGUAACACUUCCCAAAUAUUAAUUAUACUAAUUAUAUAUAUGAGCUUAUUUGUCAUUUUAAAAAUUAAGAAAGCAUUAAUUAUUUUUUCUUUUGAACUUUGUGAUUGUCUUGUUGUCUUUUGAUAGCUCAAUUAAUUAUUUAGAGAAUUAAUAAAAAGAUAAUUUAGUCAAUUAAUUUUUAAAUUAAAAUUAUUUAUUGCAAUUAUUUUAAGCCGUAGUGGGGCAUAGUAUAUAGGUUAAUCCUUGAUUUUUUGAAUUCUUUAAUGGUAAUAUCUUUGAUUUUGGUUGGUACGUAAAGGCGUGGCCAAAAUUUGGUUUUCGGAACUAGAAUCAUUGGUUUCGAACAAGUGGGAGCCGGAACCGAACUGGUUCGAAUAAGAACCGGAAUCGAUCUAAACGGUUCGAUUCUGAUUCCACCAGUUUUGGAACCAUGAAUCGGCGGUUCCAGCUCCAGUUGGAACCGAAAGUUUUAAUUCCAUCUGAACCGGCAGGAAUCGUUCAAAACCGGCCAAAAUUGGUCCAAAACCGGCUGGAAUUAUCCAAAAACUGGUCGGAAUCGUUGAUUUUAGAACUAUUAAGGAAUCAGAACCGUUCGGUUUCAAACCGUAACCGAAACAAUUAAUUUUCGGUUCGGUUCCGGUUCCAAAUUUUUUGGAACCGGAACCGUGGCCACCCGACUAUGACCCAGUCCCACAGUUAGCUUGGGAGUUGGCUUAGAAUUUUCAAAUUCAAGCUUUUAAACUUCAGGUCUUUAGAUUUCGCAGGACUACGCGAAUGUCGCUUUUGAAGGGAUUGAAGAAUUUCAGCAAAUGCAAAAUCAUCCACAUGAGCUACUGUCGAGCAAUAUUAGCACGAACAUAUCUACACUCUACAACAACCAUAUCUAUAUUUUUCCCUGGACCAUGCGAAGAUCGCUUUUGAAAGGAAUUGAAGCAUUCCGUGGAAAGCAAAAAUAUCCGUAUAAGCUAUUGUCAAACACUAUUAGCACCAACAUUUCUACACUCAAAAGCAACCAUGUCAACGAAAUCUCUCAAAAUAAUGAAUCCUGGUCUGCUCUCAUAUCAACUCUUGUCCAAGAUGGACCCGCUAAGGAGCUGGCAUUGUUCAAGGCCUCUAAAAUGCUCGCGUCUGCAACCAAACCUAAUGGCUAUGCUCUGAUUCAUCUGGUUCGAGCUUCUACUGACCUGGGUUUGAACCUUUAUUGCCAACAGCUCCACAGCUACAUUUUUAAAUCUGGGUUUGGCGCCAAUGUCUUUGUGUCCACUGCUUUGUUGAGAUUCUAUAAAACGACAGGGGCAAUAAAUGCUUGCCACCAAGUCUUUGUCGAAAUGCCUCAACCAAAUGUAGUUGCUUGGAAUACCUUGGUUUCUGCCUACGUACAGUCUGGGCAGUUUAGGAAAGCUUUGGAUCUAUUUCUUCAACUUGAAAGAUCUGAUAAUUGUCCAGAUGCCUAUUCCUUCACGGUAGCUUUAUCUGCUUCUGGACAGCUAAGUAUGUUUCAGCUUGGCAGGUCAAUUCAUUGCGAGAUUGUGAAAUAUGGGUUGGAGUCUGACAUUAUUGUUGGGAAUUGCUUGAUUGAUAUGUAUGGGAAAUGUGCUUCUGUUGAAGAGGCAAUUUGGGUUUUUGACGAAAUGAUUGAUAAGGAUGUAAUUUCUUGGAAUUCAGUUGUAGCAGCAAGUGCUAGAAACCAAAGACUUGAAAUGGCAUAUAAUUUUUUCUAUCAAAUGCCUGAGCCGGACACCGUCUCGUAUAAUGAAAUGAUUAAUGGCAUUGCUCAGUUUGGCAAUAUAGAGAAUGCUAUUAAAAUUUUACUGAACAUGCCAAACCCUAAUUCAUCUUCUUGGAAUUCAAUCAUAACAGCAUAUGUUAACAGAAAUCGCGCAAGAGAAGCGUUGGACUUUUUGGCAAAAAUGCAUUCAAGUGAUAUUAAAAUGGACGAGUAUACUUAUUCAGUUAUUUUGAGUGGUAUUGCUGGUCUUGCAGCUCUGAAAUGGGGAAUGGUGAUCCAUUGUUGUACAACCAAAGUUGGUUUGGAUUCUUCUGUAGUUGUGGGGAGCGCUCUUAUUGACAUGUACUCCAAAUGUGGGCAAGUGAAGAAUGCUGAAUCAAUCUUUCAGUUCUUGCCUAAAAGGAAUAUGGUAACCUGGAAUGCAAUAAUGUCGGGCUACACUCACAAUGGUGAUUCACGCAAAGUGAUUGAGCAUUUUAAGGAAGUGAAAAUGAUUGAGGAUUUGAAACCCGAUUGGGUUACCUUCCUUAACAUACUCACUGCGUGCUCAAACACCGAGGUGCCCUUGCAGAGGGCAAUUGAGUACUUUGAAUCAAUGAUCAACGAUUACGGUAUUGAACCAACGAUUGAGCAUUGUUGUUCAAUGGUUCGGCUUAUGGGAGAAAGAGGUGAGGUGUGGCAGGCAAAAAGGAUGAUAUACGAACUAGCUUUUGGGUCAUGUGGUGUAGUUUGGAGGGCUUUACUUGGUGCUUGCGGAGCGUGUAGGGAUUUGAAGGUUGCAAAUAUUGCAGCGGCAAAGGUGAUUCAAUUGGAGGGCGAUGAUGAUUAUGUUUAUAUUAUGAUGUCUAACAUAUAUGCAUCCUAUGCAAAAUGGAGAGAUGUGAGCAAAGUGAGAAAGAUAUUGAAAGAGAGAGGAGUGAGAAAAGAAGUUGGUUGUAGUUGGAUUGAGGUUGAAGUUGAUAGAGCUUCCCUACACUCGUCACAUAUGUAGCGAUGAUCUAGCUUAGAAACAUACUUCGAAAUGGGAUAAAGAUGAAGAGUUCCAAAUUUUAAGAUUGGGGAAAUACCAUUAUAUUGUCUUAAACGCCAAAUAGUUGUAAUAAACGACGCAUUACUUCAAAAAGUUGUUCAUAAUCCCCCUAUUAAGACAAAUUUGUUUAGAAAACAAUAUCUCAUCUCCUGGUACUAUUGUUACAGACUGCGCCUUUAGUUUUUGCUCUUAUCUCUUCUCAGCAGGAUUGGUCUCAGAUGGGAUCAAUUAUCUUGGAUUGUAAAACUAUUUUAGAUUGUACACCUAACGUGACCGCUAGAUGGAUUUAGAGACAAGCUAACGUAAGGGCACAUAACCUAGCUAGAGCUGCCUACUUGUAUACUCGCUCCAAAUGUUGGGACAAUAUUCCCAAUGUAUUAUUACCCUUUUAUGGGUUAGAGUAAUGCAAAUAUUGAGGUAUUCUCUUCAACAAAAAAAAAAAAAGAAAAAAAAGAAAAAAAAAAAAGAAAAAAAAGAAAAAAAAAAAAGAAAAAAAAGAAAAAAAAAAAAGAAAAAAAAGAAAAAAAAAAAAGAAAAAAAAGAAAAAAAAAAAAGAAAAAAAAGAAAAAAAAAAAAGAAAAAAAAAGAUUUUGUCAUCGAUCUCUAUCUGCUAACGUUUAUGUAAUGGAAGGAAUUGGUCAAGAAAAGAACAACUAGCAAGUUAGGGAAAGAUACUAGAAAAUAAUAUUUAAAGCAUUUAUCCAAUCGAGCAUACACUGAUGGUGUUAAACAAUAGCAUUUAAUGCUACAUCUCAGAAGAAAAUUAUCCUGUGUGUUAUGGAGAAUCAAAAUCAGCUCUACUGCUUUGAAGGUUCAGCAGCAUUUUAUAGAUUGACAAAAACUCUUCAAAAAAUGAAAAGCUACUAGGCUUUGCUUCUCCAUUCAUGUGAAGAUGUUCUCCCAUAUCAUAUUGAUUCUUUCCAAACAAGUCACCUUGGAACUGACAGGCCAAGCUCUGAAGAAAUAAAUAAUGCAAAUACUGGAAUCAGAAAACAAACAAGUGCAAAAUGAAGCAUAUAAAUGUAGAAUAAGACAUGAAUAACAGCAUUCCGGUAUAAAUUUAAAACGCAGCAAUUUUGUUCAGUAAUGUCAACAAAUGUGGUCAUUCUGAGAAUACAAUUUUAAUAUAUCAAUCAGUGGUUUGCAAUUUCUGCAAUAAUUACACAAUUGGGUUCCAAAAGAUUGCAUCAAGUUCUAAAAGGCAUAUUUAUUGCGUCUCAAGUAGUUUCCACAUUGUUUCAAGCCUUAAGACUUUAGAUGAUGACAGGACCCACCUCCAAAAACAGCACACAUGUUUCACGUACCAUCAACUCCAUCUGGGAACAGGAGCAGUUAUGUUACCAUACUAUUCUCAAUUACUAAUAUAUAAUUAGUUGUAAAGUUCAAUUCAUAAUAUUCGCAUUUUAAGAAAAAAAGAUACAUGGUUACUCCUGAGAAUCGUUCUCUCUCAUUUUAUUUCUUUUUCAUGCUUCAGAGUGUAGGUGAGAUACAAUCAUUUUAACAUGCAACAUGCCAGAUAUCAACAAGUUACCAACCAAAAUUAGUCGCAAGGACAAUAGAUUAGAAUAAAUUUUGACCAUACAAGUUUCCCCAAGCAAAAAAUGAAUUUAAUCAAACAAGAUCUCUCACACAUCUAUAAUCUCCUUGAAUAUAAUGACUUAUUUCAUAUAUCAUUUUUUAAAUGUUUUUGGCAAUCUAAUGGUUCAAAGAACAUGCUCUCUCACUCAAACUCAACAGCUAAUCCAUUAUCUUCUUCAAGAAAUUCAAAAAAAGAAGAUAAACGACGAACAAUAGUUAAUCCUUAGAGCUUAGAAAUUUAAGCUGGGCUAAAAUGUAUUAAGUAUCAGGAUAAUUGGCAGAAAGUCUCAUAUGUUAGCAUGCUAUGUAAACUUCAUAUAGACGGAUGAAUGCAAUAGACUUCAGGAAGUAGAUAGACAGUAGGAUGAAUAUUAAAACAGUAAAAUAAAUAAUUUUUUUGAAGGGCAAUAAAGAAUUUCUCAAAACAAAUCACAUAAUAAACUGAUCAAUAUAAAAACGUUUACACACAGAAAUGUAUGGCACACAAAAAACAAAAGUUUCCAUCCUAAAAUAACCAGACAUUUUUAAUAUCACUAAGGAAGCAAUUAUAGUUUCAUACUUGAUAAAGAUGCAGUUGGCCAUAAUUGACGGGUCCUGAAUUUAUUUCUUUCAAAUUAUGUGCCUGCAGGAACCAAAUAUUCCAGUCAGAUGGUAUUAAACUCUAUUAAAGCACUCUCCUCGCAGUUAAGCUCCCCAAUUUGUUUUAACUACAGGAAUGUGAGUGCAGCUCACUCAGCGCUCAAUAUCGUUCUAACAGUUGAGUGCUAAUUUCUGACCCAUAUCGCAGAACCAAGUACACUACUCAUAUAACUCUUAAAUUUUGACUCUAAACUAAAGUCUUAGAUUCCAAAAGCAAGAUCACAGCAAUUCUAUCUCCAGACUAGGCUCAUUAACAUUAUAUUAAUCAUAACCUUGAAAAAUCCACUUUCGGAUUUGAAUUCUUACACAACCAGUAAUCCAAAAAGAAAAAUAAAAAAGAAAUUGAAUUGAAUCUAAGUGAAUUCGCAAAAGUGAACAUGUUUAAACAAGAAAAUCAGAAAAUCAAUCACUAAUUAUCAGUAAAAUUUGCGCAUUGGAAUAAAAAAGCACGCGAAUCAAACACUAAUAUUAGCAUUUCAGGAGAAGCAAGGGGGAAAAAAAAAAAAAGCAAGCUACUCACACUCUAAAACAUAGUAAUAAAAGCUAUUAGAGGCCGGGAGAGGUGCAGCAGAGUGUACCCUGUGAGAGCGCUCGGCAACUCCUCGAUGUCGUACUCAAGCAUGAAGUCAUCCUCGCCACCGCCACGACACUGUGUAGCGGCAGCAACGACUGCACGCAUCCUAGCUCAGACGGAGACCUUCAAAAAUAAAUAAUUACUAAGCACAUGUACGCCUACACGAAUAAAAAUACAAAGACGAAUAAGUAAGUAUAAUCGUGCACCUGGAUGAGAAGGAAAAGCGGCGAGGAAGGGAAGAGGAAGGUAAACGAGGAGAGGCCGAGAGAGAGGGAGAAGUGGGAGAUCUAGUAAUCGGAGAUUUUGGAGCGUUAGAUCUGAUAGCGGAUUUAAUGGACGAUAGAGAUGAUCUGCUGAUGAAUCGGUGACAAGAGGAGGCCAUGCUAGAAGCUGCAGAGAGAGAUAGAGAGGAAGGAAAUCUGGGAAAGGGUUCUGAGGAUUGAGGGUUUAUUCGAGGUUUAGCUGCGGAGCUAAAAAUCACCAGAUCACGCUUCAAAGUCCAAAGAGAAGAGUAAGAGUCAAACAGAGGGCAGUUUGGUUGAGUUGGGCUUAGAUGGGCUUGGGUUCGGCUCUAACCAAAUAGUUGGGUUGUGGUGGAUCAGUUUUAUACUUACUUGGGCUCUUAAUAUAAUGGGCUAUAAUCCUAUCGGGAAGCCCGUAAAAAAAAUUUUGUUUGUAGACAUUUUAAUUUCGAAUAUUUGACCCAUUCAUGUGAAAAUAUAAUCCCUUUUCGCCAAUCCACUUAUUUGUUUAGAUUUUAUUGAUAGAUCAAAAUAUAUGUAAUUUUUUUUUACCUUUUUUUAAAUUUUAAAAGAUCAAUUUAUGGCAUAGUUGGGUUGUAAUUAAUUAUGAACUAAGGAGGCUUUAAAAAUUUUAUAAAAAAUAUUCUUUUUGAAUAAAAGAGUUAGACAGUUAUGACACAUACGACAAGUUUUCCAUCCCUAUUUUCGAAACUUUCUUUCUGUUAUUUCUAUGAAGAUUGGAUUUGCACUAGUGUCUUGGUUAUAAAGCAAUACCUUGUUUAGGCGUAUACGUUGGGAAGAUGGCGCUAAUGACUAAACGGGUUGCCAUUUAACCGUUAGUAGAGAAUGAUUGCUUUUGUUAACAAAGCCAAAGCGGAAAAGAACAAAAUCAGAAAAUGGAGAGGAAAAAAAAUAUAAUUAAGUUUAGAUUUCGUAUUAAUUUUCUCCAUUAGAAUUAAGUGUUAGGAUCCAACUAAUAUUUUCCGUAUAUUAAUGAAAUUUUUCAUUUUACUAAACAAUGAAAUAUUAUUUUCAAUAUUAUUUCAUAUAUUUAUAACUAUAAUCUUUUCACAUUUUAAGUCUCUAAAUUAAAAAAACAAUUUUACUUUGAAUCCAAAAUACUUAUAUUUUAGAGAAAAUUUUGAAGUUUCAAUAUAAUCAUGUAUUUGUGAUGGCAUCUAAAUGCCUCUCUAGUCUCUUCCAAAUAAGCCCACUUCACAUAAUUUUUUGCUAAUAACGUGUGGUCUAAUUGAUUUUUCUACAUUUUAUAAAAAAUGUAUAUCUUGUAAAAAAAACAUGAAAAGCUAUUCAAGGUAAGACUACAUCGAUUGGUGUUAUCUAUUAGCUAAUUAUUGCUAUCCAGAAGUUGUUGAAAGGUGAUCAGAUUUGUGAUAUAAAUCAUGUUUACAGGGAGGCCAAUUUUUUGUGCUGAUUUUUCUUUUGAAGAUUGUUGGCUCCUACCCUAUGGGUACACACAUCUUAGAGUCGGCUCCAUUUGUUUCCGUAAAUUAACUUAUAGGAAAAUAUUUUUCACAAUUUUUCGUUAUUUGGAACGUUCAGAAAAAUAAGUCAAUGGAAAAUAUUUUCCUAGUUAAAGAAAAAUUAAGUCAGUUUUUAAAGAAAACAACUUUUCAAUUUUGAGAGAGUAAAAUAUUUUCUGGAUAUUGGCAAAUCUUAUAAAUUCAUAUUUUUUAAUUUAUUAAUCAUUAUAGUCUUUACCACCGACCACUACCACUGGUCACCGGCGACUUUCAUAUUUUACAUUUUUUUUUUUACAUUCUUUUUAUAUUUAAGAAUAAAAUUUUUAAAUUAUAAAAUUUUUAUUAUUGUUAAUAUUUUUUAUGCUCUUAUGAGAUAAAGACUUUGGUAUUUUUAACUAAUUUUUAAUAUUACAACCAAACAACGGAAAAUAAAUCAUUUGAAAAAUAUUUUCUAUUUCAUGAAAAUAUUUUUCAGCAAGUUAUUUUACGAAAACAAACGGAGCUUGAGUCAUGAUUCUAUUUGUUUUUCCUAUUAUAAACUGUAUUUGUCUUCCUAGAGCUUCUUAGCUCUUUUUUCUUAUAAAAAUUAAGGAAAGGUCAAUCCCAUAUAUAACCCAUAAUGUUAUUUUGACUCAUUGGGCCUUCCAAAUAUAUAUAUAAAAAAUUGUCUCUCUUCCUAAAUCUAUACUAUCAUUAAAUCAAAAUCCAUUGAUUGAUAUCAAUUAAUCUAGUUAUCCAUAUUUAAACAAGAAAACAUAAAGUUAUCAUCAUAUAAUAAUUCUUGAAGUAAUAAAAAUAAAAGAUCUUAAUAACCAAAGAAUUCCUUUUCUUUUCCUUUUAAGUGUGAAGUAUAUAGUGUCAACAAUUUGCUACACCUAAACAUAAAAAAAUGACCCAAUUGAAAAACAAAAGUGUGAUCAUGUACACAAAAACAGUACCAAAGCAGCCACCACCAAUGAAAUGGUCCACCUUGAUGUUCUACUUUUCGUACCAACCCCUUUAUUAGAAGAAUUUUCAGAUUCCAACAAAGAACUAAACUUGAAAUUAGGGUUUGACCCAUAAAGAGCUUGAACACCUUCCACGUCAUCAAUUUUAAGGUCCAGUUUCUUAGUCCUUGGACUUAAACUUGGAUACAUCACAGCUUCCUUGAUUGACGAAUGACCCAAUCCAAGUAUAUGUCCAAUUUCAUGGGUAGCCACUGACUCCAAAUCAAUGGCUGCCUUUGACUUAACCUUCUCAAAAUCAACGGUCCACGUUUCUGCUGCAUCGAGAUGAAACCUCCCAUUCUCUGGGGAAAAAGCAUGCGCUAAAACUCCUAAAACUCCAUCAAACGGCUCUCCGUCGCCGUGAUCACCGCGAUACCACCCGAUUUUAAUAUCUGGCGAUUCGUUAUCUUCCACUUCUCUGAAGCUUACCGGAAUAACUGAUGCCCAUCUUGAAAAAGCUCGUUUAAAAACUCUCUUUAUCUCGUCUAUACUUAUAUAAUCAAUCAUGUUAUCCGGUGAAAAUGAAUAUGUUAGUAUCAUCGGCGUCUGCCUUACCCAUCUGGGCUUCCCAUAAAAAUACGCGAAAUUUCGGGUUACAUGGAAAAUACCGGUUUUCUUAUGUGCUGUAUCGCCAACUCCGCAUCUCGGCGAUAUGAUUGUUGAUAUCGUAUCGGAAUCAAGUUUACCUGUUACCGGUAAACCAAGAUUGGUUUGAUAAGCUAUAACUGCCGAUUCCAACUGGGCAUCAAAGAUAUCGGUAAAAUUAUUGGUACUGGGAACCGGGAGAUACCCGAAAUGGUUGAAGUAUUUCUUGAGCUCUGACAUGCCAUUCACUUGACUGCCCUUACCGGCGUCUAGGAAGCGAGUAAAAUCAUGCCACGUGAAAUUAUGAAUAUCGGUGGAGUUUCGGGUAUCGGUGGUUAUUACAGUUACAGAGUCCGGUAUGAGUCUGGCGGGAAAAGAACGGCUUGAAAGACAAAGGAAGAAGACGGAGAGAAAACUGAAAUAACUGAAAGUCUGAAACAGAAUUGUGGAUAUAGCCAUGUUGGGAUUUGAGCCCAAGAUUUUAUUAGGGAGGAAUAUGUGUAUAUAUAUAUAUAUAUUGGAUUCAGAAAAUAAGAUAUGAUAAUUAAAAUGAAAUAGGAAUUGAAAACUUAGACUAAUUAAUGUAGAUAGGAUCAAUGUGCAAGAAAAUGAAGAGAAAGUUAGGAAGAUUCUGCCGUGCGUGCCUUUUCAAUAGAGAUUCUGACUUUUGAUGGGUUAUGGUGGGUAACCCAAUUUCUUUGGUGCUGAUUAAUUAUUAAUUUAGUUUAACUGCAUAUCACUAAUCAGUUCUUCAAAACACUGAAACUUAAUGUAAUAACUGUUGGAAUAUACAUAUAUAUGUAUGCAUUUUCACAUUCCAACAUGAGUAGUAUUCAAGUAAAAUUUUUCUAAUAAUGACAAUUUCAAAUUUCGAUCACUGAUUUUCUAUAUAAAGUUCAUCGGAAAAUACAAUCUAGUCAUAUAAUUACUGUUGAAAUUUUAUUAAUAUGUAUUUUUUUUUUCUCUUCUUCUUCUUUACCUAUAUAAUUAAAGAAAUGAGAUAUUUGUGUUAUAAGAAAAUAAUAAUUAGAGUUGUGUGAGUUUAGCCGAAGUUGCUCUGUUUGUUGACCAAAUUAGGUAAUGGUAAUGUUUUAGAGAGGAAGGUUUGUUUUUGUGCCUAACUUGUGUUAACUUCUUGAUCUACAUAUGACCCACAUACAUACUACGCAUGAAUCAUGUUUUAUUUCAAUUUAGUCAAGCUUUGAACUUAAAUAAAACCAUAACAAAAUGUACUCAUCAAAAUUCACUUUCUUUUUGUUGACUUAUUAAUUAUUAUUAUUAUUAUUAUUAUUUUCAAUUAUGAUUCCUUGUCUACUUCUAAUUAAUUAAUUAACUUAAAUGGAUUGUUUAUAAUCUUAUUUGGUUGACAUGAUCCAUAUCAUGCUUUAACCACUAUGAGGAAUCUAAAUUCCUCAUAACAUCAUAAACCAAUUUUCACAUGCAUAUAUACUCAUGUAACAAUUGUGGGAUUUUCACAAAGGUUUUAACAUGACUAAUCAUACUAUUAGUUUCAUUUUAAUCACUGAAAUUAAAAAUGCAUGAUUUGAAAUUUUAAUAAAUGGUUAUUGGUAACAAUAAUUUGUUAUAAUUAGUUUAGUAAUAUGUACUCGUUUACAUUCGAUCACAAAAGUUCUCACUAAUUUAGUACUUAUGAUUAAACCAUAUUCAUAUAGCCAAAAGGCAAUACAUUUAUUUAUUUAUUUUGGUAUUGGCUUCUGUUAUUCAUAUUAUUGUUGUCGACCUUAGCAAUGAGUUCUCAACUUUGGAGAUAAUGGAGAGUUACAUCAGUAUCAUGGAAGCAUAAUUAAAUUAAAUUUUAUUAAAGAAAUUAAUUAAUUAAGAAAGGGAAAUGGGUGGCUUAAUGAUUUAAGUUUACAUAUAUAAUAGAGAGAUUUAAGGUCCAAGUUUUGUUUGGUUUCGCUUUCAAGACGCAAUGAAGUUAUCUAAAUGACGAAACUAUAAAAUAUGACUAUGUCCCUUUCUUUUCUUUUCGUACUUUUUAUUGGUUUAUUUGAAGGAAUGCCGUCCAUUAUUAAUUCCAUCAGGGAAUAGACGUCCAUUUGUUUGCAGGCUUUAUCAAAGAUAGCUUACUUAUUUUAAAUAUGUCACAUUUAUCCUCUUCCCAUUCCGAUUAAACAAUAACCAUACAACUCAAAUCAAAUAAAACAUUUGUAAUUGUUAUGUAUUCGUAUUAUUUACAGAUACAUAUUAUUUAAAUAAAGAUAUAAUAAUAAAUUUUAUUAGUACGAUAAAGUUACAAUAAAAAUUUCAACGGCGACUUAUGAUUAAAAAAAAAAAAAAAUGAGACUUUUGACUUAUUACAUAAGAUGGUAAUUUGUGUGGCCUUAUUGUUUAAAAAAAUUAUUAUAAAAAGUGACUCUAGUAUUAACACGUUUAAAUUUAUUAAUUAACUUUUGCAAGGUUAAUAAGAGCUCAAUUGGUGAAAAUGUACUUACGAACUCUGCUGCGAUGAUGUUCUCAUAAUUAGAAACGGUACAGAGACUAACUUUUUUUUUUUUUUUUUUUUUCUAUAUAUACUAUUAGAUAUAGAGUUGCAUCAGCUAUUUGACUCAUAUCCGUUUUAAUAGUUUAUAAAUCUGACCGUUUCCAUUUGCUUUAGGAGAUAAAAGAGUUAGUUUAUAGAGAGUUUACAUUGCAACGAAUCAAACUCCGCAAGUACUCUUUACCACUAAGUUAUCUCCGUUCGAAUUCACAGAGACUAACUAUUAAAAAAAAAAAAAAAGAAAGAGUUUUUUUUACUAAUUGAAUAAAAAUAACCUAGUAACAUAUUCAAUUUUAAAUUCUCUCUUUUAAUCCAAAGGAAAAAACAUCUUCGUCUUAUCAUGAAAAUUUAUUUUUUUGUUAUUUUAUCAUUAAAAUAUUAAGAAUAGCCCUUCUAAUGAUUUACUAAAUUAAAAAAAUUGAACGAAAAAAUUCAAACUCGAGAUCUCUGUAUAGUUAAAAGGAUUAUCUAAUCGGAGCUUGUCUGUGCAUUGUUAGCCUACUUCCAGUUAUCGGGCUUUAAAAAUUAGAGAUUGGUGCAAGGAAUCCACGUAGCUAAUAUUUGGCAUCACGGGUUUGAUAAUAUAUCAACAGUUGGCAAUCUUCUAAUUCUGUCAUAACUCAUAACUAAAUAAGCCUCAAACAUACUUCAUUUUCAUAUAGCUGAACUAUCAAAACUACUUUGUUCAUUUGCUCAAGAAAAGAAGACCAACUACUUUACCUGGAAUUUAGUUUUACAAGUCACUUGAAAUUUGUCAUUUAUUGAGUCGUCAAAUGUUCAUCAUUAAUAUUAAAUUUCAAUUUUAUUUUCCAUUUAAUAAACUGUAAUAUUAUGUAAUGAAAUACACUUAGAUUGCAUUAGAAUGUGUAUGUGAUUCAGUAAAUGAAACUUUCUUUUUUUUAAUGACUAAAAGUAAAAGUUUAAGAAAAAAUUAUUAAUAAUAUACUAUAAAAUGGGCAAUGGUAUUGGGGUAAGGAUUUUUAAAAAGUGAUAAUUGGGCUCCUCCUAGGCUGGGCUUUCUAAUUGGCAACUCAAAGAUCAAAACUUCUUCUCCAAAUAUUCUGUUUCCUACAUUUCAUUGUUUCUACUUUCUAAUUGGUUCCCUUGCAAGGUUUACAUUUUACAAUUACAAGCAAUUUCUUCUUCCCAAACAAGAAUUCUUCAACUUCAUCUUUGGAUUGCUCUAUUUCAAGAAAAACCCCAUCUUUUUAAUUGAAUUAGUUAUGUUUGAUUUUAUAUAAUUGAAUUCAUAAAUUCAAAUUUGCUAUUUUUAAACAUAUCAACCAUGAAAAAAAUAAAUUUCAAGUAUAAAGCUUUGUAAAAUUCAUUGAGACAUAUAACCUUACAAAUAGAAUCUAAAAUAUGUUACACCAAUAGCAUCUUGAUCAAUCCAAUUUACAAAGACCUGAAGAACAAUUAUAUAAAAUGUGAAAACCCAGAGGAAAUGCGAUUAGUUUUUUUGACUGCAAACAAAAAAAAUACACUUUUCUUUUUU
rnacentral:lncRNA from 1 species